UCACUAAAAAAUAAAAAUAAGGUUUUCAUUUAUUAAAUAUAAAAGGUAGAAAGUUGCCAUUUGAAAGGCCCAAACAAAAGGAAGAUAAAAAAAAAAUUGAUAACACUAAUUUUACGCUUCACUGCUCCUUAGCCUUCUUCGCAGCAUUCAACAUAACAGUUCAAAUGAAAUACGACCACAUUAAUUUUACGCUUCACUGCUUCUUAGCCUUCUUCGCAGAGCCAUGCUCUUCUUCAUCUUCUGGAGCUUGUCUCUUCAAUGUGAUUCUCUUCUUGUCCAAGAAAUUCAUUAGCCAUAUAGUAGAAGUUUUUGGAAAUCUUGUCAAAUAGCCAUUAACGUAAUCUACAUAAAAAAGGCCAAAUCUAACACUGUAUCCAGCAGCCCAUUCAAAAGUAUCAAACAUUGACCAUAUAAAGUAAGCCUUCACGUCCACACCUUCUCUGUAAAUGAAAGAAAAAAUCACAAAAUUUUUUUUUUUUUUUUAACAAAAUAGCUAAAUAAUUUCAUAAUUUGCUUUGAGAUCUAAUGCAUAAUUAUUAGAAUGAUGACUUACUCCAUUGCUUUCUUAAUAUAAAAGAGAUGGUCCUGGUGAAAUUUAAUCCUUGUCUCAUCAAAUCGAGCAUCUGACACUGUUAGGGCCGUAUUGUUUACUUCAUCCACCCCUACACAAGUUAAGUCAUCCAAUAAAACACAUUAAAAGGGGUAAAUAUUACAAAACAUUUAUUAAUUUACUAAAGAAAAAGGCCAAUAAACAUGCUAUAAAUUUACCGUUCUCCGUUAUGUAUAUAAUAGGAUUAUUAUAUGUUUUCUUUAUAUAAACCAACAGCUUGUAAAUCCCGUUUGGAACAAUAGACAACCAACUUGAACCGGCCUGACAUCAACAAAAAAUGAUAAUGUUCUAUAAGAUUCAGAAUAAAGGCAUAGUAGUUUAAUCCAUUGUUGCAAUCACGGUGUAGUUUAAUAAGCAUACCUGUGGGCCAAUAGGCGUCCCAUCACGGUCACCUAGAAAGAAUUGAGAUAGUGAGCGCUAUGUGAUAAGAUUAAUUUAUAGCUAUACAUGAAUGAGGUCCAUAUACUUACUGGAUAAUGCGACAUCCUGAUCAUUUGAGUAACUUAUUGCUGCACCACUUUGUCUAGGUGAAUUGCUAGCAUAAAUGCUUGUGUAAUAAUUUAUGCCCAGAAAAUCAUAAGUCCCUUUCACAAACUUAGCUUGUUCUUGUGAAACUGUAAAUUUGACAAUAUAAUUUAUUCUUGAUAAAUCACAGAAAGCCCAAUAAAGAGUGGAAGUAAAAAACAUAAAUUGUGAAAGUAGUGCAGCCGGAAAGCAAGAGAAAGAAGAAGAUAAAUUCAAUCUCGUACAUUUACAUAGUAUAUCGAGAUGGAUUAAGGAAGUACGAUUAAAUAUAACAGAAUGGAAUAAAACAAGAAUGAUCGCAGCCUCAUCAUGAAGUGAAGAAAUCAAGUAUAUUGGCUUCUUGUGAAAACAUAAAUGAGUAAAGCUGCUUACCAUCCCAAAAUAAAAUCGAGGGCCCUUGAAGCAGCCUCUUUAUCAGCUUUGCUGUUAGUAAGUGGCUCAUACCAUUGAGCAACAUUUGUUAUUCCUAUCUUGCCUCCUUGAUGUGCCUACACAUACGUGCUUGCAUGAAAUACAGAUACCAAAUAUCUGGAUUUUUAUAUGAACUUUCUUUCAUGAUAUUAAAAUUAUAUGGCAAAUGUCACCUGAUAUCUUUUCCUGUAGAUAUCUACCGCUUUUGCAUGAGAAAGGAUCAUAUUGUGUGCCACAAUAUAUGGUUCUGUGCCUGGAUUUCCACUGGGGCAAGGAGUUGGAGCCUUAAGUUCACAUCUAUGAGGAGGGAUAGCCUUUACAGGCUCUGCUGAAGUUGGGCCACGACCAGGUGCAAAAGUACCUGUUGCAUAUCCUUGAAUAGCCAUGGACGAUGGUUCAUUCAAAGUGAUCCAAUACUUCACCCGAUCACCGAAUUCCCAAAAGCAAAGCUCGGCAAAGUCACCAAAAUCUUUCCUAUUAAAUAUUCAGCAAAUUUUUUCAAUAUAUACAUAUAUGAUUCAUGGUGUUCUUCAGGAAAAAAAAUUAGGAUCAUAUUUAAUUUGUAUACAAGAGCUUUACUUGAUAAUACAAAUUUCUCAAUGGCUUCUAGUUUCCAGAGGAAUUAAAUAUCUUAACUUCCGUUGAAUUUACAAUGUUUUCUAAUAAAUACUCUAUUCAAAUAUCGAAAGAAAAGGUUCCUCGUUAGAAAGAUUCGGUUACUUACACAAUUCGAGGGCUCAAGAAGCCACCGUACUCUUCUUCCAAAUAUUGGGGAACAUCCCAGUGGAAGAUAGUUACACAGGGUUCAAUGCCUACACAAAGUAAAUGUAAGAAUCAUAUAGGUAACGUUUUUAUCUUUUUUAAUAAAAAAAAACUGUUAAAAGGAAACAAAGAAAACAUUGUAUUGGAGUCUAAUUAACCUUCGGCCAAGAGCAAGUUUAUAAGAUCAUUAUAGUACUUGAUUCCUUCUUGGUUUAUCCCAGCAGAUAAGUUUCCCCCUAAAAUACCAAUAAAGAAAAAAUGAAAUUAAAUAAAACUUCAUCCAAUAUUUUAAUUUUCAACAAAUUAUGCACAAAUUGAUUAUACAGAUAUCUAUACCUGGCAAUACUCUGGACCAUGCAAUUGAAAAUCUGUAAGAGUCUAAACCCACUUUCUUUAACAAAGCCACAUCUUCCUACAACAUUACAGAAAAUAAAUAAAUAUGGUUCUACUACCUAGAAUAUUUUCUCUAAGUUAUCCUUAAAAUUGUGCAAUAAAAAAUGAAAUUAGUGAAUUACCUUCCACCUGUUAUAUUGAUCAAUUGCUACACACCCAUUAGCUCCACCCUGAAUUCUACCUGCCACUCCAAUAAACUUGUUCAGAAAUUGACAUGUAAUUCACAUAAGUGUAUAUAAUUAUAAACAUAAAUUUGUGUAUAUGUAUGCAUGUACGAAGACGGGGAGAGAAGAGACCAGGUGUUUGCAUUGUGAAGACAUCCCAGAUGCUUUGACUUUUUCCUCCUGCUGCCCAAGCACCUUCAACCUGAAUUACAUUGCAAAGAAAAAAUCAACCAAAAUAAUAAUAAUAAAAACAAAGCAUGUUUUUUUUCUCUUUUUUGAGUAAAUAUAAAAAGCAUUUAAAUAAAUACACUUGUGGCCAGGAUGAUUAAUUGAUUUGCUGAGCUUUGUAAAAAGGAUUUUUAUGUUUGUACACCGAGCUUGUCUCACCCUCACAAGAGAAGGCUUGCGUCCAAUAAAACAAUCUUGGGUCCCCCUCUUGUGACGGGAAUUGUAGACAGCUCGGUAUACAUGUAGCAUAAUUCUUGUAAAAAUUACACAGAUAUAAACCUGAUAAGCAGAUGUUGCCGAACCAAAGAUAAAAUCUGAGGGAAAAUCAGAGCGCUUUAUCUUGUUUCCACCCUCUAGACUGCCGCUGGAAAAAUCCAUAAGUGCAGUUGCAUCGUUGCCACUGUUCAUCUUGAGGCUAUUUUGUUCGUUCGUUGCUAGUGAAGGAAACUCUAUUUGACGUAGUGUAAUUUUAAACUUGAGUGCUUUAAGAGCGGUAUAGCUUAUAUGCAUUGGCAACAAACUGAAUCAGGUAUUUAUAGAUCUCUCAAUUUGACCAAGUAAAAGAAGGCAUGCAUAAGUUAAUAUCAACACGAAUUCUGAAAAUUCAAACUUUGGUUCUAAUUUCUAUUCUUUGACGGUGACCAAUCACCUAAUUUUUUUAAUCUUAAUUUUCCUUUUGUUGACCAGACUUGUACAUUUUAGUCUUUUUUUUUUUUUAAAUUCUUUCCAUUUUAUUUAUUUAUCGUUUUUUUUUUCAUUUUUUCCCCUAAAUAAAACUAAGAAAACAAUGAUAAACGGGAUACACAUUUUUUAUUUGCACUUAACUGUCAGAUUUUAUUUCUUGUAAUUAUGUUUACUGUUCCGAAAAUCAAGCAAGUAUAUUGUAUUAUGGACAAGUAAAUAAGCAAUGAGUCCAUUACAGUGCUAUGAUGAUUAUGUAAUUAGCUUUAAAAAUAACUAAGCAAAUAUAUAUAUAUAUAUAUAUAUAUAGAUAUUUAUAUAAAUAUAGUAGUAUUAAUAUAAGAAAUACCUAAAAAAGUGAUAAAAAACAAACAACGAAUAUUUAACAAUGUUUAGAGAAAAUUAUUCGACUCCGCAGCCGGAUUCCACUUUAUUUCUUCAAUCCUAAAGAUUGACGAAAACAUGGAUUAUACUAAAUUAUUUAAUAAUAGGUCACAAUUACACAAAAGUACUUUCAAAUUCGAUGAUCGUUAACAUAAAGAUUACGCAAAACAUGAAUAUAUCUCUGUUCCUUACCAAAAACGUGAAAAAUUUAUAUUUUGAACCAUUAUCCUUUGGCUUCCUUGGCAGCCACAAUCACCCAAUGAUUUGAUAUUUUGUUGGUUGCAGUCCAACUUUCCUAGUCUAUUCUUGAAAUUUCUCACGUAAUCAUUAGCUUGCAUCUUGUACAUAUUAUCAAUGGCUUUAGCAAUGGGCCCAAAAGUGUCCUCAUUAACCCUUCAUCACCUGACCCACCACCACAACAUUCUCGGACGCCGAUUUUCCAAACUAGCUUUGGGUCACCACCUUAAAUUUUCAAUCUUAUUCUAUUCAAUUUUUUUAUUCUGCUUAUGACUGUGGAUCGCCAGAUUAGCCUCCCUAUACCACUUAUAUCCACAAAUUACAUGAGGGAAAAGGUUUGAAAAAUUUUAGCGCUUGUAAUUGUGUCUUUCUUGAGAGAAAUAUUAAUAACAACAGCAACAACCAUAUUGAAUUAAAUUGAAUUCUAUUAAUACAAUAAUUAGUUUUUAUUUUUAAAUUGUCCUCUCGUCCAAACUAUUUGUAUAUAUACAUAUAUAUAUAUAUAUAAUUUUUUUUUUAAGUAGCAAUACACAUCACUUUAACAAAAAACAAGCAAUAGGUACAACGUCAUUAGGAGAAUUGUAUACGGAAUAAAAAAGAAGUCAAUCCUCAAUUUUUUAUUAGACUCGAACUCUGCAAUUAUUAAAAUUACAUUCCCUAGUUAUUAUUAUUUUUAUUUUUUUUUAAAUCUCAUCAUUGAAGAGCUACAAGUAACAAAACGAGAAUAAAAAAUACAGUUGGACAAAUAGAUUUCCAGUCAUACUCUAUUUAAAUGUUUAAAAUAUGUCUUCGAUUGAGGAUCGCCAAAUCAGCCUCCCAAUUCCACUUAUCCCCACAAUGGGUGAGAAAAAACGUGCCAAAUAUGGAAUAAAAUGGUUUGACGACAAAACAUUUAUACUAAGGAAUGAUUAUAAAACAGGAUACAUCUUUUGCAUUUGCAUUUAAUUGUCAGAUUUUAUUUCUUGUAAUUAUGUCUACCAUUCCUUGAAAUCAAACAAGUAUAAGGUAUCGCGGACAAGUAAACAAGUGAUGAGUCCAUUAUCAUCCUACGAUGAUUAUGUGAUCACCUUUUAAAAUAACUAAGUCAAACUUUAACCAAACAAACAUAAAUUUGAUUUUUCUAGGGCGUUUAAUUAAAUCAUGCUAAAAUGUCUAAAAGAAAGCAAUUAACAAAUUGUUGACAAUGUUUAGAGAAAAUUCAAAUACAUAAUGAUACUAGUAGUCCGACUCUACAAUUGUCUUCCACUUUGUUUCUCAAGUCCUCAAGACUGACCAAAACAUGGUUAAUUAAAAAUUGAUUAAGCUAAAAUAUCUAACAAUCAUUCACAAUUACGUAAAAGCUUUCAAGUUCAAUGAAUAUGCAAAAUAUGAAUAUAUCUAUGUCCCUUAUCCAACUUUAUGAUAGUUGUCAAAACAUGCAAACUUUAUAUUUAACCUUUAAAAAUCAUUUGACAUUCUUUGGCAGCCACCAAUCACCCAAUGAUUUCACAUUUCGUUGGUUGCAAUCCAACUUUACGUAGUGGACAUGAAGAUAUUUCUUAGUAAAUUCUUGAAAUUUCUCAUGUAAUCAAUCGGUUGUGUAUCCUGUACAUCUUAUCAAUGGUGGCCUUUACGAUGGGCCAAAAGGUGUCCUUAUUAACCUUCAUCACCUGACCCACCACCACAACAUUCUCGGACGCCGAUUUUCCAAACUAGCUUUGGGUCACCACCUUAAAUUUUCAAUCUUAUUCUAUUUAAUUUUUUAAUUCUAUGUAUGAUUUUUUAAAUGAUAAAAUUUCACAUCAAAUAAAAAUAAAAAUGUAGACUAAUUUUCAAGUGUUUGAGCUACUCCUCUUAAUAAAUUGACAUUUCAAGAUAGAACACCAAAUCUUAAUCAAUCAGUAAUUCAAUUCGAUUAAAACUAAAAAAUGAACAUAUGAGUUUCAAAAUUGGUCUGCUCAAAUGAGUCAUCAUCUUGCAAGAUAUGUUGGACAAAAUUCUACACCGAUUAAAAAUGAAAAUAUAGACCAAUUUAUAAGUGUUUGAGCUACUCCUCCUAAUAAAGUUGAUCUUUUACGAUGAAAUCUCAAGUUUUAAUUUGAUUAGGGAUCACCAAGUUAACCUCAUAAUACCACUAAUAUCCACAAACUACAAGAGGGAAAGGAUUUGAUAAAAAUCCAUACUUGUAUAGAAUAAAAGGGAAAACGUGACCAUAUGCAUUGGCCUUUGCAUUUAAAUGAAGGUUUAAACCAUAAAUAAAUAAUAAAUAAAUAAAAUUGUGCUAGUAAUUGUGUCUUUUCCAGUCAUAUUCUAUUUAAAUGUUUAAAAUAUGUGUUCGAUUGAGGAUCAACAAAUCAGCCUCCCAAUACCACUUAUCCCCACAAUGUAUGAGAAAAAACGUGCCAAAUAUGGAAUAAAACGGUUUGACUGCAAAACAUUUAUACUAAGGAAUGAUUAUAAAACGGGAUUUGCAUUUGCAUUUAACUGUUAGAUUGUAUUUCUUGUAAUUAUGUCUACCAUUCCUAGAAAUCAAACAAGUAUUAAGGUAUCGUGGACAAGUAAACAAGUGAUGAGUCAAUUAUCGUCCUAUGAUGAUUAUGUAAUCAGCUUUUAAAUUAACUAAGUCAAACUUUAACCGAAGAAAGAUAAAUUUGAUUUUUCUAGGGCUUUUAAUUAAAUCAUGCUAAAAAGUCAAAGAAAGCAAUUAACAUAUUGUUGACAAUGUUUAGAGAAAAUUCAAAUACAUUAUGAUACUAGGAGUCCGACUCUGCAAUUGUCUUCCACUUUGUUUCUCAAGUCCUCAAGACUGACCAAAACAUGGUUAAUUAAAAAUUGAUUAAGCUAAAAUAUUUAACAACCAUUAACAAUUACGUAAAAGUUUUCAAGUUCAAUGUAUAUGCAAAAUAUGAAUAUAUCUCUGUCCCUUAUUCAACUUUAUGAUAGUUGUCAAAACAUGCAAAAUUUAUAUUUUACCUUUAAAAAUCAUUUGACAUUCUUUGGCAGCCACCAAUCACCCAAUGAUUUCACAUUUCGUUGGUUGCAAUCCAACUUUACGUAGAGGACAUGAAGAUAUUUCUUAGUAAAUUCUUGAAAUUUCUCAUGUAAUCAAUCGGUUGUGUAUCCUGUACAUCUUAUCAAUGGUGGCCUUAACGAUGGGCCAAGAGGUGUCCUUAUUAACCUUCAUCACCUGACCCACCACCACAACAUUCUCGGACGCCGAUUUUCCAAACUAGCUUUGGAAAUUUUCAAUCUUAUUCUAUUUAAUUUUUUAAUUCUAUGUAUGAUUUUUUAAAGGAUAAAAUUUCACAUCAAAUAAAGAUAAAAAUGUAAACUAAUUUUCAAGUGUUUGAGUUACUCUUCUUAAUAAGUUGACAUUUUAAGAUAGAACACCAAGUCUUAAUCAAUCAGUAAUUCAAUCCGAUUAAAACUAAAAAAAUGAGUAUAUGGGUUUCAAGAUUGAUUUGUUCAAACGAGCCACUAUCUUGCAAGAUAUGUUGGACAAAAUUCUACACCGAUUAAAAAUGAAAAUAUAGAUUAAUUUAUAAAUGUUUGGGCUACUCAUUUUAAUAAAGUUGACAUUUUAUGAUGAAAUCUCAAGUUUUAGUUUGAUCGGGGAUCACCAAGUCAACCUCAUAAUACCACUAAUAUCCACAAACUACAAGAGGGAAAGGGUUUGAUAAAAAUCCAUACUUGUAUAGAAUUAAAGGGAAAACGUGACCAUAUGCAUUGGCCUUUGCACUAAAAUAAAGGUUUAAACAAUAAAAAAUAAUAAUAAAUAAAUAAAGUAGCGCUAGUAAUUGUAUCUUUUCAAAAAAUAAAAAUUAAAGAAUACUGUAUUGAAUUGAAUUGAAUUUUAUUAAUAUGACUAAUUAGUUUUAAUUUUUAAAUUGUGUUCUUUUCUAAACUCUAUAUAUUAUUUUAAAAAGGUAGAUAAAUUUAAAAAAAAAAAACGUUAUUUUUAAAGUCUCUGAAUGCAACUAAGUAUCAAUAUGUACUUAACCAAAAAGUAGAAUAUUAUUAGGAGACUUGUUUAAGGAUUUAAAAAAAUAAUAAUAAUUUAAUGAAAGGGCUAUACCCUAGGUCCAAUCGAUUUUGGAUGUAAAUUCUUUUAAUAUGAUUAAUGCAUUAUUAUUUAUGGCAGUCUAUUAUUUAGACUAUGUUUUUGCCACAUUUUUUCAAAAAAAUAUAUUCUUAAACAGUAAUUUGAUAUAAUUUCAACCACACAUUCUUUAAUAAAAUAAUAUUACACACAAAUCCAAAAUUGAAAUAUCGUAGUUCGACCCAAUCAACACCUAGAAGGAGGAGAAUAAAAGUUUAUGCUGAAUUUUCUUUUUCAAUCAAUUAAUAAUUGCAACACGUCACAAAUAUUAAUUUGUGCAGAUCAGUUCACAUGCUUUACUAUCCUAUAUUUGAAUACUGGUCAUAAAUUAAUUACAGAAAGAAAAAUAACACAAUUGUUUGAUGACGGAGAAAUCCCAAUGUGGGUAAAACUCCGGGCCCAAGUCAGUAGGAAUCCACUAUAAACGAAAAUGAAACUUACAAUCAGCCAGACUCAACCUACACUGAUUUUUCUGACAUCCUGACCAUAGUUUCCUCAAAGCCUUCCUAGAAUGCGUGAUCCUGCACCAACUCCCGCCACCUAGCCCUCCUGAAUUGCGUGCUACACCAAUUUUCAGCUCUUGAUUUUGUCGAUCUCCUGUGGAUUCAAGAGAACCGCCUGUUCUCUAAUGAUCGGGACUCCGAUCUCCUUCCUCGAUCUUCAAGAAUCAACAAAGGCUCUAGAAGGUUGUAUUGUGAUAUUUGGUGAAUGUUAAUUUGAUAUUUUUUAUGUAAUUGCUCAAAUAAAAUAUGGAGUUGAAUAAUAGAAUCAAAGUGUAGAGAGUUUUCUUCAAUUUCAAUCCCUUGAGAGCACAACUGAAAAUCGACACAAUUUUUCUUAUAUGCAGUGUAUUUGGAUCUUUUGGUUAGGUUAAAAUGUCGAAAAAAGGAAAAUAGGUUUUAUGGAUAACACUGUCGCUCAAGCGAAAAGCGAGCAACGCUAUUUCGCUCGAGCGAAGUGGGGGCGACAAGCGAGCGACGACCUUUCUAUUUUUCUUGCUCGAGCGACCACUUGGCGAGCAACUAGUGAAACUUUAACGACACAUCUUGCCCUACUUCAUAGCUCGAACCCUAGCACACUUUGUCAAAAUUUCAACUGAGUCCCUCAUCUUUUACUAUUGAUAAAUUGACCCCAAACUUUUGAACAUUUACAAUUUUACCCUUUUGUUCACAGAAUAGCCAACACGAAAUCUAAUAAACUCUCUCUUUGGCAUUCUGUGACAAAACCAAAUUACAGCAUCAUGAACUACAAUGGCAGUCCAAUGCACUGACUCAACUCACUGUUGCCUUGUCAUCUUUCAACCUGUUUCUUGAAAUCACAACUCACAUACCCAGUGUAAAAGCACGAGAAACAAUAAUAUAAGUAAACAUAAAAGAUAAAGAGUCAUGAAUAGCCAGAACAUUGUACCAAUAUGCUAGAUUAAGAGAUAAUAUCAAUGUAAGUCAAACCAUCAAAAAACAUACAUCAAUAGUGCAAAACAUCAACACAUAAUCUAGCCAAAAAUAUCAAUAGUACAUUAUCAAAGUACUUUAUCAUUACAAAUCCCAAAAAUUAGCACCCACUCCCCCUUUUUGUCACAAAUGGCAAGGGAAACCCCAAGCAACUAAGCACGACCAUCAUCUCCGCCAUCCACGUCCUCAGAAUCCUCAGCCUCAAACUCAUAAUCUCAGUGCUCGCGCAUCCAUCGAAUACUACGCUGAACAAGAGCAAUAGCCCUCCGUAAUGUGGCAAACUCCGCAGUAUAACGCUCGAAAGCAGCUCGUAACUAAGUAAUGUCGGCCAUCAUAUGGGGCCUGCUACUCAAUGAGAAUCGACAUCUGACCCAUAAGUGCGACAGUGGAGUCAACAGGAAUAGUAGCCGAAGCAGGCUGGUCGGGUGGCGGAAUAGCAGUGGAAGAAGAGGGAAUAUCUGAAGUGGACGGAGGAACAUCAGAAGGAGGGGGAUGAAUAGCUGAGAGAUCAGCAAAUAAAUCACCCAAAGGAUCAGGAAGCACUGUCGGGUCGAUAGGCUCAGCUGGCUCAGCAGGAGCAAAUGCAGAAGCAGAAGAAGUGACAUAUGACCUACUUUGAGAGAUGGUAGUGUGCCAUAUGGGACGAAGCACUCGUCAUGAGACCCCAUCGGGAAAUGAAUCCCCAAGUGAUGUCAUCAAGCGGUGGAUCAAGCAAGCAUAAGGAAGACCAAUCCGAUGAUCGGAUGUGCAAAAGGUACGCAGAAUGUGCUGGCAAAUGAAGGUAUGUAGGUCAAUCGAAUCCCCAUGCAGUAAAGCAAAAAGAAACCUUGCCUUUUCUAUAGGUAGGGAAGAAGUGUGAAAGACGGGCCACAGAUUUGUACACACAAUGCGCAACAAAAUCUGUCGAUCAGUGAGAAGCAAACAUGUGCGGAUUCCCUCAGGCCCACCUCCCAAAGGGCUAUUAAACAGAGUGGACUGAACCAGAGAGUCAGUUGGAAUAGAAUUAGUCGAGAGAUAUGGGUAAACAGGGUGAAUGACCCAGGGAACAUGUAUGGAACUAAAAAUAACAUCCAGUGAAAUCCUAAGGGUUGGACCCCGAAAGGAACACCCGGAAGGACGAACCAUUAAUGUCAUGGAUGUUCGCAUAGAACUCCUGAACAAGAAGACUAGGCGGGGGAUUUAACCCAAUCAGCAAGGAUUCCCAACCUUGAGAAAUAAAGAUAGCUGCUACAUCAGGGGAUAGGUCGGAUAGAAUGACCUCACGCUCUACUAGGAUAGGACGAAGGGAAAACUGGCUCCCAAAUACCUCUUGAGCAGUAGAGGAAAUGAACCUAGAACGACUCUGAAGCUGAUCCACUACCUAGUCCUAGCCCUCUUAUGUGCCAUCUGCAAUGCGAGAUGUAGAAGAUAAAUCAAUCAUCAAGGAAAACGAAUGUAUGGAGACAUGUGACUGCACAAGCCCUAAAGUUCAAUCACACACAAGCCCGAGGACAAUGAUUAAGACGUAAGUGACGUAAACUAGACGUGAACAAGAUCAAGAUGAGAUUUUGACACACAUAAAUAAUUUCCAAUUUCUAUUGAUAAUUGAUGAUUCCCAUUUCAUACACACCCUCUAAACUUAGUACAUGCACAAUUUGUUAGGUUUAAGCACCGACUUGUUAGGUGAUUGUUGUGAAGUUUGACAACUUAAAUGAGAAGUAUUUCGUCACGUCAUUGGAAAUAAGAUCAAAUAAAUAAUUAAUUCACAUAUUUUGUACUUAAGACACCAAUCACAUGCGAGGAAUGGCACACAAUGGGCAAGGGAAGGGUUGUAGAGAUGAGACAUUUCAUCGAACACCUUACAAGCAUUUGAAACACAAGGAAGAUAACCUACAAAUGCAAUAAUGCAAUGGACACCCAACAUACCUUAACAACCCCAUCAACCCAGCAUUCAAGAAACACCCAACCUCAAAAUUUCCAAAUGGCGAAGAAAAAAGGAAAAAAAAAACGAAUGGGGAAACGAGGCACUUACCAAUUUGGAACAAGGAAACACCAAUGGAUGCACACAAGGAUGAGAAAUUGAAGCCCCACACGCACGAAAUGGAGUGCAAAUCGACCGAAGAGGAUGGUGGUGAGAGAAAAUGCGAGAGAGAGAUGUGAAAAAAUGAAAAAAAAUGACCCGGAACCCUUCGCGAGAAAACUAAAAGUUUCGCUGUCGCUCGAGGGAAACUCGAGCGAACAUCGAGCGGCAAGAAACUAUUUUUGUCACUUGAGCGAGCUUCCAGCGACAAGCGAGCGAAGGGAAAAAGUCAAAAAUAGCACUUAAAAUAGAAAAUUUGAAAAGUUAGGCCCAGGUGUAAAACUUUGCAAAGUAACAGAACUUUAAAAAUUUUCAAAACUAGCACCUUUUCCAGAAAUUUGAAUUUUGACCCCAAAAUUAAAUUUUUUUUUUUAAAGACAUGAACAAUGUAGAGGCUGUUGGUCCAAUCAAAGGAAAUAGAUCACAAAUACGACAUGCACAAUGUUUAGAAAAAGUGUCCCCACACACUGAGACCAAGUACAGAUGGAGUAAAUGGUAUAUGUGACCCCUUGUGAAACGUGCCACUCAUUCCAAGCAAGUAAGACUCAAAACCUUAAAUUUGUGAGAAGAGACAGCCAAAUCAUCGACGUAGGAGUCAACACUCAGACGUUUGAAGGUCAAAUCCAAUGCCACUAGGACCUAUACUUCGUUAAAAUAUGGUGUAAAACUAGUCUUUUUCCCCCUGUCAUUAAGGACCUCCAUUUUUUUUAAAUCUUACGUGCAAUCCCAUCUCCAUUAAGCUACUAAGAAGACCCCUAUAACGAGCGUUGGGUUGGUGACUCCCAAACCAAUUGGCUUUAGGGCACCAGAUUAUGAGAAAUCCCUCAAACUUAAUAGCUCGAGUCAUCUAGGCACCGAAGAUAGGUAUAAGAUGUGAUAUAAUAAAUACACUGUGGAAACACUCGGGGAUACACCAGAAGUUAGGUCAUGUAGUUCAAGAUCAAUUCAAAUCCAAUGUCUACUCAACGACAAAUGAUAGUCAUCCCAAGUCUCACACAUGCGGUCAAGACUCAUUCACACGGUCCAAAUGUGUGUUGUGCAAAUAUAAUAUGAAGUGACAUAUACUAAGUAUUCCAUACAGACUGAAGAGAAGUGAUGGGAAUUAGAAACUAAUCAUGUGUAAAAUGCACAUUUGAUUUCAAAUUGCAACUCCGAGUGAACGACUACAAUGCAAAAACGACACGUGAUGAUCAAUCCCCCUCUUUUUAUAAUUUUAUUAUUAUUAUUUUAAACAAAGUGAAAGACAGAUGCAAAUGAACACAAAUAGGCAAUGUAAUGAAUGUAGAAAAGAAUGCAUGCAUCUAUGAAGACGAUCUGGGAGGAACACAGAUGCCAACAGCCUUCCUUAGUGACUCGAAUCUAAACCCAUCUAGAGGUUUAGUGAACAGAUCGGCAAGUUGAUUUUCAGUAGAGAUGUGUUCAAGAGAUAUCACAUUGGACUCGACUAGCUCUCGAAUAAAGUGAUGACGAAUGUCAAUGUGUUUGAUCCUAGAAUGCUGAACAGGAUUUUUUGAUAUGUUGAUAGCACUAGUAUUAUCACAGAAAACGGUCAUAGUACCCUGAUUUAUCCCAUAGUCACUCAGCAUUUGCUUCAUCCAAAGCAGUUGAGUACAAUAGCUACCAGCUGCAAUGUAUUCUGUCUAAGCUGUGGACAAGGAGACUGAGUUUUGUUUCUUACUCAUCCAUGAGACAAGAUAAGAACCAACAUAGAAACUCCACCCGAGGUACUUUUUCUAUCGUCGGCAUUUCUGGCCCAAUCGGUAUCAGAAUAGCCGAUUAAUUCUAGAUUGGACUCUCUGGAAUACAAGAUCUCAUGAUCUACUGUCCCAUUGACAUAUCUAAUAUUGCACCUCACUGCACCUAGAUGGGACUCCUUAGGAUCAGCUUGAAAUUUAGCACAUACUCCAACACUGAACGCUAUGUCAGGUCUACUGGCUGUAAGAUAUAGUAGACCCCCUAUCAUACUCCUAUACACAGUCUGAUCAACACUCUUACCUGUAGGAUCAUGUCCUAACUUAACAUUUGUGCUCAUGGAUGUCUUUGUGUGUUUCUUACUGUCCAAACCAAAUCUCUUCACAAAGUCUUUGGCAUAUUUUGUUUGAGAGAUAAACAGCCCACAAUCAAUUUGCUUUACUUGAAGACCAAGGAAGUAACUUAGCUCUCCAACCAUGCUCAUUUCAAAUUCUUGUUUCAUGCAUUCAGCAAAUUCAAGAGCAAGGGAGUCAAUGGGAGAGCCAAAGAUGAUGUCAUCGACAUAGAUCUAAGCUACAGUGAUAGUUUCUUCAAUAUGUCUAAUGAAUAAGGUUCUGUCAGUACCACCUCGUGAGAACCCAUGCUCAGCGAAGUAAGUGGUGAGCCUGUCAUACCAAGCUCUAGGAGCUUGUUUCAGACCAUACAGUGCUUUAUUGAGUUUGUAGACAUAAUCAGGAAACUUAUGGUCAAUGAAUCCUUUCAGUUGUUUAACAUACGCCUCUUCUUGAAGUAUUCCAUUCAAGAAUAUACUCUUAACAUCCAUUUGAUAUAGCUUGAACCCUAAGGUACAUGCAACCGCAAGAAGAAUACAAAUGGACUCAAGACGAGCAACUGGGGCAAAAGUCUCAUCAAAAUCUACCCCUUCCACCUGAGUGUACCCCUGGGCAACUAGUGUAGCUUUAUUUCUAGUUAUAGUACCCUGGUCAUCGAUUUUGUUCUUGAAGAUUCACUUAGUACCUAUCACAUUACAGUCAUCAGGCCUAGGAACUAGAUACCAAACAUUAUUUCGAACAAAUUGAUUAAGCUCCUCAUGCAUGGGAUUCACCCAGCAUUCGUCUCUAAGGGCUUCCUCCACUUUCUUAGGUUCAAUCUGGGAUACAUAGCUAGUAUAUGUUAGGUUAUUUAGAACUCUCUUUUGUGACCUCAUACUUUCAUCUAAAUUCACAAUGAUGUUAACCUUAGGAUGAUUAGAUUUGACCCCGGAAGAUGGUUCUUUAGGGAGCUUAGACUGAUCCCAAUUUGGUAGAUCCUAUUCAGAUAUGUUUUUUGAGGAGCGUGGAGAUUUUGGAAUUGAUUGCUCUUUAUUUUUAGCAGUGGCUCCUUGAUCAUCACUUAGAUCUUCUAAGUCAACCCUAUUUUCAGCACUCUCCCCCUCAGUAAAGUCAUCAUCAAUAACAACAUUUACAGAUUCCAAGACACUCUAAGUACACAAGUAGUAAACUCGGUAGUCUCUACUGUUCUUAGAAUAUCCUAAAAAAAUCCCAUCAUCACUUUUGGAAUCAAACUUGCCUAGAUUUUCUCUAUCCCUCAGAAUGUAACACUUGCUGCCAAACACCCGAAAGUAUUUAACAGUAGGCUUCUUGCCUUUCCAGAUCUCAUAAGGAGUCUUAUCUGAUUUUGGUCUCAAGUAUACCCUAUUUACUAUGUGGCACGCGGUGUUAAUAGCUUCACCCUAGAAAUGCAUUGCUAGAUCCUUGCCAUGAAGCAUGGCCCUAGCCAUUUCUUGAAGCACUCUACUCUUCCUCUCAACAACUCCAUUUUGCUGUGAAGUGAUUGGUGAGAAGAACUCAUGCUUAAUUUCCUCCUCCAAACAGAAGUUUUCUAGAUUGAAGUUUUCAAAUUCUUUCUCAUGAUCACUUUGAACCCCAGAAAUAAGAAGAUUUUGUUCAACGUUAAGUCUUUUACAUAAGGACUUAACCAGAUUACCCGUCUCAGAUUUUCUCUUAACAGAUCAAUCUAGGUGUAUCUAGAAAAAUCAUCUACCACAACCAGAAUAUACCAUUUGAUGCUAUAGUUCAGAUUUAUCAAUUUUAGCACUACAGCAUACAUAGUUUGAGUUUGGAAGGACUCCAUAACAGUUAUUAGAUGUUCUAACACCUUCAAGAACAACACCACCAAAAGCGUCAUAAACAGUGCAUCUCUUUUGGACAAAACUCACUUCAUAGUCAACAUCACAGAUUUGACUAAUGCUCAAUAAGUUGGACUUAAGACCCUCUAAAUAAAGUACAUUGGGUAUUGUAGGAAGUCCAGCAAUGGUGAUGGAGCCUUUACCUCGGAUGGGUGCCGUAGCUCCAUCCCCAAAGAUAACUACACUGCUAUUGCAGUCAUCAAAGGUAGAGAAUAAGGCCUUGUUACCACACAUGUGUCUAGAACAAGCACUAUCAAGAUACCACAUGCAUGUAUUUUGAGCCUUAUAUACAACAUGAGCAACAAAACAUUUUAGAUUCUCAGUAUACUCAUCCACAUCAGAUUUCUUUAUCCAAACUUUUCUCGAGGUCGAGGUGAUCCUAGUAACCUUGUUACCAUAUCAGUUAAGUGGCUAACCUGAUUUGAAAGGAAGUUCACUUGACUAGGGAUAUCCUGACUUCGAUUCCUAUUUGCUAGCUUUCAACACCUAGGUCUCGUGUGUCCUAAGGCACCACAGUGAUGACAAGUGGGUAUGAACCUAGGUUCAGAUGCACGUGAGUAUUGAUCAUGAAAAUUAGGUGUAGAAAUCUUAAGAGCUCUAGUGGGCUUCAGUCCAGUGAAAUUUUUGUCUUUGGAUUUUGGAUUUGUUGAAACAUUAGAUCUCUUGGAAGCGAGGACAAAUGUGGUCUUGAAUAAACUAGACACAUUGCUAUCACUCUUCACAAAUCCUAGACCUUGCCUAUUUCCAGCUGGUUUGUUCAUUCCUAACAGAUCGUCUAGUUUCUUAGUUCCACUCACAAAUGACUGUAGUUAAGUACUGGAUUUCUCUAAUUCACAAGUCAAUGUCUUGAUCCUGUCCUCUAAUUUCUCAUUGACACACUUCAACUCACUGAGAUUCUUAGAUGAGACUUGAAGAUCAUAGGUGACUUUCUCCUUCUCUCUCUUAAGCUCGUCUACCUUCUUAAAGAGGGCUUUAUUUACCUUUUUGAUCUUGAGACUUUCCUUAAACAGAAGUUGAUAAGCCUCAUGUCAUCCUCCGAAUCAUCAUCGAACUUGUUACUCUCCACUUCCUCUUCAACCUUCUCACUCUCCUUGUCUGAUUCGCUCUUGACAGUAGAUACAAAAGACAUAUAGCCCUUUUCCUCCUCACUGCUUGAGGAAUCAUUUGUUCACUUGAAUUAGAAUCAUCAUCAGUCAAGGACACAACUAAUGCUUUGCUACUCCCCUUCUUUAGAUUUUUCUUAAAGCUAGGACAUUCAUUUCUAUAGCGCCCAAAUCCCGACACUCAUGAUACCUAACCACUUGAGAUUUCUUACCAGUGUUCUUAGCAGUUGAUUUAUCAUCCUUCUCUCUUUGCAAUUUACUAGGGGCUCCUCUCCUUUUCUCUUGAGGCCAUUUUUUGCCCUUUAAGACAUUCUAGAAUCUUUUUCACAAAGUAGGCAAUCUCCUCAUCUCUAAGAGUUUUCACAUCAGAUGACUCAGACUCCCCUUCCUUAAUAGUGUUCAGGGCUAUGGACUUGUUUUUCUUCAGUUGUGAAAUAGUGAGUUCAUAGGUUUGAAGGGAUCCUAUGAGUUCUUCUACCUUAAUUGUAUUACAUCCUUGCUUUCUUCAAUAGCUGUAACUUUAGCUCUAAAUCUCUCAGGCUAGGAUUUAAGAACCUUCCUCACAAUUUUAGGCUCGGGAAUCCUCUCACCUAGGUUGAGACUAGAGUUAACAACGUCAUUCAAUUUGGCAUAGAACUCGUCAAAAGAUUCAUCAUCCUUCAUCCUAAUUUCUUCAAACCUUGAGGCCAGCAUUUGCAACUUAGAAUUUUUCAUAAUUUUAGUUUCUUCAUGCGUUGUCUCAAGAAUGUCUCAUACCUCUUUAACAGUGUCGCACAUUGACACUCUUCUAAAUUCUUUAGGAGACACAGAUAUAAAUAAUGCAUGGAGACUUUUACUAUUCCAUUUGCAUUUAGCCAAUUCAUCCUUAGUCCAAAGGGAAAUGUCAGUUGGGGUUACAACACCCGACACAGUUGUGGAAGGAGGUUUCCAACCAUUUUUGUACACUCACUAGACAUGCUCAUCUAGGGACUUAAGAAACGUACGCAUUCUAACCUUCCAAUAGGCAUAGUUGCUUCCGUCAAAAUACGGAAGCACAGACAGUGAUUGACUCAUCUAGACAACUACUUGAAAUAUCAUAGUUCGACCCAAUCAACACCUAGAGGGGGGUGAAUAGGUGUUUAUGCGGAAUUUUCUUUUUCAAUCAAUUAAUAAUUGCAACAUGUCACAAAUAUUAAUUUGUCAAGAUCAGUUCACAUGCUUUACUAUUCUAUGUUUGAAUACUAGUCAUAAAUUAAUUGUAGAAAGAUAAAUAACACAAUUGUUUGAUAACGGAAAAACCCCAAUGUGGGUAAAACUCCGGGCCCAAGCCAGUAGGAAUCCAAUAUAAACGAAAAUGAAACUUACAAUCAGUCAGACUCAACCUACACUGGUUUUUCUGACAUCCUGACCAUAGUUUCCUUAAAGCCUUCCCGAAAUGCGUGAUCUUGCACCAACUAGCGGCAUCUAGGCCUCCUGGAUUGCGUGCUACACCAAUUCCCGGCUCUUGAUUUCGUCUAUCUCCUAUGGAUUCAAGAGAACGACCUGUUCUCUAAUGAUCGGGACUCCGAUCUCCUUCCUCGAUCUCCAAGAAUCAACAAAAGCUCUAGAAGGUUGUGUUGUGGUGUUUGGUGAAUUUUAAUUUGAUAUUUUUUUUAUGUAAUUGCUCAAAUCAAAUAUGGAGUUGAAUGAUAGAAUCAAAGUGUAGAGAGUUUUCUUCAAUUUCAAUCCCUUGAGAGCACAACUAAUAAUCGGCAAAAUUUUUCUUAUAUGCAUUGUAUUUGAAUCUUUUGGUCGGGUUAAAAUAUCAAAAAAAGGAAAAUAGGGUUUUAUAGGUAACACUAUCGCUCGAGCGAAAAGCGAGCGACGUUGUUUUGCUCGAGUGAAGUGGGGGCGACAAACGCGCAACGACCUUUCUAUUUUUCUCGCUCAAGCGACCACAUGGCGAGCAACUAGCGAAACUUCAACGACUCAUCUUGUCCUACUUCAUAGCUCGAACCCUAGCACACUUUGUCAAAAUUGCAACUGAGUCCCUCAUCUUUUACACAUUUACACAAUGACCCCUAACCUUUAACUAUUGACAAAUUGGCCCCAAACUUUUGAACAUUUACAAAUUUACCCUUUUGAUCACAGAAUAACCAACACGAAAUCUAACAAAAAAUUUCUUUAUUUUUUUACCACACAUUUUCUAUAAAUAUAAUAUUCAAAAAUGCAUUCUUAGGAGUAUAAUGUGGCUCAAACAAGGGCAUAAUUGAAUGAUUAUUGUAAUAAAUUAAAUUAAUAGAGUCUGAAAAUUCAAGUCUUUGUAACUUCUUAAUCACAAUGUGUCGUGAUUAUGAGAAACAAAUAACAUAUAACUAAAUCUUAAAUUAUCCAUGGUGGUAAGUAAUAAUGAGAUACCGAUAUUGCUAUUACGAAUAGACUAUCACAUGUGGCAUUUCUCAUUUAUGAAGUGAAUAGUAGAUCUCAUAAGCUAAAAUAUAGUAUUAUUUAAAUGGACUCGAAGAUGUGUUGUAAUGUGAAAAAAAAAUAUUGGAAACACACCGGAGAGAUUUCAUAUGGAUAAAUAUCUAAGUAUCAAUGGUUAAUCUCUAACAUUCAAUAAUAAAUUUGGUUGUUCGACUUGAGGUCAUUAUAGUACCUUAUAUGGGAAUAGUGUGAUGUUGGAUGUUGAUUUGGUAAGAGUCACUUAUAAAUCAUUCAGGUAUGUCAAGAAUUAUGCUAAGUUCGUAAAUGAUCAAUAUAGAAUUCAUCACUUCUACAUAAUAAAACAUUAUAAUUUACAUUUCAUUCUAUUAAGGCCUUGUUUGUUUCCCAUUUUUCUCAAAAUGUAUUUUUCUCUCUCUUCUUUUCAACCACACAUCAUUUAUUAAAACAAUAUUUUACGUAAAUCAAAAACUUUUCAUCCACACAUUCUCCAUCAAUCUACUUUUCUAAAAUUCAUUUUUCCUUAGAAAUGACUAUCAAACACCCUCUAAGUUGAUGACAAAAUCCUUGACCAAGAUGCAGUCAUUAAUUGAAAAAAGUUUUCAACUUAUAUUGACUUAAUGGUCGGUGAAAGAUAUGAUUGAUAAUCACGCACUUCAUGCAUCAUAAUUGAUUGGAUCAUAUUGACGAAUAAAUUAUAGUUUCAUGAUAAACAAACAAAUUUGGUUUUAUCAUAUCACAUGACAUUUUCCGUCACAUGCGUUGCUCUAACAAAUUGCUAAAUGUCAAUUUAGGACGAUGGAUUUAAACUAAUGAUAAAUUGAAAGGGUAUUUUAGUUUAUCAAUUUUGAUUAGAUUAAAAUAAUAAUUAAAGUUGUUAGACGUCGUAAUUAGGAAUCUAAUGGGUCACACACAAUAAGGAGAACUAAAAGAAUGAUAUUACUAAUUAAUGAAUUGUCAACUGUUGGACACUUGCGGAAUUAAUUAAUUGAGUUAAUUAUUAGAGCCCAAGUUAAUCAAUUAAAAUAAUUAAUUAAAUUAAUAAAACAUUGGAUCGUGUCAAGUUUAAUGAUCGGGUCAAGAGACAUUCAUUGUUUUGCUACGUUUAUUAUGUAAUUAGCUUUAAAAAUAACUAAGACUAACUUUAACCAAACGAACAUAAUUUUUAUUUUUGUUUUUGGUGUUUUUAAUUAAAUCAUACUAAAAAGUCUGAAAGAAAACAGUCAACAAUUUGUUGACAAUGUUUAGAAAAAAUUAUCCAACUCUGCAAUCGUAUUCAACUUUGUUUCUCCAAUCCCAAAGAUUAACCAAAACAUUAUAAUUAUGGUAAAUUAUUGUUGACAAUGUCCAGAGAAAAUUCAAAUAGAUAAUGAUACUAGGAGUAAAAGUAAAUUCAAGGUCAAUGAUCAUCAACAUAAAGAAUAUUAUGCAAAACAUGAAUAUGUAUCUGUCCCUUAUAAAAACAUGCAAAAUUUAUAUUUAACAUUUCGAAAAUAACAAAAUCAUUCAAAUUGUGAAUAAUUAUUCUUUGGCAGCCACAAUCACCCAAAUGAUUUCGCAUUUCAGUGGUUGCAGUCCAACUUUACGAAGACGGCAUGAGAAUAUUUCCUAGUCAAUUGUUGAAAUUUCUCACUUAAUCACUCGCUCGUUAAUGGCAAUUUUAACAAUGGGGCAAAAAGUGUCCUUAUUAACCCUCCGUCACCUGACCCACGGCCACAACAUCCUCAGACGCCUCAGCAUUUUUCAAACUAGCUUUGGGCCAAGUUAACCUUAAAUUCUCAAUCUUAUUCUACUUAAAUUUUUAAUCCUAAGUAUGAUUUGUUAAAAGAUAUGAAAAGGGCAACUUACAAAAAUACCCUUAAAAUUAAAAGUUUUUUUAAAAAUUCAUAUGAAGAGUUUUUUUGAAAGUAAAAAAUACUGUGCAAUAUUAAAAAGUGACAGAAUGUUACCUUUUUUUAAUAAAAAUUGUCACUUUUAAUACUUUUCUUAUUAAAAAAGCAACACGAUGUUGCAAUAUUAAAAAGUGACAGAAUGUUACUUUUUUUUAAUAAAAAUUGUCACUUUUAAUACUUUUCUUAUUAAAAAAGUAACACGAUGUUACUUUUAAAAGUUAAGUGUCACACUCUUAUUAAAAAAUAACUUACAAUGUCAAUUUUAUUUUUAUUUUUUUUUACAAUGAUAUUUCUCACUGCAAAAAAUGAUAGAAAUAAAAAAUAAAAAGGUGACUGAAAAAGUGGCAAACAUUAAAAAAAGUGACCAAAAAAGAAAAGAAAAAGUGACAAGUUUUAAAAAGUGACAAAUUCAAAGAAGGGACAAAUUAAAAAAGUUAUGCAGAUCAAAAAGUGAUAGAAAAUAAAAAAGUGACAAACAUUCAAAAAGUAACAAAAUUAAAAAAAGUGAGACAAAUAAAAUACAUCGUUAGACAUUGUGAUUGAUUACCUAUUAGGUCACACACAAUAAGGAGAAUUAGAAGAAUGAUAGUACUAUUUAAUUAAUUAGCAAGCGUUGGACAUUUGUAGAAUUUAUUAAUUAGUUUAAUUAUUAACAAACCCAAGUUAAUUAAUUAGAUUACUUAAAUUAUAGACCAGUUUAAUUAAUUUGAUUAAUUAAACAUUAGACCGGAUCAAAUUUAUUGGAUGGACCAAGUCCACUUGAACUUCUAUUAAUAAGCUAUUAGGAUUUGAGAAAUCAUAAGAGGCAUUAAUUAUCUUGCUAGUAAAAGAGAAGAUAAACCCAGCUACAACGCUAGUCUCCACCGAUAGAUGAUCGGAGAUGACAAAAACGACCCUUAAAAGGAGUUCUUUUAGCCGCUUUCAAAGGCCUUCCGCCAAUUCUCUCAUUCUUGUUCUUUGUAUGAAUUUCUAUUGAAGGCUGGACAAUUGGACAAAUGUGGAUUUCAUAUCAUGAUCGUUCUAUCUAAAAUUAACUAAAAGUAUAAUUUUCAUCACAAUUUCUAUUUAAAUACAGGAAAAGACCUUGGUGGGAAUUGAAAUUGUUUUAAAUUUCGCUGUACGUGAUUAAAUAAAUUCUCAACAAUAUAAUUUUUAUCAUAGUUUUUACCUAAACACAAGGAAAAUCUUUGAUGGGAAUUGAAGUUGUUUUAAAUUCCACUAUGCAUGAUUAAAUAACUUUUCAAUUGUUAAUCCUCAAUUUUUCAGUAUACUUGCACUAUGUAAUUAUUCAAAUUACAUUCCGUAGUUAAUUUUUUUUAAUCCCAUUAGUAGCUAUUUUAUAAAUUCAAAUCGUCACAAGAACGUGAUAAAAUAAAAGUAAGAAUCCCACCAAUCUAGUGAACACUUACCAGAGAAAAAAAAAUCUAUUUUAUUAGGUUUUCAAUAACUAAAAGACAGCAAUCUCUCUUGAAUUGGCGAAUCGAUUAAUCAAGUACCCUAGAGGCAUGGUUGAGAACAUGUUAAUAAAAUUGGGUAUUUUGGAUGAUCAUUUCUAUUAAUGAGUUGGGCUAUGAUCCACUUUAAUGUGGCUAGGUUGAUCUUGAGGAUGGAUUAUAAGGAAGAGAAAUUCUAUAUGUACGCCAAAAAGUUUAAAAUUAAGACUAGAAGGAUCAUUAGAAGUGCUCACAAGAAAGAAAUAGAUGAAAUUAUUGGAAAUCUUAAAGAUGAAAAUUUUGGUUUGCAAGUUUUGAGAUUGAAGGAGGGCCUGGGUUGGCAAUGCCAAACAUUGUGUUCAAUGUAAUGCUGGUGAAUAUCGUUAUGAACCAACAUGAUCAAUCCAUUUGUAAAAUCUGGCUAAAACUUUAACUUCAGAGCUUUUGGGACGCAACUCAAGUUUUUUCCAUUUUAUUUAUUCUGCUUUAAGUAUUUGUAUUGAAUGUAAUUUGAUAGGUUUUAGGCAUAUUUUGUUUAAGUGUAGCAUAAAAAGGGUUAUCAUGUCUCGCUUAGGGCAUGAAAAAGAAAAGGAAACACCAUUUUUUAUUUGAUUUUAGUUGUGCUUCACGAUAUGCAUUCGACAUAUAUUUUUUUUACACCUCUAAUAUACAUGAUUUUGUUCCUAAAUUGAAGGUACAAUGAUAUUCAAAUUAAAAGUAACCGAAACUACGAAGAAUGGAAUGAAAUGAAAUAAUUCAAGCUCUUUUCUCCGUCAACGGACACCUCUUAGCAAGUCUUUACAUACCUCUAUUAUUAUUUUCAUUGAUUUGUGCUUUAUGAUCGUAUAUAUUGAGGUCAAUGUGUAGUUUAAGUCUGAGGAUGGUAAUUAUUAAAGAUUUCUAUUUAUGAGGAUCGAUAUCAUGUGAUUAUACGCAUGACUGCAUGUUAACACUUUAUAAAAACAUAUAUGAAAAAAAAAUGAAAAAUUAAAAUAUUUUAAUGCUUUAUUAUGUACUCGUGUGAGUUAAAUAGACUUGUCGACUAAUGAUGAUAUUAUUGAAAUUACUUGUGAUUGAUGAAAUACUAAUAGGUCAUGAGACUUGGAUUAUUUUAUAACUUAUUCUUGUUGGAUUUGAUAUCUUUUGAGCACAGUAGUCAUUUUUAAUCACAUUAUGUCUUUGUAGCGAGUACUUGAAGAUUAAUUGAAAUAGAGUAGGUUGAAAGGCUGGAAAGUAGGUUGUUCGAAACUUAAAUCAUAUGAAGAGUUUCAAGACCAUUUGUAAGGAUAUUUUGGGGAUGUUUAAACUGAUGUUAGAAGCUACUUAUAUAGGUGUAGGUCCUGUACACGAAAAUUGAAAUAAAAGAGGUUUUACCCAACUAACACAUAGAGCGAGGCUGAUAAGUGUAAUAUACAGAAUUAAAAAUUAACGAAUAAUAGCAUGCGGCAAGUCACAAAUUAUUGAGUCUAGUUGAAUUAAAGUUUAUCUAAAUCCUAGCAAUCAAUCAAGCAAUUAUAUCAAAGCCGAAAAAUAACGAUUAUCAAGAAUUGUUUAAAAAAGAAAAACCCUCGAAGAAUUUUUAAUAGAAAAAACCUUCGAGCACACAUGCCAAUAAAUAAUCCACUAGAAAUGAUUAAACAUACAGAAGUGGUCUAAACACAACUAAAUCUUAAUAGACUUUGACCCUCAACCUGUAAUAACUAAAGAACUCAUUGGUUGUGACUUGUCCACUCUAGCACCAACUCUAUACUACUCAAAAUACUACUACUCUCCCUAAAUUAAUACUACCUCUCUUUCGACCAUGAAUAACAAAAGAGUAAAUAGGAUCCUGAUCAGUAUCACUCUCAGUGGCCUCCAUUGUAUAAUAUCUGUCUUCCCAAUGCUGUCGAAUUCACUGUAAAUUAGUUUGAAGAGAAGUAAAAUACACUGCAAGUCGGUCAAACGUGGAUAAAAGUAAUGCAAUAUCGAUCAUCUGAGCCCGCUGCUUGAUAAUCAGAGAUAACUGGCCCAUAAUGGCAACAAAGAAGUCAAUAGGACUCGAAAAAGAAGAUGCAGGAAUAGGGACAAAAGAAGAUGGGAAAAAAGUUGAUGGAAUGUCAUCUAGAAAUCGAUGAGAGCAGGCCAAUAGGCGGUCCCAACAGCUCCGGAGCCUCAGGAAAAUUGAUCUCUAACCCGAACACUAAACGCUAUAUCAAAUACCCAUGAAGCAGACCUCUUUUCUUAUGUAUCUGUCUGAAGACCUUCAAAAGGUUAUGUAUAAUGAAAGAAGGAAGAUCAAUAGAGUUGCCAUGUACGAGGAGAUAAAGAAAUCGAGCCCUAUUUAGAGGUAGUCUAGACUUAUGAAAAAUAGGCUACAAAUUCGUGCACUGAAUGCACAGAAAGACCUAUCCCUCAACAAGCACCCAACUUUUAUAAAAUGGUUAAACAAAGUCGAUGCUAAAAGAGCACGAGAUGUAAUAUUAGCAACACUGAAGUAUGGAAACUGAGGAUGAGUAAUCCGUGGAAUAUUAAGAAUAUGAAAAAUAACAUCACAAUUAAUCCUCAAAACCUGACCCCUAAAGAAUAUCCUAAAGUUCGACCUGUUAACUGAUGGAGAAAAAGCUCCAAAAGUUGUUCCCAUGGUUCAGUUGAAACUAUAUCUACGGAAUUCCAUAAUUUUUGGAUGCUCGUUUUUACAGAGUCACCAUAAUUGUCUCAAGAAUAUGCAGAAGUUUACAUAGAUCUCUAAAUCAACGAGAUCAUUAAACCAAACAACUCUCCGGCAUCUAUAAUCUUUCUAUCCUCACAGCUCUAUGAUCAACACAAAAUGUAGACAAAAUUUACAUAGAGACUACAAGAACACUGGGUGCUAAGAAGAAGAUUCUCCAAAGAAGAAAAUCCUAAGUAUUAGAGAGAAAGAUGAAGAGAUACAAAAUUAGCAUCUCUAAUCCAAGAGUACACUUUGCCCUAGUAACAAAUAAAAGGAGGUUUUCAUAUGGCACAAUCAUCAAACAAUCCGAGCCUUCAAAAUUGACGGACAAAAUCAAGUCAAAUAGCAAAGGUGCCUUCAACCACUUAAAGCAAAAGGUGCAUUUUCAAAGCACACUUUUGGUAUAAUCAUGUGCCACCACCAAUUUUACAACAUUUCCCAUCUUGACACAUUGAUUCUAUUCGAAAACGAGUAGUCAUCAUGUUGUAUCAUCAAACAUGUACCUGCAAAAUGAAAGUUUUAAGUCAACCCUUAUCAAAUUGAACAUGGAUAAGUGUGAUUCACAUUUUCCCUAAGGUAGAAUCUUGGUACCCAUGUCAGCAAGAUUAAAUUAAGUAGGCAUUUUCUCUAAGUUUAUCAAACCUUUUGAUACAAUGUCUCUUAUAAAAUUUAACUUUACAUCAACAUGCUUUGUACGUUCAUGAAAUAGAGGAUUUUUACAUAAAUGAAUAGCAAAGUGACCAUCAAAAUAUACAAUUACAUCACCAUGAAAGAAAUUCAAUUCAUUUAACAAAGCCUUCAGCCACAAAGCAUCCUUGAUAGCUUUUAUAGUAGCAAUUUACUCAGAUUCUGUUGUAGAUAAAAGCCACAAUAUGCUGCAACUGUGAUUUCUAGCUCACACGACUAUCACAAAAAGUAAAUAUAUAUAAAGUAACAAAUUUUCUAACAUCCUUGCCACAAGCAUCAUUAGCAUCAACGUAUUCUUUCAAUUUCAUUCCUUCUUACUAUGUUUGAAAAUUAAUCCUAAGUCUAAAGUUCCUUCCAAGUAUCUUAAAACCGCUUCCAAUGAGUCUUACCUUCACAUAUAUCUGCUCAUACUCCUGUACAUUGAGCGAGAUCAGGUUUAAUACAUACCAUUGUAUAUAUUAAAGGCCCAACAGCAUUGGCAUAAGGAACAUUUUCCCUAUAUUAAAAAUCGUAAUUAGUUUUAGAGCAAUCAACUUUACUCAAUAUAAAGUGACUAGGUAAAGGUGUACUAAUAGAUUUAGCCCUUAUUAUAGCAAAUUUUUAAAGUAUUUUCAAUACAUAGGCAGUUUGGAUUAACCUUAGUUCAAUUUUAAGUCUAUUUCUUAUUAUUUCCAUGCCUAAGAUUCUUUUAGCACUUCCUAUGUCCUUCAAAUCAAAUUCAGAAAAUAAGUCAACAUUUAUUUUAUCAAUUAACAUUUUGUGGCUACCAACAUAUUUAAUGUGCUGUUACAAAAAUAUUUACCAUACUAUUUCUAAAGUAAUAUACAAUCUAGAAUUCCCCAAAAGUAUAAUACAAAAUACUAUAGGGCCAAAAUAAUAGCCUACAAAAUCACUCACGAGGUCGUCCUUAGAAUCCUUUAAGAACUUCAUAGCCAGUCAAGGUUCACAUGAUAAAUAUAAAGAUUUUUAUUUUGUGAUCUUGAGAAAAAAUUGCAUAAUUAGAUGUUUUAGGUCAUACGGUAUGAUGAUAAAUGACAAGUCACAUGAUCAUAACAUGAUAUGGUGAAUAACAAGUAAAUAAAUCUUAUGGUUGCCCUAUAGCAAAAUAAUGUGAUGAUAUAUUUGAGUUAUUAAGUUAAUUAGUUUUGACAAGGCUAUUUGUUGGAUUAUUAUGUUGUAUUACAUGCAAUUUGGAGGCUUUGAGUCAAAUUUUGAAGUUAAAUUGGAUUUAAUGAAUUUUUUUUAGUGAUGUAAAAUUUGGGUUAUUUUGGAUUGCAUUUUAGGAUCUUACGAAUAAAGUAAUCCAUUCUUAUCAAGGUCUAUUUGCUAUAGAAUAUAUGGAUGGUAUGUUCAAUAGUCCAAAUUCUAAGACCAUCGUCAAAUGUAAAUAUUACUAAUUGUGGAAUAGUAGCUUUAGAUUACAUUAUCUUAAUUAAAGAUCUUCAUGCAAUAUACAAGAAAGAUUAUGCAUUGACGAUAGAUUAAUGGCCUCUUUAUGUAAUAAAAGUAUAAAUUUUUCAUGGACUAAAUGUCAUCAGGACCUCGAGACUUAUUAAAUUUUGAGGAUUUAUUUGCUCUUGUAUCUAAAGAUGAUGAGUUUGAUUUACGAUAAUAAUUUAUGUAAGGAUUUAGAAAGUGUUUUGGAAUGAAUGAAAAUUUUUGGUAUUGUUUUAGUUUUGAAAAGGUGCGAAAAAAACGAAAGGAAGGGGAGGUUAUUGGGUGUCAAUAUGUAACCAUUUAUUAUAGUAAGAGGAAAAAGGAGUUUGAUUAGUGAAUAGUUCAUAUCAUGGCAUAAGGCAAAGUUCCAGAGAACCUAACAGGCAAAUCAGGAAACAACUAAUUUUGCUAAAAUUUGGUAGAAUGAAACACCGAGAAUGUCAAAUGUUGAUCAUUAGGAUAUUAUUUAAAGUAUGGAUCCAAUUGUUUAAUGAUGUGUGAAGGAAGGUUUUUGAUAACCAGACAAAAGCCAGAUCAAGCAAAAAUGAAAAAGGAUAUAAACAUUAAACAGAAAAUUCCCAUUCAUAUAAACUUUAUACGAUUCAUGCCUUAUUUGAUUUUUCAGUUUUGUUUUUAUUCCGUGCAGGUAAGCUGUCAUCUUCCGGUAAUUCUGAGCAAGAAAAAAUUCUUUUCCACAGCAAAAUGGUGAAUAGAUCUAUUUGGAAAAAGAAAAUGUUGCUCCAGGAAAUGAGUACUGUGCUUUAUUUGGUUGAUUUCAGAUGUCUAAGUCAAAUAUUUGUAUGGCUUUUGUCUGGUUAUCAUUAGGUUACAAUGGACUUAUCUAGUAUACUUGUGGGAACUUGAUAUAGGGAAAAAAAAAUCAAAGAAGAUGCAAGAUAGGAAAGAAUGAGCUCCAUGUCCAGUUAAAGUUGUUGGAUAAAUCAUUUAAAAGAAGAAGCAUUAUGUGGUAAGUGAAGUUCAAAUAUAUGCUCUAUAUCUUUGUUUGAAUCUUAGCUGAUUAAAUUUCAAGGACGAAAUUCUUUGAAGGUGGUAACAUUGUUACACCUCACUCAAUUACAGUCAAAGUCAAGGAAUUAUAGUGAGAUAUGGAGUUGAGGUUAGAUUUUGUUAUUUAUAAUCAAUUUUCGUUCAAAAUUCAUGUACAGGUGCUAUUAUUUAAAUUUAUUUCAGAAAGUGCUAAUUUUGUCAAUGCUUUCAGGGACACUUUCCAAUUCACAGAAACUGGUGCAGCAUUUCAAUAGUCUGAAAAUUCAGUGCUAACUUUGGUAAUCUUUGGAUUUUCUUGGAUUUUUAAAAUGAAAACCAAAUUAAGUAUUAAAUAUUGGGGGAUUAGGUGUUCAAAUAAUAUAAAAUGGUGGAUAUGUUAUUAAUGAUCCUAAUUGGGAUUACAACAUUGAAAAUAAAAGACUCAAAUACUUAUGGUAAAUUAUCAUUUCUAAUGGUAGGAAAAAUGGUUUAAAGCACCUUAGUGAGGAGAUAUGAUUUCUUGGGGCGAGUGCGAGAUUUCAUACUUGAUAUUGAAUGUGAGGAAGUGACAAGAAGAUUGGUGUCACGAUCGAGCCAUCAACUGGUGAGUGGAAAAACUUAUAUAUUUUCAAAUAUUAAUAAGGUACUUAUACUAUUAUAUUACGUGUGAUUAUGUGAAUUAUUUGUUCAAUUACAUGAUUAAUAUGGAAAUGUUCUUUUACUAUGAUAUAUGUGGAAUUUAAAGUUUGGAUAUGGAUUAUUUUUGAAUUAGAAUGUGAGACAUAUGUGAUAUUGAAAUCGACCAAAAAGUAUCCAUGAUUAUAUAUUUCUUCUAGUUCACUAACGGGCCUUGGCCAUGUCCUAUACUACACUGAUGGGUCUCGAACCGUGGAUGAAGGGAUCUUGACUGUGCACAUAUAGUUCACUGAGGGGUUUUGGUCGUAUUCUAUAAUUGAUUAUCAGAGGUCUUGAAAAUCACUUUUGUUCACGGAGGGGACUAAAGGCUCGUGGCUAAAGUUCUUAACUCGAGGGACAGAUUAAAAAUUUCAAUAAGAGGAUAAGUUUUUGGUAGACUUUUCAAUACAUUUGAUAUGAUGAGAUUAGGGUUGUUGUUUCUAUCAUGACUUCAAGAUACUAUUUUACAAUAUUAUGUGAAUGUCUCAUUUUUUGGCUAUAAUUAUAUAAAGUUAUCUUGUGCUGUAAAUUCGAUUUUUUAUAAAGAUUUAUAAAUGAAAAAGUAUAAUUAUUUUCGAAUUUCUCCAUUCACUAAGCUAUCAACUCAUAUACCUUUCAUGAUUUUUCCUACAGGUAGCAAUUGAAUUCUUUAUAGCUGGAGGAGCCCACUGAUUUUGAAGUGGUCGUCACACGAUAUGUUGAGUGCUAUGAAUCAAAUUAAUGAAGCACGAAGUAAAUAAUUUGGGCCCAUCGCAUUAUAUUUUAGAUAAACAUUUAUUUUGAUGCAUUUUUUGUAAUAACUAAUAGUCAAUCUUAGUGAUAGAUUUAACAUCUAGUCAGCAUCUAUCAUCGGCGCACAUCACAUUCUGAGCCCAUUUGGUUGAUUUGAGACGGGUCGUGUCAUUAAUGAUCAUGUAAAGGUGAAAGUAGUACAUGAAAUCUGAAACGGACAGAAUCUAUUUUUAAAUUUCUAUCAUCGCCCGGUUCACUUUCCGACCUUUUUUCUACCUUUAAUCACAUCCCCAAACUUUUACCACAGUUAUAUCACAUUGUCAUUAAUUUACUACAACCAAAGGAUUUACAGCCUAAAAAUCAAUCCCUUUUACCGAACAUCGAAUCAGGAAUUUCAUUGUGGUUGUUUCGAGUUUUACUUGGAUUUGCAUGCCACAUGACGGAUUAUAAACCAUUAAAGAUAAUUUAUUUACUUCUAGCUCUUAUAAAAUAAAACAUUCAUAUUAAUGAAUACAAGUUAUACUCAAGGUAUUAUCCAAACCAAAGGUUGAAUAGGCAGAAUCCAGCAAUAAUACAAUUUUCUGUUCUUGAUAGUUUUACUCAAUUUCCUUCAAUAGGAUGUGGCAGUAAAAAUCUGGCUUUGUAGUUAAUAUCUUUGAUGAUAUAUGUGACUUAUAAGAUAUUUAUGAAGUGUUAAAGGGUUAGGAGAGGUAAGGGAGGCCUUAGGACUGAAGGAAUUGGAUGUCAGAAGGACAAAUCACCAAGCACGAGUUGUCCUAAGUAGGAGGUGUCCUCUUGUAUUAAAAUUUGAGACUACACUUAUCCUUGGUGGUGGUGUUGUACGACGAAAUUUUGUGCAUUAAAAUACAGAAAUCAUUACAAAUUGUAUUUUGAUAAAUAUAAGUAAUGUUGACCUUCUUGUAAUUGUAAAAUUGCAAGAAUCCUCUGAUUAAUUAUCUGAAUAUUUGAAGAUGAGGGGCCACGCGGCUUGAAUUCUAGUUUUCGAGAAUUUGUUGAAAAUUUGAUUUUUCGAGACUUGACUUGUUAAGAACUUAAAUCUUAAAGCUUGGACUUGGACUUGAAUUUGAAUAGAUUUGAAAAAGAUUUUGAUCUUCUUAGACUUGGCGUGAACUUGUUUGAUUCGAAGAAGAUUCUAAUCUUUUUGGGGUUCACCGAGUUUAGGUUUGAGAGAAUUUCUUCCCUUCUUCCAACUUUGAAAUUUUUUCAGCAUUUCGUGGCGUUCUCUACUUUAUUUCUUGCUUCAGCUUUCACCUCCUCUUCUACCCUUGUCUUAUGGACCAUUGAUCCUAUUUAUAGGGGAAAAUUCAUGUUAAUUUUGAUAAUUACUCAAUUAUAUUUAAUUAAAAUGAAUAAUUGAGUAAUUAUGAUUUUAUUUGUUUGUUUGUUUAUUUUAAAAUGUGAUAUGGGCUUUUGAGUUUUUAUGGAGUUUAGUAAACGUAAAAAUUUAAUUGGGCUAACGAUUUAAAUCGAUCAAAUCCAUUUUAUUUUAUUUAUUUAUUAUUUUUAUUUUUUUAUUUCUAUAAACGCCCCCUCAAGAUUUAUUUAUUUAUUAUGAAAUAAAUAAAUUAAUAAAUCUUGACUUUCGAUUUUUUUUUUCAGUUUAGAAUUUGAUUUGAACUCAAACUUCCCAUACAGUGAAAAUUUUGAGAAUGAAUUUAAUAAAAUUCUUACCCUUCAAAUAAGAAUUUUUAUUUUAUUUUAUUUAUUUUUUUGGUCGAAUUGCGAUUAUUUAUUUAUUUAUUUUAUACAACCCAAUAAGAAAUUUAAUUUGAACAGGCUUUUUGUGGUUUAUGGUAAAUUGGGCUUAAGUGAAGUCCAUUACCCGCCUAUUUAUACGAAGGAAUUAUGAGACUUGGGAAUAAGUCUAUUAAAUUUUGCAAACUGAGGUAAAGUACAUGUUUAUUUAUUUAUUUCUCUCUCUCUCUCUCGUCUGUGUUUUUCUCUUUUCUCUUUUUUUUUAAUAGUCUCCGUCGUCGAGUAGAAUCAACUUAGUUUUGCAGAAACCAAUGACUGCAUCGUUGCAGCAAUUGUAGAAACCAAUGAACUACAACAUUACAGCAAUUGCAGACAUUGGUUUCUAUGUGAAAUUGACCUUUAUUUAUUUUAUUAUAUUAUAUUUUUAUUUUUAUUUUCAUUUUCUUCUUUGGGGUUUCUGUGUCAGAUGCUUUUUUGAUUUUAAUAUAUUUCUUGAUUUCGGAACCAAUUCAAAUCGGCUGAAACCUCCUUUUACAUUUUUUUUCUUUUUUUUUUUCAAUCAAUUCUUGUUUUUGAACCAAUUUGGAAUUGGAAUUGGUUUCUACCAAAACCACAUUUUCGAUUGUUUUUUAAUUUUUUUAUUAACUCUUUUUUUUUUUUUGGUACCAAUUUCAAUUUAUAUUGACUCUUGGAUUCUAGCGGUGAAACCAAAGCUGCGCAAAAACAUUAUUUUUUAUUUUGACCUUUCUUUCUUUUCUUUUUUUUACUACUUUUUGUUUAUUUAUUUUGGUGCAGUUGUUUUUAACAAAAUGGAAACUAACAUUUUUCAUUUUUUUUUCUUAUGCAGAGUUUCAAUUCUUUGGAGCAAAUCAAGAAUUUUGAGAUUCAAAAUUUUCUUCUGUAGAGGUUAAAUUUUUGAUAUUGCAAUUAUUUUAUGAGUUCAGGAAAUAUAUGCUUAUGAAUAAACUCAAAAUUGCAAACCUUCAUAUACAUUGAGGACCAAGGACUGCCACUUUCCACCACUCAAUUCACUUUUUGUUAGGAACCAAUGACCUACUCCUUCGACCUUCCAAGGCAUUUUGUGUUAAGGAUUAAAGACCUGUUCCUUCAACUGUCCAAGAUACUUUUUGUUGGGGACCAAGGACUGACUCCUUCGACCGUCCAAGGCACUUUGUGUUAAGGAUCAAGGACCUGCUCCUUCGACCGUCCAAGGCAUCUUGUGUUAAGAACCAUGAACCUGUUCAUUCAACUGUCCAAAACACUUUGUGUUGAGGAUCAAGGACCUGUUCCUUUGAUCGUCCAAAGUAUUUUCUAGAGGCUGCUUACAUUUUUAGGAGACUCGUGAUUUUAGACGAUAAACCAUUUUAAGAGAUUUACUAUCCCCUUUUUCUAGCUGACUUUUUUUUUUUUUUUGCAGGCAUGACUAGAACAAGUUCUAAUAAUAAAUUGUACUCUAACAUAUACGAAAUUGCUGAGUUUAAAAAUCGAGGUAAAAGUUAUUUGCGUUUCAAAGAUACUGAUGUGAAAUACGAUGCUCAGACUGGCGUACAAGGUGAAUUUAAAUUUAGUGUCCAUAAGCCAACGAUAGAUCCCUCUCCUAAUCUUCUAGAACCAUUGUCGAAAUUGCAUAUGCCCACCAUUAGUGAAUGUCACGAGGAUUUGGAUGCCGGCAAGUCCAACCGCUCUAACAAUCAUAUUCCCUUUUCGUGUCUUCCGCCUCAUCAUUCCCAGAGCAUGGAGUGCAUCCCAAAGGCUGUAAUUCAUGAAAGGAUUAAUAAUAGAGAAAUAUGAUGGGGAAGCGCCCUGGUCAGUCGAUGAGAGAUUUAUUUUCUUCCAAAAUUCUAGGAAAUUCUGGGAGGGUCUUUAUGGGUCCAAAAACUUCUACUCAAGAAGAAUCUUCGCGAGUUAACUUUUGCAAUGGGUUCUGCUAUAAAAGAUUACCAUCGCCCAAACUCUAUUUAUAGAGCUCUUUGUGAGGUUUGGUUUCUAGAGACCAACACCUUUGUGACUGCCAAUGGUGAAAUUCACAUUUCUUUUUAGGACAUCCGUGAGAUAAGUGGACUUUCAAUCAUAGGUCAUUACUAUGAGAAAGUAGUCUCGAGCCUUUCAGAGUUGGCAGAUCAUUUUCCCAAGUCUUAUCUUUACCUUUUUAAUGUUUUCAUAUUGAUUACCCCCGCGAAUGAAUCUGACAGGGUUACUCACAAAGAAUGGAUUAAUUUUUGGUUUCACGAGAAUGGUUGUAUACAGAAUCUUCAACAACAUAAAAAUUAUAAGAAUGCUAUGAAUUUAAUUCCAUUCAAGAGAUGUCAUUAAAGAGCAUAGAAGGAAAUACAGAGGCCCAUGAUGGCAGGCAAGCCGAGAGACAUUACUUGAAAGGAUCGACGUCAUUGGAGCAAACUGCCAGUAUCUCUGUCUAUAGAAGAAGAAGAUGAAUAGGAGAUAGCAGCUUACCUCUCCCAGUGGCUUUGUCUUUUCGUUCUUUCAUCUGAGGAUGAAUGUAUAAGAGUUGGAACUUUUAAAGCAUCUUCUAGGUUGGCAGACGAGUAUACUUAUAGCCUGGUUUCUUCCAUAUUAGUAAGCAUUUACAGGGGACUUACAUAAACAUCUGACUGUCAGACAAACCCGGACCUUAGCUCGAUCUAACAUUCAUUUCCUGGACAUUUUCUUUAUGCUUGGAUGGCAACUUAUUUUGUCUGAGGUGUUUAUGCUCACGUGGAUAAGAGUUAUUCUUGCCCUUUAAUUCGAAGAUAUGCUAGCACUAUGAAUGCUUUCCAGUCCUGGGAGAAAAAUGUUGUUGAUUGUCGGGAACUUAUCUGUGGAAUGAUGGACACCAAUAAGUUUUUUGGAAUCCAUUACCAUCAUCGUCUCAUUUAAAUGUAUGUGUGGAUGACCAAUCAAGGUCUGUAGAUACUUUAGAAUUCAUGAUGAGUAUGAUCUGGAUUUGUUUCUUAUCGUCGAGGAAAUUCACCUUUCAUUCUUGAGGCUUAUAAUCCUCAUAAGUUUACGAGACAAUUUGGCUUUAGACAGAAACUUUCCAGUUCACCAAGAAAGUUAUACAUUACCCUUAGUUUAGGCAACUUGUAUCAGGUUUAGUUGUCUUUGACUCAAACGAAAAGUGGGUCUGUAUUCCAUAUUCCAGAAUAUGUCAGAGAUAUACAUCAAAACAUUGGUGUUGAAUACCAGGCUUGGUGGAAUAGCGAAGUGUUGCCACUUUUGACAAGGUCCAGGUACAAGUCUUAUUUUCUAGUGAGAGCCAUGACUUUGUUCUUGGCCCGACUCCGAAUAGGGUUGCAACUAGAGGGUUAAACCUUCCAAAUAUUGUUCCUCAAGAGACUUCUCGAAAGAGGGAUCCAAACAAGUGAAAUGAAAGAGGUAUUAAGAGAAUUAAAAUUAUAGUUCCCUCAGCACAAAUUACUGCCACCUCUGAGCCCGCUAAUAAGGUGCUAGAAGUGAUUUUGAUUCCAAAUCACAGUAGUCCUGGAGAUCGAGCAUCAUAAGCACCAGGAAAGACUUUGACUCUAGAAGAUGAAAGUUCUAGAGAUCAGAUAUAGUUCUUCUUUUUUUAACGUACAAUUUGUAUUUGAUCUUCUGUCACAAUCUUCAAUUUCAGGCUCCUCUCUCUCAAAUAUGCAAAAUCAAAUGAUCGAUAGAAUCGAGGCCACUUCAAGCUAUUCUGAGUCCUUCAAAAGGCAAAGUUGGAGCUUCUCAUAUUAACAUCAAUCUCCCAAACACACCCUCAGACGAUGGAUUUUUAGACAUGUCGCCUAGGACACGAAAUGCAGGUACAUUCCCUAUUUUCUUUUGCUGCAAUCUUCUCUUCUUUUACCCAUUUUUUUAAAAUCAUACUUCAUUUUUUGUAGGUUUUUUGAGUAUCCCUGAAGAACUAAAUUUCUCCACGAAUCCAAACUUUAUGCAAGAUCAAACUGGCGAGAAUGAUGGGCGAAUCGAUGCAAUUCAAGGAAUAGAUGGUAUUCAUGAUUCUCAUGACCCUCCAUGUAAGUAUUCAGGCACCAUCAAUGGAGGUACUUCGGUACUUAUCAUGGACAAUUUUAAUACUGAAGAUGAAGUGAAUUCGGGGACUGUGAGAGCUAACAUUUCAAAGAUCAAUCAAGGAGUCUUUGUCGUUCCAUAUUCGUUGGCUUUAGUUGGCAUCCCGCCUUUACAGACAAAUAAUCAUCGGGCUGUAUCAAUCUGUUCUUUCAUAUCUUGUCCUCCACUUGGAAUUACCCAAGAGUCUCCUUAUCUGAAGGCUGCUAUGCAAGAAGCUAUGAUUAAUUACCUUCAAAAGUGUUUUAAGGACGUCUUGAAGUAUGGAUUUUCCAAUAUUCGAUCUUGGUAGGAUGAAAAUAAUUUCGUUCUUCAAAAUGUGAUUAUCGACUCAUUUCCACGCAGACUCAACACCUUUGAUGAAGCACAUGGAUGUAUUUCUGAAAGAAGUUGACUCUUACUUAUCUGAAAGAAAGCAACACUUGAAUUGUCUAACCGUCGAAGAAAAGGUUGAGCAGUUGAAACUUUUGAACAUUCAGCUGGAAAUAAAGAAUUCCACGUGUUUUUCGUUGGAAGAAAAAAUUAGUCGGCUAACUUUUGAGCUAGAUUCCGUGAUGAGCUUCAAGCCCAGUAGAAACAGAAGAGUAUGAUUGGAACUAAAAAGACAGCAUUGGAAGAAGCACAGAUAAGAGAUGUCACUAGCAUAACAUUCAUUGACCAGAAAAGGAAGACCCUUGAAGAUAGUUUCCCGCAAGUGAUCAAUGGCAGGUGAUCCUGAUGAAGUCAAGAAUUUCUAAUCUUUUUUUAUAGACUAUAUUGUAUGAAUUUUGACUUGCUAUUUUUUUAUUUGGAUGAACUUUUAUUUUUCAUGUUUCUGGUUUUUUUUUUUAUUACAACAAGUGGUAAACAAAUUGAAUAAAUUUAUUAGUUGUGACUAAACUUGAAUUUAUAAUUUAUUCAAACUACUUAUGUACACAAAUCGGAUCAAGUCAAACAUAGUUCAUUACAAGAACACAAUUUUUUUUUCUUACAAUGAAAAAUUUAAAAGAAAGAACUUCAGGCAUAAAAAUGCUUUAAAAGUUUUUCAUUGAUAGGCCUGAUUUGCAGUCCAUCAUUGUCAAUGAUCUUGCACGCUCCGUUAGUAAAUGCACGAGUAACAAGAAAUGGACCAUCCCAUAGAGGCUAGAACUUGCCCCUUGUUUUUCUUGUGAUUAUGAUCAGCCUGCGCACGAAAAGUACCAGAUCUUCAACUUGAAAUGAUCUUGGUUGCACCUUCAUGUUGAAGGACUUCACUAUUCGAGCUUGAUAGCACUCCAGGUGUAUUUGUGCUUCUAACAUAUUCUCAUCCAAAGCUUCUAGCUCUUCCAAUCGAAGACGGACAUUUUCUUCAGUUGUCAAUCCUUCUUGAAUAGCAAUUCGAAAUGAUGGGAUUUGACACUCCAGAGGAACUACAGCUUCCACCCCAUAUACUAAGGCGUAAGGAGUGACUUGCGUUGGAGUUCGAUAACUAGUUCGAUAAGCUUAUAAGACUUCACCAAUUUUCUCAUGCCAAUCUCUUUUUGAUUUGGAAACAAUCUUUUUUAGCAAACUGCAUAGUAUUUUAUUGAAUGCCUCUGCCAAUCUGUCAGCUGCCACAUUGUACAUGGACGAGUUGUACUGUUUGAAUCCAAACUUUGUACAUAAAUUGCUUAUAUAGCUAUUGCAAAAUGGUUUUCCAUUAUCGAUUUUGAUAUGCUGUGAGACACCAUAUCGAUAAAUGAUUUGGAUACGAAUGAAAUCUUCGACAUUUUCUUUCUGCCUUCAAUGGUACGACUUUGGCCCACUUAGAGAAGUAAUCGGUCCCAACGAGGAUGUAUGUAUGCCCUGCUAAAGACUUUGGAGUUAUAGGUCCAAUUACAUCAAGAUCUUAUGCAUCAAACAGCCAUGAAGCUACCGUCGGAUGUAAUGGUUCCGGAGGUUGAUGAAUGAAAUUUGCAUGGACUUGGCCAGCUUCACACUUUCUUGCAUAAUCCAUAGAGUCUUGUACCAUAGUUGGCCAGAAAUACCCCAUCCUUUUUAUUCAAAAAUGGAGUUUGGGUCCAGAUUGAUGGGCACCACAAAUUCCAGAGUGGGCUUCUUCCACGACUUGUGUUGCUUCAUCAUCACUUAGACAUCGAAGGAAAACUCCAUCAAAUGAUCAUCGAUAAAGUGUUCUCUUGUUAAAGAUAAAGUGAGAGCACGCCUCUUGAUUUCAAUUUUUCACCGUGGAUUAUCUGGUAGCUUUUGAUGUUGAAGGAAAUCGAUUAUCGGCUGUCUCCAAUCUUCUCUUUUCUCAUCCUUGACUACCUUAACACUAUUAUUUCUUCCAAAUUACUAGAUAGAAAUGACGGAAGCACCCAUCUUUGAGCAAUUGAUAUGGUGGGAGAAAAGUCUCCAUCUGACCUAACUAAAACAGCGGCCAAAUUAGCUAAGGCAUCAGCCUCCCUAUUUUCAUUUCUCGGGAUGAAUUUGAUUUUUACCGAAUCAAAUCGUCUCAUAAGCAUUGAUGCAUAUUGAUGAUAUAGCUUUAGGUCUGAAUUACGGACUUCAUAAUCAGCUAAAAGUUGGUUGAUUAUCAGUUUUGAAUCUCCAAAGACUUCCAACUAGUGGAUAUCCAUAUCUAACGCUGCUUCUAAGCCAAGGAUAAGGGCUUGAUAUUUCGCCACGUUGUUUGAACAUUUAUCUAUUAAGGUAAAAGAGUCGGGCAUGACAAGAUCAUGGGGAGUGAUAAAGACUACUCCUGCUCUGACACCAUAACUUCGGACUGUCCCAUCGAAGUAUAGCCUCCAAAAUGGUAUGACUUCAGUGAAUAAAACUUCUUCAUCGGAAGAUCUUGAAGUUCCCAUUCCAGUGGAAUUGGUUGAUCAGCUAGGAAACUUGCCAAAACUUGUCCUUUAAUGGCCUUUUGUGGACAAAAUUUGAUAUCGAACUCAAACAACAACAGUGCCCAUUUUCCAAUCUUUCCAAAAAGAAUUUGCCUAGACAUUAUUUACUUCAACGGAUCAAUCUUCGAAACAAGAUUAAUUGUGUGUGAAGUAUUUAAUGUCUCAACUUUUUAGCUGGAAAGAUUAAUGUAAGGCAUAUUUUUUCAAUAAGUGAAUCUUCAUUUCAGUACCUACCAGUGUCCGGCUCAAGUAAUAGAGUGCAUUCUCUUUUCCUUCAUCGUUGACUUGGAUAAGAAGUGCUCCUAGAGAAUAUUCUUGUGCUGCAACAUAAAGAGACAGUGGCCUCCUUAGGACUGGAGCUGUGAGUACUGGUGGACAAGACAAAUAUUGCUUAAUGCUUUGGAAAACAUUUUGACAAGCGUUGUCCCAUUAAAAUGGUACAUUUUUCUUCACCAAUUUGUUGAAUGGAUGACAUCGUCUGGCAAAGUUAGAGAUAAAUCUUCGAAUGUAUGCAAGUUUUCCUUGAAGACUUUUCAACUCACAUAUAUUUCUUGGCUCUGACAUAUUGAUUAUGACAUCAAUUUUUGAUUGAUCUAUUUCAAUGCAUUGAUGUCGAAAAAUGAAGUCAAAAAUUUUCCAGAGAUGACACCAAAUGCACAUUUCAACGGAUUCAUCUUUAGUUGAUGUCUUCGAAGUCUUUUGAAAACAUCUCGUAAAUCUUGUAAAUGAUCGUCACAUCCUUUUUGUUUUGAUAACAAUAUCAUCCACAUAGCAUUCCACGUUCUUAUAUAGCAUGUCAUCGAAAAUCUUCUGCAUCGCCCGCUGGUAGGUUACCUCGCAUUUUUCAAUUCAAAAGGCAUAAUUUUGUAACAAUAUAUAUAUUUAGGGUUACAAAAUGAUGUGAGCUCCUCAUCUUUUAGGUUCAUCCAUAUCUAGUUGUAUCCAGAAAAUUCAUCCAUGAAAGAUAAGACUUCAUACCCGGUAGUUGCAUCUACCAUCAACUCUGUUAUCGGAAGUGGAAAAUCAUCCUUCAAACAUACUUGAUUCAGAUCUCGAAAGUCAAUGUAAAUUCUUAAUUGCACAUUCUUCUUUUUGAUAGGAACAACGUUCACGAUCCACAUUGGGUAUUUUACUUCGCGUAUGAAUCCAGCUUUGAUAAGCUUAUUGACCUCCACCUCAAUUUGAGGGACUAAUUUUGGACGAAAUCUUCUUUGAGGUUUUUUGAUCGGUCAAACUCCAUGUCUUACUGCAAGAUGAUGCACUGCAACCUUAGGGUCUAACCAUGACAUUUCCUUGUAAGACCACGUGAACACGUCUUUGUAUUUCUGAAGCAAAUUAGUGUACUUGGAUUCUUCUUUUUUACUAAGGAGGGCACUUACAAAUACCGAUUUCAAGUCUUCUUCAGUCCCCAAGUUCAAUUGUUUUAAGUCAUCCACAGUAGCUUGUCCCCCUUCUUCAAAUGUAGGUAGGGCUAGUUCAAGUUCAUCAGUUGCGAUAGAAUUUUCAGACUCGAAGUCUGAGUUGGGAACUUUUUCAAAGGCUAUGUGAUUGACUGAGACUUCUUCCUUAUCUUCAUUAUCCUUUAGGAACAGAUGAGCUUUUUGAUGUUUUCACCUUCUUCUUGACCGUUGUGGUUUUAGACUUGGAUCAAAAGUUUUAAUCCCAAGUCGAGAAAAUGCAGAUUGUCUUUGUGAUGACAUCUGGGGAGCUUGUGCAUUCCUAUCAAUUUGGGUAGAAGAAGAAGAAUUUUCACUUAAUCUUUAAAAGACAGAGACUUUACCUUUUACGUCGAUCACUGGGAAGGGAUCUCCUUUCAACCUUUUAAAUACCAAAACUCUAGCAUUCUCAUUUUCAAUUUGAUCGAACACUGAAGGUCUCGACUAUUCUGAUUUCUCUUCUACAACUUCAUAAAUUUGAACCAUGAUGGGGUUUGAGAAAACCUUCUUGACCUUAAUCUUCCUCAGUGGAUUAGGAUCAUAGCCCAAACCAUACCUAAGUCGGGAUACUAAGGCUCUAUCAGAAUUAGAAGGAACACGCUCUCCUAAAAGGACGGCAUCAAGAUCACCUAAUUUACGAUGCUCUCAUUUUCCAAACCGAGCAUUUUCGAACAACUUUUUAACUUGAGGUUUGUAAUAUCCUUUGAAAGUCUGCUUUGAUUUAGCAGCUCCUUAUUUGGAGGAGCUAGAAAUGCAAAGCUUUGAUAUGUCUGGGGACGGAUGUCGAAGCUUCCAAUGUAGAUUUAUGUUCUUCUGGGACUGCCAUGAGUUUAUGGGGCAGAAGCAAUUUUAGAAUGCUAGGUAUCGAAAGAGUUAACUCUUUUCUCAACAUCGGUUGAUUCUAUUUGAGAUUUUUUACCUUUAGAGAAUCAUUCGGAUGUGAAUUUUGACUUGCCUUUGAUAAGUUGAUGAGAUUGAGCAACACCAUACGUAUCAUGAUGGUUUGUAUCUUCUUUGCUUUUGAAUCCAGAUAUAGUCAACCCUGCAGAAUUGCACUCUUCAUCUUCCAUGUAAAAUUUGGCAUCAGCAAAAUGGAAUUCUUCUUCAAUGAAUGGUUUAGACUCAGCUACCACACAUCUAACUUCUCCAUCUUGGCUAUAUUUGAAGCAUUUGUGCCAAGUGGAAUGUACCACACCAGUUUCAUGUAGCCAAACACGUCCAAGAAGUAACUCGUAUAAUAUUUUAGCAUCAAUGACAUGGAAGAGAGCUGGGGAGAUUAACUCUCCUAUUUGCAACUUCAAGCGAAUCAUGCCAAUGGCUUGCUGACCUUUUUGAUUGAAUCCUUGAAUCAUGAUUUUACUUCUGGAUAGAUUACAAACAUUAAUUCCAAUUUUCUUCAUUGUUUUCAACAGCAUAAUAUUCACAACAGAUCCACAAUUGAUCAUUAUGUAAUUUAUCUUGCAUUCUCGAAUAUAACCACUAACAUACAAUGGUCUAUUAUGUGGACGAGAACCCAACUAUAAAUCUCCAUCAUUGAAUGUUAUGGUGGUCAUACAGUCUUGAGGAGUUGUGGAUCCAAUAUGUUGCAAAACUUUGCCUUUGUAUUCUUUCGGAUCGAUUAACGUUGCGACCAAAGUCAUUCGUGAAAUAGUUUUUUGUCUGUUUUAAAGUCUAUCCGGAUGCAUUUUUCAUCUCAUUUUUCUUCUCCACAUUGAUAACAUUGGAGGUAAAACAUUCAUUGUUAAAGAAACCCUUGGGAAAAUAAUCACCCAAGGUUGACAGUUUGGGAGGAUUGCAUGUCGUAUUUUCUAUCUCCAUCGGUUUAGUGAAUCCUCUUGAUUUGGCUUUAGACCUUCUUCUUUGGUUGUUCCUUGGUCUUGAUUUCUUGCAACAAAUAUUAGAACUUGGAAGUUGUGGAGCCUUUCGGCGACGACUUUUCACAAGGGUUCAUUCCCCUUGAUCUUCUUCUAAUGUUUUCUCUUUGUUAGGUUAAAUUUUUGUACCCAAUUCCUCUAAAUAUGUUCCUGCAAGAGAUGUAGAAGGUAAUAUUUUACAUAUUUUGUGUGGCAUUCGAUAUUUCUCGUUCUUUUUUAUGAAGGUGGACCAGCCGUUACUAAUCUUGUCUUCAGAUUCUGAGUCAGAAUCCCAAACAUCCAAGUCACAUGUCAUAAUUUCAUAAAAAGUUGGACGAUUGGGUGCAUUUCCAUCCCCGAAUAGACGUAACUGAUAGUGAUUUCUCCCUCUACCUCAAACUUCACUAGGAUGGCUCCUUUUGGAAGUUGAGGUCCAAACUCCUCAACUGAGGAUUUACAAGCAUCCUAUACAUCAGAAAAUGUUUGUUUCUUUCCUGUAAUAGGAAUUGGAUCAAAUGAUCCAAAUAAAAUCAUCGAGUAUGUGGCUGUUGGAUUUUUCCUCCAGUUUCAAGUUUGAUCUUAUUUUCUUUGUCCAGACGAACAAUAAGAUCUUUCAAGACAAAGCAUUUUUCCACCGAAUGGCUAAUGAUCCUGUAAAAUUUACAGUAUUUAGGAUGAUCGAUCUUAUCAACUUCCUCAGAUCGUUUUGGUAUUGGUAGUUCGAUUAUCCUCUGUUCAAGGAGUUGAUCCAGAAUUCCAGAAAAUUCAGACUCCGAGAAUAGGUACUCCUUUCCUUCAAGUUCUUUUAGAGUCAUAUGACCUCUGCUUUGGACUUGUCCUUUGUUGGGUCUGAGUUCUAGCUUCGAUUUUGGGUUUGAGCUUGACCCCUGUAAGGCUAUCUUUGCAGGAACAGUGAAAAUUGCCAUAGCCUCUUUGGAUUUACUUGCUUUGAUGUCCUUCUUUAUUUCCUUCUUAGGAUCUUUCAUGUCACAUGGAUCACCUGGCAAGUAACUCCCAUGCCUUGCAAUUUGGAGCUCCAGCUCAUGUGCACAUGUUACUAAUUCUUCGAAUGAGUGAGGCAUAUUUGCUUGGAGAUUAUAGAGUAAUCCCCAAUGCAUACCUUGUACACACAUGUCGAUGAAAGAUGCUUCGCUUAUUCAUUCUUUGCAAUUAAGCACGAGGUUCUUCUAGCGUUCAAUGUACUCAACAACGGGCUCUUCCUUACUCUACUUUGUUCGAGCAAGUUCCAGAAGACUGACAGUUCGCCGGGUGCUGUUGAAACGUGUUAGGAAAUCUCGUUCGAGCUGAUCCCAACUAUCAAUUCCCUAUCUGUAAGUCCGUGUACAAUUCAAAUGCAGAACCUUUGAGGAAGCGUACAAACUGCUUCACCAUAGUGUCAUUGUAUGUACCUGCAUUAUUACACGUCUCAAUAAAAUGAGCAACAUGUUUUUUUGGAUUGUCCUUUUCCAUCAAAACACUGAGAUUUCAGAGGUUGAUAACCGAGUAGCAUCUUUAUUUCGUCGAUUCGACGACUAUAGGGCUUAGCAUACACCAAUAAAGAUUGCAAUGAACCACCAUACUAGGCACGAAUGGUAUCUACAAUCAUUUGUUGAAGUUGUUGGACAGACAGAGAGCCAAGGAAAAGUUGAGUGGAGUCACGCAUCACGUUUUGAACAACUGUCCGAUCAUGUAUAUCUUACUUUUGUUGGCGCUCUUGAAAUUCUAACUCUUUGGCCUUGGAAGAUCCUGAAUUUUCCUAAUCUUCAUUAGUCGGUAGAAUUUACAACUCUAGCCUGUGUAUGAGUGCAACAAUCUUUGCAUCUUUCUCUUUUAAUGACUUUGUUAAUUUUUCAAUGGCUAAAACCAUUUGUUGAAUUCGGUCAUCUGAGCCCAAUGUUGCUUCUGUGACCAUCACUGUCUCAAGUAAUUCUUCAGAUGAGACAUUAUCUUUCCACUUUUGCUGAGAAGUGGCAUAAAGGGAUCCAGACAAGGAUCUACCACUGGAGAUGGAGCUCGAACGAGAACUUUUCGCUGAACUCAUGGUCUUUUCUUUUGAAUGAGAGUUUGCUUCUUGAAGGUAAUUUUCGUUUUGCCUUUGUUAGAGAACUUCUUCAGUAGUGUGACCAGUUGAGUUUUCCUAUUUUUGUUUUGGGCCUGGUCGCGCGAAAGAGUUCGGCAAGUGUCUCUACAAGAUGUGUCAUUGUUUGUUUCGCAUUUUCGCCUGCCAUUGUUGAUGUAGUAGUUGAAACUUGAAGAUUUUGAGAUCAAAAAAUAAGAGGACAAGAAGAUCCCACUGGGAGUGCCAAGAAAUUUGUACGACGAAAUUUCUUGUAUUAAAAUAUAGAAAUCGUUAAAAAUUAUAUUUUGAUAAUUACAAGUGAUGUUGACCUUCUUGUAAUUGUAAAAUUGCAAGAAUCCUCUGAUUUAUGAUCUAAAUAUUUGAAGACGAGGAGCGACGUGGCUUGAAUUCUAGACUUCAAGAAUUUGUUGAAAAUUUGAUUUCUCGAGACUUGACUUGUUCGGAACUUGAAUCUUGAGGUUUUGACUUGGACUUGAAUUUGAUUUGAUUUGAAGAAGACUUUAAUCUUCUUAGACUUGGCAUGAACCUAUUUCAUUCAAAAAAGAUAUUAAUUUUCUUGGGGUUCACCGAGUUUAGGUUUGAGAGAAUUUUUCCCUUCUUCUAGCCUUGGAAUUUUUUCAGCACUUUGUGGCGUUCUCUACUUUCUUUCUCGCUUUAGCUUUCACCUCUUCUUCUACCCCUGUCUUAUGGGCCAUUGAUCCUAUUUAUAAGGGAGAAUUCAUGCUGAUUUUGGCAAUUACUCAAUUAUAUUUAAUUAAAAUGAAUAAUUGAGUAAUUAUGAUUUUAUUUAUUUUUUUCUUUAUUUUAAAAUGUGAUAUGGGCUUUUGAGUUUUUAUUAACUUUAGUAGACUUAAAAAUUUAAUUGGGCUAACAAUUUAAAUCGACCCAAUUCAUUUUUUUUAUUUUUUUUUAUGUCUACAGUUUUCUGUAACUUAGUAGAUAUAUAUAAAGUCCUAAAGAGUCUUGUGACAUGAGGAAGGCUUAGGGUUGAAGAAACUGACUAUUAGAGUGAUAAUAAACAAGCAUGACGUGUGGCUAAUCACGAGGUGGCUUCUUAUAUUAAAAUCUGAUUGUGUACUUAAAUUUGCAGGCACAGUCCACUUAUUCAUGACCUAAUUUAAUAUGCUUACAACCUAUUUUACUUUCCUUAAGACUUAGAAAUAUUUUAUUGAGCAAUUUCCUUAACUGUUAAUUUGAUUACUAACCCGAUUGACACCUGAUUCUCGACCGAUUUCAAUAAUUUGUACUUCAAUAUUUAUAACUUCACACAAAUUGUGAUCAUAUCACUUCAUGUUUAAUGUCCCAAAUUUGUUGUUUACUUAUCUGAGGUUUAAUUACCAAUCGGCAUUAACUGUUUUGAUCCCAUGCAGGACUGUGGAAAGAGUGGAUGAAUUCUCAUUUGAUAGUGUUCCUAUCAUAAGAUCAAUGUUUGUUUGUUACCUAUUCAUAAGUGUUUAAACCUUCAAGUGAUUGAGCGUACGCCUUUUGUCAGCUUCAUGGAGAGAACCCUUACGCUAAAUAUUUUAAUGCCCGUGAGUUAUAGAGCUAAGCGUUUAGCUUGAGACACACCUGACGGUACAUGUGUCAGGGUUGGAGGUAAGAUGGCUAUGUAAGCAUACGCCUUUUGUCAGCUCCAUGGAGAGAACCCUUACGAUAAAUAUUUUAAUGCCCGUGAGUUAUAGAGCUAAGCGUUUAGCUUGAGACACACCUGACGGUACAUGUGUCACGGUUGGAGGUAAGAUGGCUAUGGUUUGACACAUACUCACAAGUUCUCUAAUUGUUUUUGAUAUCCUGAUAUUGAUGACACGAUUAACUUCUUGAAGUGUUGAGUUUGAAAGGCAUAAAUUGUGGUUGAAUUGGAACUUAACUAUUUAAAUUGUAUUGUGGACCAUUCCUUGAUUGUCAUGUUUUGCAUAGAAUUUCUAGGGACUAGCAAUAAGCAAGUUCGGGUGUGAUACGUGCAUGAAAGUGUACUUUAAACACCAAAUUACUAUGCUAAAAUUUCAAAUUUGAAUUGAAAUCAUAAGAAUUAAUUCAUGUUCUUGAAAUGUUGUUCUAUUUACUUUAAGAUAAUUUCUAAUCCGAUUCAUGCAUUUAAUUUAAGGUUUUUAUCCAAAUGAAGAAUGGAUCGACUUCUUAAAAAAUAUAAAAUAAAAUUGCAACACUGGCCAUGGGUGCCUCGGCACCGAAACUCUACCCGAAACGACAGUAUGCGGGUGCUGCAGGACCAGUCCUGGAAAAUGAGAAUUUUCAAAUUUUUGGACGCUUUUUGGCUCAUUCGAAUUCUAAUCUUCUUGGGAACUCUAAAAGGCAUGAGAAGACAAUCCUAAAAGAGACUUUUUGGAGAAUAAUCAGGAAGAAAAACAAGAAGAGAUGACCAACAAUUCCAUAGAGAUCUAAACAUCUUGUCAAAGCUAUGAAGGAAACUCAAUUGGGUUCUAUGAUUUCAACAUUAUUUGAUUUAUAGAUUUAGAUAUAGAUUUUCAUUUUAGACAAUUUUGUGGUUUAGAACCUCUUUUAAUAAAGGUCUUUUGGGAUUGGCUUAACUUUUAUUAAAUUCUUCAUGGAUUCAGUCGUACUUUUUCUACUGAAUGAUUGAAAUAUUCUUUUAAGUUUUAAUCUCAUUUAUCUAUUUUUACUAGUAUGUUUCAUUACUACUUUAUUCCUCAAGUAUAUGAUUGUUUUUUUGAAUCUUAUUCUAGCAAACAAAAGUGUGAAUGUUGUGGUAGGAGGGUUGAUCUUUAGAAUUACAAUUGAAUAAAACUGGUUUUAACGACAUUUCUUCCGAUUAGAGAAACUAGGUUGAACAUCUCUAGUUGAGUUAUAAUAAUGAAUCAUUGAUGUUGAAUGACCUAAUCCAAUUAAGAAAAUUGUGACGUUUCACUAUUUCAAACCUUGAUUUUAUUUUCAUUCAAACAAAUAAAUUCUUUUCACACAUUCAAAAUUAAACUAACCUUUCGGAUACUUUAAGUGUUUUUAACUAUCUCCAUAUGGAAUCGACACUCUAAACCUACGCUACAACUACCGCGUUAUUCUUUGGCUGUAACAAAAACUGUAUAACUCCCAUUGAUGCUAACUCAAAAAGUACUUUGUCUCCAACUAUAAAUUCUUGCAUUCUCCUUCUUUUGUCUGUAUUGUUUUAUGUUGAUUUUGAGCAAUUUGCAUCCGUUGGCAUAUUUGUGUUACAACUUUAGUCAUUUCACGAACCAUAUAUGGACCCCAUAGUUUCUUUUCUCCAAUUUCAUCCCAGUAAACCAGAGAUCUAUUUUUUCUACCAUAUAAUGCUUCCUAAGGAGCCAUUCCAAUUGUAGCCUCAUAAUUAUUGUUGUAUACAAAUUCCAGUAAAGGCAAAAACUUACUCUAUUAACCUUGGAAAUCCAGUACACAAGCCCUACAUAUCUUCCCAGUCCAGUAUUUUGUGCUAUUCUUUCUAUUUGUCCAUCAAUUUAAGGAUGAUAAACCAUGCUAAAAGAUAACUAUGUUCCUAAUAUGUAAACUUUUCGAAAAGAGAGAUAAGAAUUUAGAAUCCCUAUAAAAAAAUAAUAGAUAGUGGUACCCAUUAAGUCUAACUAUUUGUUAUAGAUAAGUUGUGCCUAUCGUAUCCUUUAAUAAUUUUUUGUAAUUUCAGGACAAAAUCUAUUGUGAUUAUUUCCCAUUUCCACCCUUGGAUAGAUAAUUGUUAUAAAGUUCCUUCUAAUCUUUGAUGUUUUACCUUUAUUUGUUGAUAUAUUAAGCAUUGUCUCACAAGCUCAGUUAUAACACUUUUCAUGUUUGGACACAAAUAAUGCAAUUUCAUAUCUCUAUACAUUUUAGUAGCUCUUAGACGCACAGAAUAUGAUGUUAUUUAUGCUUCAGUUAGAAUAUCAACUUGAACAUUUUUUGCAUCAGAUACAUACAACCUCCCUUUAAACCAAAGAAUACCAUUUUCUAGUAUUUGAAAGUCUGAAAAUUUUCUUGAAUGUAUAUUAUUCUUUACCUUGAAACAAUAAUCAUAUACAUGUUGCCUUUACAUAAUUCGAUCCCUCAAAGUUGGUUGAAGGGUCAAGGCUUCAAGUUUAGCCUCCACAGGUAGAUUGACCUCAAUACAUAUAUGAGACCCACUAUGCUGACGUAAGUCUAAGGUUACCUCAUCAAUGUGCCGUGGAACCCCAAUGGCCUAGUUAAUGCAAAUUAAAAAUCUUCGUAUGAAAAUCUGUAGGUAGUAAAGGAAAAAAAUACCCAAACAAAAACUAUAAAUGUGUCAUGUUCAACGCUAAAAUCAAGUGUCCACUUAAUAACAAGAUCAACAACUAUCGAUAUACCAUAAGGGCUUAAGAAAUAAAAGACUCUAAUCAUCCUCAUGAGAUAAAUGAAUAAGCUUAUGCUUGGCAUCUACCAAUCCUAGAUAUAAUCUCCGUAAGAACUAAAUUUCUGAAAGCUCUCGUGUAACUAAAUUAUAAAAGGCUUGCAAUGCGAAAAUUUGCAACAACUCCAAUUGUCAAUUCAUCCAUAUAUACACAAAAAGUUCCUUAACAACGCACCUGUGGGAUGUCGAGUCCUGUAGAACUUGAAGAAUAGAUACAAAAGACUUCCUCUAGCUACAGUCAACUUAAGAAAUAACAGGUCGACAAGAAAGUACAGAAACAUAAGACUUCUUUCCUUGGUUCUAUCUAAACUAAGCAACUGAUGGUAAAACAGAUAGAUAGGAUGACCUGGAGGUAGUAGGGAAAACACGAGGAGCAGUAAAGCUAGGUGCAUAGCAUACACCUGUCGCCUGUCGGCAUACCACGCGCCCCUCGUCUGAUGCGAGCGCUAUGUAUGGCUUUGUAUGCUCUUUUCAAAAUCUACCAUCAUGAAUGGAAGCAUCUUGACCCUCUAAAACUGCAAGUUUGGGAACGACAAUGUAGGUCCAUGAUUUGGAGUGACAGCACUAGGAUUUGCACUGAGGGCCUUCGUAUGGUUGGUGGUCUUUUGCAUGAUUACCCAAUAUUUUUAGCGUAAGGCUGGUGGGUUAUAAGUGGCGGUCGAGGGCACAUGCCGCUACCGAUGAAGGACAGGUCAAGUGGUUUGGGAUUGAAGGGAAAAUUCUCCAUUCUAGAGAGAAUAGAAGGGAGAGCUAAUUUUUCAUACUUAUCAAUGAUGAUUUCAAAUGUAGCCAACUCGUUCAAGUUACUAAUAUGGCUAGAAAGUUUGAUAUGGAUUUUUGUAUCUAGAAGUAGAAUUGAUCACAUUUGAAUUAAUUUAUGGAAGAAAGAAGUAGAAUAAUAUAAGUUAUAUUAGAAUUGGACAGAAAUACUUAAAAAUAUUUAAAAUUAUACUCCACUAUCUUUGUUAUUGGUGAACACCAAAUGUAAUCUUUAUCAUAAUCAUCAACAUACGCUUCUUAUGUUGUAACAGGAUUUAGGUGCCUGUAAUAACUCCAGGUAAUUUGUGUAGUUAUUUUAGUAAUAGAUUUUUGAGUCUUGACUAGAUAAAGGUUCUAACAUUUGACGAGUGUCAUAAUGCAAUAGACAUGAUGUGGUGAGAGCAAAGCAUAGAUGGAGAUCGAAACAUAUCAUUUUACACUAUAACCAGAUCACAACAUUUGUUAGCUACUUUGCAAGUAGGGGAUAAAAUUACUUAUGACCCGGACCGAAUUUAAUAUUUGAUGAGUGUCAUAAUGCAAUAGACAUGAUGUGUGCAGAUCACAACAUUUGUUAGCUAUUUCGCAAGUAGGGGAUAAAAUUACUAUCAACAUCAAUCAAGUUGUUGAUUAUUUUCGAAACUUGUUAUAAAAGAUAUGGGAUGAUGAUACAUUAGAUGACUAGUUUAUUAGAAACAUUAGUCUAUCAACAAUUACAGAGAAGAGCGCUUUAUUAGUAGCUAUUCCAACUAAUCUGGAAGUUUAGGAUGUGGUUACUAUUUGGAUCCUAACAAUGCACCAGGUCCCGAUUGUUUUACUGGAAUGUUUUUCCAACGAUGCUGGGAUAUUGUGGGCCCUGACGUGGUUAAGUGUUGUGCAAAAAAAUAUUCUCACUGAGAUUAUGCCAUUUGGACUCAAUUCUAACAUCAUGAUACUCAUCAAAUAACAUCGGAGACUAAUUCUUCGAAAAAGUUGCAACCAACGUGCUUAGUAUUUUCUUGUUUAAAGCAACUACUUAGACUUUUGCUACCCACUUCGACUAUUUUUCUCAAGGAUUGUUUCUCUGUAAUAAUUUGUUUUCAUCAAAGAGUGGCACACAAAGAUAGUAUUGUGUUGGCUUCAGUUUGUGUUAAUUCUCUGGAUGGAAGAUGUUUUGGGGGUAUUGUAACCAUCAAAGUGGAUGUUUGGAAGGGUUUGAAAUGGUGAGGUGGGAUUUCUUACUUUAUGUUCUUCCCACCUAUGAUUUUGGUUCUAAAUUUCACAAUUAGAUUCCAAAUAUCCUAAGCAGUAGCCAGAUUUUGGUCCUUAUCAAUAAAACCCUUUUGGUUACUUUAGCUACUCUAGUAGGGUAAGACAAGGAGAUCUAGUAUCAUCAUUUCUUUUGUCUAAGAGGAGUUCCUUAGCCAAUAUUAAAGCUUCCUCAAUUCCUAUGGCAGGAUCGAGGGGUGUUGCAGCUCUCACACACUUAAUGUAUCCUGAUGAUUUGAUUUUAUCCUGCAAAGGAACCUUAGGUAAUUUUGGGGUGAUUUACAAACUCUUCAUUUUUAUGGCUCUUUUUUUUUUUAUUGUCAAUGGGAAAUUGGGAGAAAGCUUAUGUUUUAUUUGGUUGCACGACCUCUAAUCGAAGAGGAAGGUGGCUAGUCAAUGUGAUUAGUAUGAAGCGGAUUUCUUGCCAUUUUUUUUUUUAUCUGGGUAUGAAAAAUCUUGUUACUCUUAACUAUGCUUGCUUCGAAAACUAUCAACGAAAUUAUGGAUAUUAGAUUCUUUUGUAUAUUAUUUUUCUAAGAGCACGGUUUAUAAAUGGUUUGGGAUGGCCUCUAAUACAUCACCUCUUCCAUUUGUCCUGUUUUGUGGUAACAUUAUAUUGCUCUAAGGGAGGAUGCUCCCUGGUUAGUUAGAGAGCGCACUAAACCAAAAUUUUGGUUUGGCAACUGAAUGAGUGAACCAUUUGUACAUAUGUUGGGUUUUCGUAUGGUUAUUCGACUCAUUUCAAUAUAUUAUUGUCUGUUUCUAGUAAAAUGGAUGGUGACCACAUGGAGAGGUUUAGGAGUAAAUUUUCGAUUAUUUGCAGCUUGAUUGAAUGUAUUAUCCCAUUGCAUGGGUUGCAAUAUGAAUUAAUUUGGACUGGAUCCUCACCUAAACAGGUAUAAUUUAAAGAGGCCUAUGAGCAUUUUCAUCCUCAGAGCCACCCAGUUUAAGUGGAUUUGAAUGAAGUUCAUUCGUCCAUCUCCUUCAUUCCUAUUGUGGAGAAUCCUUCUUCAACGGGUUUCAACCGAAGAUAGGAUUUCUUUGCUUAGUGGGAUUUUGGUUAUACCUCUGAAAACCUACAGAGAAUAUGGAGUAUCUUUUACUUCAUUGUGAAUUUGCACAUUCGGUAGACUGUUUUGCUAGUAGCUCUUGGAAACGUAACUACCAUCCUCAGUUACUCAGUAUUUGGUGGCAAUGUUAGCAGCAACCUUCUAGAGCAAUUUACAACAUAUACCAGUUAUGGCUCUAAUAAUCGAGGAAAUACACGAAAAUGGCUCUUCCACUGUAGCAAAAUUUGACAUUGGCCUUUGAGCCAUUAAAUAAAUUAAAGAAAAAACAAAUUAAGUUAAAAAAAAAAAAACUUCACAGUAAAAGGCGAUUUUACCCUUCAAACUGUUUGAAAAAUUCUGUCUAACCGACCGACAAAAAAGAAACCGAUGCACAGUCGCCAAAAAUUUGACCAAUCAACCACCGGCAACUACACCAACGUUACAGUCAACGACCUUCAUCUACACUGGAAAUAAAAUAACCGGUUAGUUUUCAUGAUGACUUUUUGUUUCAGUAGAAAAUUUAUUGAAUAAGUAAAUUUAGCAUUUUCCUUACAUUAUUCAGUUUAAUUAGAUCCAUGGGCAUGAGUAGUUAGAUUGUGGGCAUGCUGGGAGUAUGAAAAAUGUGAAUUUUUUUGCAAUUUUUGGAGUUCUGUCACCGGCAAUGGCGAUUUCCAGCUUCAUCGACUGUUAACAAUCGAUUCACCCUACUGUUAACAGUUUGGGCCGACUGACUAUUAACAGUCUUGGUCGACUGUUAACAGUCGGCCCAGAUUGUUAACAGUCGGGCCAACUGUAAACAGUCGACCCAUGACUUGUACAGUCGGCCCAGACUGUUUAACAGUCUACUUUAUUUUGUAAAAAAUAUAUAUAUAUAUAUUUAAUUUUUAUUUAUUUUUUAUAAUUUUUGUAAUUAAUUAAAUUUCUUAUUUGAUUAAAUAGUAAUUAUGUUAUUUAUUUAUUUAAUUUUUAUCAUUGUCAAUAUAAUAUAGUAAUUGAAAUAUUGUAAAAUUAACAAUAUUGAUCCUUUUUUUUUAUAAAAUAAUCUUUAAUUUAUUUUUUUCAAAUUUAUUUAAAUAAUAUAAAUAGUGUCAUUUUUUGAAAAUGUAAAUUAAUUAUUCAUUAAUUUCUAUAAUUGUCUUUUAUAUAAUUUAAUAAUUGAAAUAUUCUAAAAUUAACAAUUUUGUGCUGUUCCAUUUUUUUAUGAAAUUAUCUUUAAUUUAUUUUUUCAAAUUUAUUUAAAUAAUAUAAAUAGUCUUUACUUUUUUUGAAAAUGUAAAGUAAUUAUUUAUUUAAUUUUUAUAUUUGUCUUUUAUAUAAUUUAAUAAUUGAAAUAUUCUAAAAUUAACAAUUUUGUGUUGUCCCUUUUUUUUAUGAAAUAAUCUUUAAUUUAUUUUUUCAAAUUUAUUUAAAUAAUAUAAAUAGUCUUUACAUUUUUUGAAAAUGUAAAGUAAUUAUUUAUUUAAUUUUUAUAUUUGUCUUUUAUAUAAUUUAAUAAUUGAAAUAUUCUAAAAUUAACAAUUUUGUGUUGUUCCUUUUUUUUUNNNNNNNNNNNNNNNNNNNNNNNNUGAAAAUGUAAAUUAAUUAUUUAUUUAAUUUUUAUAUUUGUCUUUUAUAUAAUUUAAUAAUUGAAAUAUUCUAAAAUUAACAAUUUUGUAUUGUUCCUUUUUUUUUUUUAUGAAAUAAUCUUUAAUUUAUUUUUUCAAAUUUAUUUAAAUAAUAUAAAUAGUCUUUACAUUUUUUUGAAAAUGUAAAGUAAUUAUUUAUUUAAUUUUUAUAUUUGUCUUUUAUAUAAUUUAAUAAUUGAAAUAUUCUAAAAUUAACAAUUUUGUGUUGUUCCUUUUUUUUUAUGAAAUAAUCUUUAAUUUAUUUUUUCAAAUUUAUUUAAAUAAUAUAAAUAGUCUUUACAUUUUUCGAAAAUGUAAAGUAAUUAUUUAUUUAAUUUUUAUAUUUAUCUUUUAUAUAAUUUAAUAAUUGAAAUAUUCUAAAAUUAACAAUUUUGUGUUGUUCCUUUUUUUUAUGAAAUAAUCUUUAAUUUAUUUUUUCAAAUUUAUUUAAAUAAUAUAAAUAGUCUUUACAUUUUUUGAAAAUGUAAAGUAAUUAUUUAUUUGAUUUUUAUAUUUGUUUUUUUAUAUAAUUUAAUAAUUGAAAUAUUCUAAAAUUAACAAUUUUGUGUUGUUCCUUUUUCUUUAUGAAAUAAUCUUUAAUUUAUUUUUUCAAAUUUAUUUAAAUAAUAUUAAUAGUCUUUACAUUUUUUGAAAAUGUAAAGUAAUUAUUUAUUUAAUUUUUAUAUUUGUCUUUUAUAUAAUUUAAUAAUUGAAAUAUUCUAAAAUUAACAAUUUUGUGUAGUUCCUUUUUUUAUGAAAUAAUCUUUAAUUUAUUUUUUCAAAUUUAUUUAAAUAAUAUAAAUAGUCUUUACAUUUUUCGAAAAUGUAUUUAAUUUGAAAUUUUUUGUUUGUAAAUAUAUUUUCCAAAUAAUAAUUUUUUUAUUUAAUUAUUUAAUUUUUAUAAUUGCCUUUUUUAUAUAGUUUAAUAAUUGAAUACAUAAUAUUGUUCGAAAUUAACAAUUUGUUUUGUUCCUUUUAUUGUUCUUUUAUGAAAAUCUUUGAUUUUUUUUUCAAUUUAUUUAAAUAAUAUUUAUAUUCUUUAAUUUUUUUGACAAUACAUUUAAUUUGAUUUGUUGUUUUUUGUAAAUAUAUUUUUCAAAUGUAAUAUUUGUGAUUGUAUGGUAGUUAGAGUUUGGUUCCCUUGAUUUUGUGAGAUUAUGCUUUCUUUUGUUAUCUCUUGUUCAAUGCUAUAACAUUUGAAUUUUUACAGGAUGGAGUAUCAUUUAGAUGCAGAGUUGAGAUGGAUGGCAGGGAAAGCUACUUGGAACAGUAGUUUUGAGAGUUUUACUGCUGUGUUGGAGCUGCUCGAUGAUCAGCACGGAGAUACGCUACGACAGUCCUUCUUGUGGCCACUGUACCAGUUGCGAGAGGUGCAGUACUCAGGACAUAUCAUUGAUGCACUUCUAUGUCGGCUUCUGAGGCCAGUCGACGGCGAUUCCCUCCAGUUCGACCUCGGGGGCAAGGUCGUCAGUUUCUCGAUGUUUGAGUUUACAUUGAUCACUGGACUGAGGAUUAUGGGCAACGAUGCAGCCAUGGAGAGAAGCAAUAGGCUGUACGAGACGUACUUCCAGGGACAUAGGUCAGUGCUUCUACCCGACUUGAUGGUCGCGAUCAGGGGGUGCGACCAUAUCAUUGAAGCUUGGGCUGGUCUACAUCCUCGAGAGUGUGAUGAUGUGUCAUCACAAGAAGACUGCCAUCGACAUUUUUCAUUUGCAAGUUGUUGAAGACAUCGAUGCGUUCAACAACUAUCCAUGGGGUCGAAGAUGCUACGAAGACACCGUACAUGUGUUCACCAAAUGGCACUUGAGGCCCAGGUGGUUGAUGCGUAAAUACGAUACAUAUGGAUUGCCCUUAGCGGUGCAGGUAAAUGUUUAAUAUAAUCAAAGUUAAAGUUUUAGUGUAUUACAUUGAUGCUUAAUAAGUGUAUGUGUUACAGAUUUGGGUGUAUGAGACAGUUCCUGUACUGGGGGCCCACUUUGCGCAGCGAUGGGAGACACGCUGCCCUCGGAUGCAUCAUUGGAGAUCAUCGUGAGCCGAGGGAUGUCCCACUGGGAAGCAGUUAUCGGCCCUUCUCGACGAUCCUCAGGUAAGUAUUAUGCAUUUGUGAUUUAUAUUAUACGUAGUUUAAAAUUUUGUUUACAUGAUCUUUAAGUAGUUGAAAUGUCAAUAUGUCAGCUUGAAGUCAUACCUGAGUUGACGCCGUCGAUGGAAGAGGAGGGUCGGGGUCUUGUGCGGGAUUUAGGCGUUUCGCACACCCCAGACGAGGAGAUGUCUGAUUCGAGCUUGGACCGAGAUUGGGUAUGUGAAUGAAAUAUAAUUUAUUGAAUAUCGUCGACGUAUAAAUUUAUUGAAUAAUUUUUAAUUUUAUUUAUGUAGGAGGACGGUCCAGCUGAUCGACGAUCACCUCUGCCGAGGGUAUCGCCGCCACCAUUGGCAUCACCUCCGCCGGGAGUAUCAUCUCUGCCAUUGGCAUCACCUUCGUCGAGGGCAUCACCUUCCCUAGUGGCAUCACCUCCGCUGGGGCUAUCACCUCCGCCAUUGGCAUUACCUCCGUCCAGACACCUCCCCCGUGUGUUUCCGGGGCACAGUGAUGAUUUGUAUGCCUGUUUGACUGGAUUUAUAGUGGAGGAAGUCGGCGCGCUACGACGAGAUUUGACAGAGAGGGUCGAUGAUCUGGGACGAGAGUUGACAGGAAGGGUCGACCAUCUGGUAGGAAAUGUCAACUAUCUGACAGGGAGGGUCGACGAUAUGGGACGAGAGUUGACAAAGAGGGUUGACGAUCUAUCCCAUGAUGUUGGAAUACUAUAGUCUUCCGUUGUCAACCUUCGGGAUACAGUAACGACACUUAGAGGAGAUUUAGACGGCAGACGAGGGGGGGACAGAGGGGAUGGCGGAGAUCAUGAUCGAGAGAGUGCCAUAGAUGGUGAUGGAGAGGAGAGUCACCCACAUUUUUGGAGUGAUGAGACAUUGGAGUCAUUGUGGUUGUCUAUGGAGGGAGUGGCCCCGAUGGGGAUAGAAGAGAGGACUACGGAAGGGGUGGCCCCGACGGGAGGGGCGGAGGAGGUGGUGACGGAGGGGGAGGCCCCGACAGGAGGGGCGAAGGUGGUGGCGAUGGAGGGGGAGGCGCCGAUGGAAGGGACAGAGGAGGUGGCCCCAAAGGUCGAGAGGACGCCCGGCGUGAUUGAGGGUAAGAGACAUGCUGUUGACGAGACGGAGCAGGUGGUCGGCAAGAGGUUGAGAGUGCCGUCACAGUAUGUUGUUUCCCCUUUCACGGCUGAGGCCAAGAGGAGGACGUUCAUCGAUGGGACGUACCCGAACUUAUUCAGAGAGGUGGACAAUGCCAAGUGGAAAGUGUUCGAGACAGAAUGGAGGAGAAUUAUCCCCGGGUAAGUAUUGUAUGAUUUUAAUAAAGCACUAUACGCUAACUCGUCUACGCUUAUUUUAACAUUUCCCUAUUUUUUACAGAGUUAGCCGCACGAUAGGUCAAAGGACGGUCUCGGACCCUUACAAGUGGUUCCACGAUAUCACCACUGCGGGAGCUUGGCUCGCUGACGAUGUAAGUGAACUAUUCAUUUCGUAUUUUUUAUGUAUAUGUGACCUUGUGUUUAUUAAAUGAAUAACUCAUACUUUUUUGGUGUUUCCUGCUGCAGCACAUCGACCUGGCCAUGGAUUUCCUGUGAGAUCGAGCUCAAAGACAUCCAAAAUCAUUUGAUGUCCAUGGUAGAGUCAUAUUAAACACCGAGUUCCUGCGUACCGUUACCAUAGAGUAUCAAUCGCUCAAACUUAUGGGUAACGAGUACACGGUGCCAGAAUAUAUGCUCGAGUGGGUGAUAGGACUGUCACCGAGUGUCGGGGGAAAAUCAUGGGAGGGUUGUACAUUCCAACGUGCAUCAAUAAACACUAUGUUACGCUGGAGAUCGUUUUUGCUUACUCGACUAUAUAUGUGUACAACCCAGAUCAUUCAUGUUUGACACAAGGCCAGUUGGAGCAAAACCUGGAGUCCGUGGUUGUAAUUGUUCCUAUGAUGGUCAGACGAAUGGGGAUAAAUGUACAGGACAGAUUGCAGCUCGUUCAGAACACGACGACAGCACGACAGUUCGUAAGGUAAGUGUUUGAACUUUGUUGUUUUCAUCUUUCAGAUUUAGUUUUUAUUUACACAGUACUGAACUGAUUCAUUCUUGUUCAAUUGCAGCGGCAACUGCGGCAUAUUUGUCAUUAAGUACGUUGAAUUAAGUAUAGGACAUAAGGUUGAUGGAAUCAACUAGCCGUGGAUACAGAACUGGAGAAAGAAGCUAGUAUGUGAUUUGUUCGAAUUUAAUGCUGACCCAUAAAUUUCAUUUAUAUAUAUGUAACAUUUCAAUUGUAAAUUUCAUUAUUUUUGUAAUUAUGAAAUAAUUGUAAAUUUGUGUUCAAUGUAUAUAACAUUCAAAUUGAAAAUUUAAUUAUUUUUUGUUAUUUUACACGUAUUGCGAGUAUGGAACUAUUUUUUUCAUAUGAAUCAUUAUAAAUACCAUUUAUCAAGAAUAAAUAUUGAAUAUUGAAGAUUUAUAAAGAACAAAUAUUGAACAGUGUAAAGUAAAAGGAAAUAUUAUUCAUUUCAUGUACCUGUCUAGUCGUCAUUUAGGGGAAUUUCACUGGUACAAAAUUGUCGAGUAUGCCCUACGGCUCUGCACCGGCCAUACCUACGCGAUCGAGAAAACUCUCCGGUAGAUGGUAUUCUAGAUAUACUUGGACGUCCAGGACCACGCGGUUCAACUGCUGGUGGUAACAAAUUAUGAAAUGUGAGAAUGUGCUCGGGAACUUCCCAUUCGGCUUCAUUCGGCAGAGAAAAUAUAGUCUCGGCAUAUGCUGUUCUCCAAGACUCGGUCGUAUAAUACAAAGAGCAUAACGUUCUCGCAGCAAAGCCUCGAUACAUGGCCACCGCAACUGCAUGCUCACAUGGAAAACUCUCCAAUUGAAAUCUCGUACAAGUGCAUGUGUUAUCAGUCAAGUCCACCAUUUAUGCCGUAUUACGUGCACAUUGCACAAAGAAGCGAAACUCAUCUAGUGUUUCCACAUUCAACUUCCUCGCAACCUCUGCCGCCUUAAACAGUUUCUCCUCUUGAGCUGGGGCCAACACACUAGUGCAGCUCUGUGAUGCCGCACGUCGAUCAUAAAACCACUGUUGUAACUUGUUACGAAUGUUCUCAAUCAUUGCAAGAAUUGGUAACUCUCAAUCCUUCUUAAACAAUGCAUUAAGAGACUCCGCGUUAUUCGACGUCAUCAUGUUGUAUCGACAUCCUGGAAAGUAUGACCGUGCCCAAUGUUCGAUCCCCAUCUUUGUCAGAUACUCCAACGCCGGUAAUGAUUUACUUCCUAUCUCGAACAUGAACUUAUUACACUCUUCAGCACUGUAAGCUUCGGCUGCUCUCCUGAACAAUGAAACGAUGCCUGUGCCCCGAUACCUAGUCUUCAAAUUACUUGUAUAUGGUACAUGCAAUACCCAUGAUGUGCCUCGGGAAAAACUUCAGCGAUACCAUUUAUUAUAGACUGUCCCCGAUCGGUUACAAAGGUAAGGUCUUCGACUUCCCCGAUCACUUCCCUCAGUUUAGAAAAGAACCAACGCAUGGACAGAUCAUUCUCGCUGUCGACUAUGCCGAAUGCAAUAGGGUAAAUUUGGAUGUUGGCAUCUUGACAUGUUGCAAUAAUUAAUUUGCCUUGAUAUUUAGCUUUCAGAGUUGUACUAUCAACUAGAAUUAUGGGUCGCAUUGCAUUUCGAAAACCCCGAAUACAUUGUUCAAGAGCCAUGAAGAAAUACUUAAAACAAUUAUCGUCCCCCGUCUCAAUAAAAAAUGUCGUGGCAGGAUUAGUUGUCCCCAUGUUAUGGCAAUACCUAACCAAUUUAGCAUAGCUCUCUUCAGCCAAUCCCAUUAAAUCCUCCAACGCACAUUCUUUGGCCUUCCACUCUUUCUGGUAGCUCAUGACCACUCCGUACUCUCGACGGACAUCGUUAAUGUGUUCGAAGGCCUGUAGAUUGCCCGUGGAUCCUGAUACUUGUGCAUUAUCAUCGACCAAUAAACCAUACUCGAGUUUGCCUGUGAUCGUUUCGAAGAAUUCCCACUUCACAAGUAUGUUCCCGUGAAUACUUGCGAAUUACGAAACACUCAUUCAUGUCCAUCUUAGUUGCUCUCAAGCGCCAAUUGCAACUAUUUUCGACGCAAGCAACUAUCAACAAUGACUUGUUUGAUUUCUUUACCUUGAACUCAAAGUUAUAUUUUAAUGUCAGCCGGUGCACAGCUUCCUACAAAUCUUUCUUAGUUUCAAAUAGUUGCUCGACCUGCAAGUCCUCAUCAUCAGGAGCCACAUGGAAAGAAUUGGAGGACGGUCCACUUGUUCCAACCUGUGAGCUCCCACCCGGCUCGUGUCUCUGUCGGGAUAAAGCAAUCAAAUUCUCAUUUGUAAACUCGUUUAUAUUCUCAUUGUCUUCAACUGUCGACGGAAUUCUACGCGUAACAGCGACAUCACGAUCAGAAGCAACUGUCUCAAGAAUACCCACAUCAUUCGUAGGAACUAUCUCCACUGUCUCCCAAAAAGCUCGAUCAUUGUUAUCCGCCCUAUCUGAAUCUUCGCGUUCACCUUCGAUAAUAUCCUUCGUAAUUAAAGUCACACCAAGAACAGUCGGAGUCCGAUGCAUUUGAUUCAAUUCUAAUAGAUAAUUCAAUUCAGCAUCAUUAGUAACGAAUACCGGUGGCAUCGAAAUGGAUGAAUCCCCAUAAUCGUUGAAUAGAUAUCUCAAUUGCAUAUCGUAUUGAGAUUGAUCGACAUUCAGCUUAUUUUGUAAAUCGUGGUAUAUUUCUAAGUAUGGUGUACUCUUUGUUAUGGGAAUUGCAAUACAACCACGUAUGUCACUCGUCCAUCUCCAUUCCCACCGAUUAUUUUCAUUCAAUUCGAAAUCACCGAAAUAACAGAUAGGGAUUAUCAUAUCUGCAUGAGGAAAUGGUUUUAAUCAACUUCAUUUAUUAAUUAUAAGAAAAAAUUAGUGCCAACAAAAAUCAGUGCAGAGUCGGUUAAUUGGCUGUUUCCGACUGUUUGGCUGUUAACAGCCAAAAUAGCCAGUUUGGCUGCUUUGGCGCAGGAGAAUACGGUUCUAAAGAAAAAUAUUAUACAUCUGUUCAAUUUUUUUUGAUAGUUCAAUUUUUUUUGAUAGGUAAGAUCUGUUAAAAAAAAUUUAUGCUAACUACUAUGCCGACAUAAAAUUUCUCUAUUCAAACAUAUACUAAUUUACUGAAAACGAAAUUAAACAUGCAUAAAUGUACUUACCGAUUUGAAGUAAUUGAUAUGAAAAAAAUUUUCGGCUUCAACAUUUCAAAGUUUUUCUAGAUUUUGAGGUUCAAACAGAUGAAAAGAUGAGAGUUUUUCCUGUGUUGGAAGCUUGUUUUGAAGUUUUUAUAAGUGAGGAAGUGUUUGAUUUUCAAUUAUUAACUAAAAGGGUAGUAUAGUCCUUUCAACAAUAUAUUGUUUUGUAAUUGUACAAAACAUUUAAGGGCAUCUUUGUCUUUUACCAUACAAGAGGCCAAUGUCAUAAUAUUCAUGAUUUUGAAAGUCAAAGUGGAAUUUAGGUCCUUUGACUGGGUCAAACUUAAAAGUACCCCCUAAUAAUCGGCUACAGUUGAUGAUAGAGAUACGAUCUUAUGUCUCUUUGUCUGCCAGGAUAUUAAAGAAGAUCUCACAAAACACAUAACCCGUGGUGGAUUUACGAGAAGUUGGACAACCUGCCUAACGGAUUGUAAAGAUAAAUCAUUUUGAGAAGGGAAAAAAACCCUAUCCUGCGUUACUUUUUAAAUAACUCGGUACACGCAUGGCAACUUCCGUAUGUGGUAUGCGUGGUGUAUGCAUAGCACAUGUACCGAAUAAGUAAUAUCAAGUCAAGUAAACAUCAAAUAAAUUACGUGACCAAAAAGCCACCUAUAUUGAGAUGGAUCUCUAAGAAAUUUAUCUUUAUCCGAGAAGCUUUAUGUUUUGCUCCAUUGGAUAGUUCAUGGGUUUAGCUCUCAAUAAUCCACCAUCCUUUAGAAUUUUCAAAGUAUAAUUUCUAUGUAAGAUGGAAACACCUUUCUUUGAUCGAGAGACUUCAAUGCCCAAAAUAUAUUUUAAAUCACCCAAAUCUUUAAUUCGAGAAUGAUUAUGGAGAAAUUACUUAAGAAAAGAUAUGGCAUUGAGAUCAUUACUCGUAAUGAGACUGUCAUCAACAUAUAUCAAUAAACUUUUAAGGAUUUGCCUUUUUGACAUGUGAACAUAAUUUGCUUUGGAUUGAACAAAUCCAAUAGUUUUAACAGAUGUAGAGAACUUAGCAAACCAAUAACAAGAGGCAUACUUUAAGUAUAACGGUUUGUUGAGGUGACACACUAUGUUCUCCCCUUGUCAUUGAAAAUUGGGUGGUGGAGACAUAAAUUUCUUCAUGGAGAUCAAUGUGAAGAAAAGCAUUGCAGACAUCAAGUUGGUAAAGAGACCAAUUUUGGGCAACUACCAAAGCUAAUAAGCAAUGAUUAAUAAUCAUUUUAGCAGUGGGAAAAAAGUCAUGAUAAUCGAUACCAUCAAGUUGUGUGUAAUCUUUUGCAACUAAAUGUGCUUUGUAACACUCAAGAGUACCAUCUGAGUUCCACUUUGUUUUAUCAACCCAACGAUAAUCAAUAGGCUUGUCCUCAAGAGGUAGAGAAGAAACCAAGAGUAGUUGGCUUCUAAAUCAGCCAAUUCAGAUUGCAUUGCUUCUUUCCAGUAGGGAUGAGAAACUGCUUCUACAAUAGAGGUGUGCUCAAUAUCCUAACUGGUCAUAGCAAUAAAGAAGCGAAGUUCUGGUGAGAAACGAUAAUACAAGAGAAAUUACAAAGAGGAUACCAUACCUUGUGGUAGACAACAUGAUAAAGCGGGAAUAAUUUGGGAGACGUCACUUGGUUGCAAACAAAAUUGCAUAAGGCCAUGAAGGAGCAUGAAGUCUUUAGGAAUACUGCAAGGCUGAUAUUUUUAGACACUUCUUCAAACUUAUUGUCGAUAAUAAGUAGCAGUCAAAAAUUUGUAUCGACAGUGGGAGGAAUAGGGUCCAAACUGGAUACUGGUAUUGAUAGCAGUGGUGUUAAUUGAACACUUAAAAGUGGAUCUAAAGAGGAAGAAUCGGAAACAACAACAUAAAUUACAUAUGCUUAAUUUCUUAAAAAGCUAGGAGUAGUAAGAAACCUAGUGUUUCUCAAUUAUGUAUUGUGGUAGUAUUGUCUAUAUUCAUGUGCCAGAUGAGAAGAGAUCAAAGCUUGAUGAGAAAAGUUGGAAAUUUGUCAUUGUUCACCAUGAUUCUAGCUCCAAAGGCUACAAGUUUUACAAUCCUUACAAUGGGAAGAUUGUUAUUAGUAGGAAUACGGAAUUCAACGAAGGAAUCUCGUGGGAUUGGAAUGUCUAGAAAAUGAAGAAUUAUGUGAUUUUUCUUUUCCAAGAAAGAGACUCUAGACAAGAAGUGAAGAUGCUACUCAAUCACCUACUCCUUAAUCUUCUCAUAACAGUCCCUUCGAAGGAUCGGACCGUAUUAGAAAUCUAGCAGAGAUUUACGUAAAAACUGAAAAGGUUGAUAAUCCAUCUUCCUUUGGUCUCUUCACUGACACCGAGCCAUUGAACUUUUAAGAGGCAAUGAAAGAGAAGAAAUGAGGCAUGCAAUAGAUGAAGAGAUUUGAGCAAUGGUACAAGGGAGCUAACGUCUCUUCCUAAAGGACAAAAAGUAAUUGGCAUGAAAUGGGUGUACAAAGUGAAGAAAAAUGCUCGAAGAGAAGUGGUUGCCAGAGGUAAUAUCCAAAAGCAUGGCCUUGACUAUGAUGAGGUCUUUGCCCAAUUGCUCACUUGAAAACCAUUCAGUUAAUCAUUUCUUGGCAGCUCAAAUUAAGUGGAAAACUUAUCAAAUAGAAUACAAGUCUGCUUUCUUGAAUGGCUACCUUGAAGAAAAAGUGUAUUUUCAACCACCUUUGGAUUAUGUCAUUAGGGAAUAUGAAGAUAAAGUCUUGAAGUUGAAGAAGGCACUAUAUAGCUUGAAGCAAGUGCCUAAAGCAUGUUAUAGCCAGAUUGACAAUUAUUUUGAAGAUCAUUGUUCACCAACUCUUUCUGUAAAAAAAAAAAAAAGAUACAUAUGGAGGUUUUAUGAUUGUGUUCUUCUACAUUGAGGACUUGAUCUUCACCAGAAACAAUAAAAAAAUGUUUAAAGAAUUUAAGAAGAUGAUGGCUCAAGAAUUUGAGAUGAUUGAUAUUGGGCUCAUGUCCUACUACAAUGGGAUUAAGAUAAAACAAAAUGAAAAUGGCAUUUUCAUUUCUCAAGAAACUUAAAAUUGAAAUCCAGUUAGUACUUCCAUUGGGUGUGGAACAAAAAUGUCAAACUAUGACAAGAUGAUGAAAGUAGAUCCAUCUCUCUAUAGACAGCUUGUUGGAAGCUUGAGAUAUUUAACUUGUACAAGACCCAAUAUUCUUUGUGGUGUUGGUCUUGUUAGUCAUUAUAUGGAGGUACCAACUUUAACAUGUAUGGAGAUUGCUAAAAUGAUACUUAAUCAAAAGUACCCUUGAUUAUGACUUAAACUUAUUCUCCUUUUUCAAAUUAAGGCUUUAUGGUUAUAGUAAUAGUGAUUGGGCUAGUAAUAUAAUGAUCAAAAAAGCCUUACUAGAUUUUCAUUUUUUUAUGGAUAACACCUCUUUUACUUAGUGUUCAAAGAAGCAGCCCAUUGUGACUCUUUCUACUUGUGAACCUAAAUAUGUUUCCUUUGCAUCAUGUGUUUGUCAUGCCAUUUGGCUAUCAAAGAUGUUUAAGUUGCUUCAUAUGCCUCAAAACGAAGCUAUAUAAAUUUAUGUUGAUAAUAGUUACGUCUCAUCACAAGUGGCUCCAAGUAGCCAACCCAGCCCAUCUAAGAUAAGGCAUGUGGCUUGGUGGUCGAGGCCCUAUGUGUCGAUGCCUCAACCUAAUCUCAACAUCUCCGAGCCUGAGGUGCACUAGCGGAGUCGAGGCGGUAGGCCCAUGAACCAAGGCUACGCUUUCGAAGCGCUCUCAUUAUCACUUUCUCCAAGAGAUCUAUUCCUUCACAAGUAUCUUUUUCGAAUCAUUGAUGUGACGUUUAUCACAGAGUUUAAGUGUCAAGUCUUAUCAAUCAAAGUGACGGUUCUGCCACUUAAUAAAUGUAAAGUGGGCUAAUAGGUCAAAGGUGAUGCCUAGGAGUAGAAAUGUGGAUUGUGGAGAUGAGGCCACGUGUAUUCACACCCGAGGGCCCCAAUUCACCUCGCACUAUUAUAAAUAUUUCCCCAUGUCCCCAUUGUAAGACUAAUGCAAUUUCACAUACAAAACUCAAUACCAGAAUAAAUACAAAACAAUUCAUCCCAUUUUACUCUCUUGCGAAUACAAUUAAGUUUGCAUAAUGGUCAUCAAUCAUGAUUGGUAAUUAUUGUAAAUCGUUUUACAAAUGUAUCGCCAGAUUCCGAAUGUUGUCGUCCCACACCUUUUAGCUGCUCCCACGUCCCUUUUUAGACCAUUCUAGACCCUUUGUAUGUCUUAACGUAUUGAACUUUUACUUAUAUGUGCGCAGGUGGGUCCGAUAUCUGUUGUCCACUUGGCCAUAACCAAAAACGAGGUCAACAAUAACAAGUUAGCUAUUGCUGUUAGGUAAUAAUCUCAUAUUCCAUGAUCGAAGCAAUCAUAUAUAUACAAUAUUUCUCUUAAUUAGAAAGUACAUUGAGAUUAAGGAAUUUUAGAGCUUUCUCAUAUAAAGACCAUUGAUCAAGUAGUAGACAUUUUUAUUAAGCCAUUGAAGAAUGAUGAUUUUGCAAGAUUGCGUGCUUAGAUUGGAGUUACCAAAAGGGAAUCAAUUUAGGAAGGGGUGUUGGAAAUAUAAACUUGACUCAUGAGUGUGGGAAAUUAAAUUUGAUUCAUAAAUUAGUUUGUUUAAUAUUUAAUUCAUGGUUUAGUUUAUUUAAUAUUUAUGUAUUUAUUUUAUACAUGUAUCCACAUGGUUCUUUUUGUCCUACUAUUCAUAGUAUAUAUGAGAAGUCAUUAAUUAGCCUACUGAAUUUAUACAAUAUAUUCGAGACUCCUUAUACCUAUAAAAGGCCUUGUGACAUGCCCCACUAGUGGACCCGGAACGUGAUGUAUGUAAAUGAUAGAUACCAACUAACAGUCGGACCCUCCAUCAAAGGUACUAUAAUAUGCAACUUUUAUAAAUUAUUUUUAAUGGAAUUUAGACAUUAUUUCCAAAUAAAUAGGAUUACCGACUUGUAAUCCACUAUACACAAAUCCUAAAACAUAACACAGCACAAUAAGGAUAAGCCGAAAUCUUAAUUUUUACAAUGAAAAGAAAAUGAAAUGUACAUAUGGAUGCAAAUUACAUAGUGACCUUAUAACUAUCUACAAGUAAUGCGAAAUCACAUCUAAAAAUGGACAUGUGUCCCAAAGUACUGACCACAUACUCUAUGAAAUGAGUCAUACAACAAACUUUAUCAUGUAGCUCUGACUCCAAAAGCAAAGGCUCAACUCCAAAAAAUACUCAAAGACUCAACUUCUACAUGAUAAGAAAAAUCGUGGGAGAAUAUGUUAGUUGAUAGCUCAGUGAAUGAAGAAAUUCAAAAAUAAUUAUAGUUUCUUAAUUAUAUAUUUUUAUCGAAAAUUGAGUUUACAUCAUCUAACAGUUUACAGUAUAAUAAUAAUAAUAAUAAUAAUAAUAAUAAUAAUAAUAAUAAUAAUAAUAUUAUUAUUAUUAUUAUUAUUAUUAUUAUUAUUAUUAUUAUUAUUAAAGAUGCGAGAUACCUUAUAAAACUAAAAAAAAUAUCAUCUCAUUAUCAUGAUAUAAUCAUCAACUGAAAUCUGUACAAUCAUCUCAUCUCAUCAAAUAUACUAGAAAAUUCACCAAAAUGUACCCUCUAAUUGAAAUUUGUAAUCUAAUUAUACGCGUGUAGACUGUUCCUCAGGCUAAUCACUCCCGACACGUACCUCAGGCUCCUCAGUGAACAGGGAUAUUAAAGACCUCUCAUAAUCAAUUCUAAAAUACAAUCAAGGUCGCUCAGUGAACUAUAUAUACAUGGUCAAGACCCCUUCACCACAGUCAAGACCCCUCAGUGUAAUAUAAAACAUGGCUUAGGCCCUUCAGUGAGCUAGAACAAGUAUAUAAUCAUGGGUACUUUUCUAGUUGAUCUCAAUAUUACAUACGUAAUAUAAUCCAAUUUACAAAUGUACCAUGUACAAUCUUGAAAUUUCACAUGCAUCAUAAUAAAAUAAGCUUUCCAUAAUAAUCACAUAAUUGUACCUAAUUGCACAUAAUGUAAUAGUAUAAUUAAUUUAUCAAUAUUUGAAAAUAUUUAAGUUUUUCCACUCACAGAAAUAUGUAAGCAAAAUCAACUCGACUGGUAAGCUGUCCUAAUAUUCGUAUUACUACCUGAAAUAUGAUAUAAUUUUUAGAUUAACAAUUAACUAUUUUAAGAAAUUCUAAUAAUUAUAUAGACGAUAUCAAAACUUAAUAUUUUCAUGUUUAAGUGAUUUUUAAAGUUUCUUUAAUUACUUAAGCUAAUUUUUAUUUCAUUUCUGACAUAUUAUACUUAAUUCAAUAAUUUUUCUUCUUUAAAAUUGAAUUUAAACUAACAAUUUGACAACCCUAAAAUUUAAAAUAACUUUCCAAUAAGUAACUUUUUACUUACCUUUCCAAACUGAAGAAUUCAAGUUUAAUAGUAAAAAUUACUUAUUUUCUAAUCACGUUGGCAACUUUUCUAUUUUUCUCUUCUUCCUCAUUUUUCCCCUCUUUAUUCUUUCUUUUCCUCUCUACCUCGUUUCUCUCUUUCUGUGUGGUGUGUGUGGAAAUGGAUUUAUAGGCAUGUGAAUUAAUCAAUCCAAUUCACUGCCUUACUCCCCUUUUUUAAAAUUCUAUUUCUUUUUUUUCUUUUUUUUUUUUGUUGGCUUGACAUUUUUUGCUUUUUUUUUUCUUUUUUUAAAGUAAGGUAUUACACUAUGUGCUUGAGAUAUUUGAUACAACCAAGCCAAAGAGUGCAAGUAUCACUUAAGAAAUUCUUGUGUUUUCUCUCUAGCUUUCCUCCCAUAAUUGUUUAUUUUUCAACAUCAUUUUGCUAAAAGAAAUCCUGCAUGGAAACAAAAUUUCCCUUCAAUGUCAACCUGAAUCUUAGCUAUAGAAGCAUUGAAUAGUGUUUGAACAAAAUAGAAAAAAUUAGCAAGUAAAUGUUGUGUUUCACUCUUAUGAUGCAUGAAAAAAGAACAUGUGAAUUGAUAAUAGUCAUUCACACACACACACACACACAUAUAUGACCAGAAAGAGGGAAAAUCUUGUAAGGACACCAAAUAUCAAAAUAGAUUAAUUCAAAAGGUUUCAUUAAUAAAAUUGAACUAGAAGCUUUGAAUAGUGUUUGGACAAAAUAGAAAAAAUUGGCAAGUAAAUGUUGUGUUUCACUUUUAUGAUGCGUCAAAAAAGAACGUGUAAAUUGAGAAUAGUCAUCCACAAUAGUCAAUAUAUAUUAAUUCAAAAGGUUUAAUUAAUAAAAUUGAACUUGAUGAAAAGGAAGUUGAGUCUAUUUUGCGAGUGCUCAAACAUCAUAUGCAGUUUGGAAAUAAGAAUAAUUUAGUUUUUUUUUUCCAUAAAAUAUAAUCUAAAGAACGAUAAAUACCCCAAUCGGCUAUGCUAUAAGUGUGUGGAAGAGUUUGAGGAGGUGGUGAUCGGAGAAUAGGAUGAAUGAGUAUCAAUGGUUGCUAUAGAUUGUAUUUUAUGUUUUUGGUUUCUCCGUUGCCAUUGUACCAAGCACCAUCUCAUUGUUUACCAAAAUCAAAUUUUGUCUUCAUCAUCAAGUCCUGCAAAAUACACCGAGGGAAGAAGGUUACCAAACAAUUGAGAUCUCUUGUAAUUCAACUCAUAAACAUUAGAUCAACCUUAUAGGAUGCCACAGCAAACAUAUUUUCUAAAGAAAUAAUUAAAUUUGAAGGUAAAUUUCUAGUAGAUAUAAUCAGAACUGAUUCUCCACUUGGCAUAAAAUCGGUGGCAAAGUGUUGUUCUCCCUAAUUUUGAAGAGUAAAGUUGGAGAUGAAUUGAUGUGGCCUAUUGUACCUCUAUCAAUGAUCAAAUUGGGUAUUUUGGUCCCAAACAAACCUUAGGAGCUAUGAUGAUUAACGAGUUGAAUAUUAUAUUUCAUAGGCUCCAAGGGAUGAAUAUUUAAAUAAAUAGGCCAUCUCCACAAUUUGGUAGCCCGAUUGAAAAGAUAAACUAAAGACCAUUAAUAAAUGUGGAAAUUAUACCAAACCAUACUUUUAAAGGUUUGUGUUUUAAAAUUAGAUAAAAGGUUUCAUUUUUCACAAAUCAGAUAUUUCAACCCAAACCCUAAUACAUUUACCCAAACCAUAAAAAGCAUUUCUCCUCCUCUCUUUCCUUCUCUCCUUGGUCUCUAUUCUUCUCUCUCUCUCUUCCCCCAUCUGGUACCGAAACCAUCCUGAUCAAUGACGACAAGGCACAAUGGUGCAUUGCUAAGGAAGGGCCGUGAGGCGGUGCUGUUCCCGAAUUUGAAAUGUUGCAUUGAUUUUUUUAGGAGUUUUUUUAUUCGAUCUAUAAUGUAGUAGUUGGCAGUGUUGGUGACAGUUGUGGCGGGUGCUUUGUGUGUGGGAUGUCAUGUGUGAUACGAGCCUUGAUUUUUUUGGGAGUUUUUUUUAUUCGACUUAUUAUGCUAUGGUAUGGUGGCCGGCAGUGGUGGGGUGGUGAUUAUGGCGGGUGCUUGUUGUGUGGGAUGGCAUAGGUUAUGGUAGCCUCGAUUUUUUUGUGGUGGUAGUGGAGAUGAUUAUGGCGGGUGCUUUGUGUGUGGAAUGCGAUUUGGUUGUGGUUGCUGCAGAUCGAAGCUGAAAAAGAUAAUGGGUAGUUGUGGUUGUUGAUGAGUGUGUUUUUGCACACUUAUCUAGGUCAUAAACAUGACUUGAUAACGAGCAAAAUGAUUGAAUUGUGACUUAAUCUCAUACAUUUGUGAAUUGUAGGGAAUAACGAUGAACAUGAUGAAAUUCAGGAGAAAAGACGCGAAAAAGGAGUAAAGUGAUGAAAAGUGAAAGUUCAGGGACCAAAAGUGCAAAUAUCCAAAAGUUGAUCCGAUGAACAAAUCGAGAAAUCGAUUAGGCCAAUUACCAAUUGACGAUAUCGUGGGGUGAUGAAAUGAAAAGAAUGAAGAGAAGAUGCUAAGAAGUGAAGGAUGCAAGUGGGAGGACAAAAACACAUUUCUACCAUAGUUGAUAGUACUAUGCGACCGCAUAGUACUAUCCUCUAUGCGGUCGCAUAGCACCAUACCGAAACCAAAGGAGCUUCAAAAGUUUAUUCUAUGCGACCGCAUAGCCGCAUAGAGCAAAUAUUGAGGAAAAAUUUAGUUUCCUUUUUCUUCCGAAACUCUUAUGGAAACAACAUUUUUAGGGUCCUAUAAAUACAAAAACUCAACAGAACGUGUGGGAUGCCAUUUUUACAUGUUUUGGAGAGAUUUUGAAGGAGAAACGAGGGAUAGAACAAGAGAACAAUAUCGCGUCAAGUGAAGAUCGGAUUGAAGAUUGAUUCGGGUGAUGUCGUUUCUUCAAAAAUUUUAUGUUUUGUUCUUUUUAGCAUGUUAGGCUAGAUUUAUCACUACUAGAAGAUCGAUGAACCUUAUAAUACUACGUUUAAUUGUUGUUUUGGAUUUUUGACAUAUUUGAACACUAAUUUCGGAAUUGAUUGAUUUAUUUCAUUUUUAUUUUCAUAUAAUUAUUGUGCACAUAAUUAUAUAAUUGUGGUGACCUGUUUUAUGCAUUAGAAAGAAGGAAAAUAGGUUCGACAUAGUAUAAAUCAUCAUAGGGUCUGAUAGAGGAUAGAAAUAUACCUCUAUGCCUUGUGUGAAUCAUUGGAUAUUCGUGAAUUUAUAAUGCAUGUCGGUAUAUUAGUAUUCAUCAUAGAAAUAUAGUCGAAUCAUAUAUUAGGAUAGGUUUGGCAUUGCUGGAGAGAGAUUGCUAAAUUAAAAUAAGAAUAUCGAUUCAUCAUUUUUGGAAUUGUGUGUCAAAUUUGCAUAAUUGACAAUUGAAUGGGGAUUGCUUGGGGAUUCGUGAUCCUAGUGUGUUAGAACAUCCAUUAAUUCUAUAAAAUUCUAGUUAAAUUGCAUCCAAGUUAUUUUGAAUUUAGUAUAAUUCUUCAUCCAUAAUUGCAUCAACGAUUACAUUUUAUUAGUUAAAGUACAAAAUCGCAAUUUGGUUGUCGUGUUUUGGUUAAGGUCAUAUUAGAUUAAUUCGAACUAAUUCAAUCCUCGUUAGAUCGAUACUUAGAAUCAUACUUAGAAUCAUAGUCCAUUUUACUACUUGUUAACGAACCGUACACUUACGGUGGAUUUAAAAUCGAAAUAAACAAUUUUGCAAACAAGUUUUGGCGCCAUUGGCGUGGAUUGAAAUUUGGUUUUAAUUUUAUCUUUUGUGACAUUAAUUCAAACUUAUCUAGAAUAAAUAGUUAGCUUACUAGGUUUAGUUUGGUAUUACUUCAAUUUAAUUUUGUGUUGAUUUUGCAAUUUCAGGGCUUGUAUGCAAGGAGCACCUGAUCAAGAUUUGGUUCCCAUAGAUCCAGAGAUCGAACGCACAUUCCGUCAUAGGCAAAGAGAAGCAAGAGCGGCACAACAAAUGGCUAACGAGCAAAAUCGAUCGGUAAUUCCACUCAACAAAGGCAUGGCAGUUGAAGAUGAUGGGAAUACAGUACUCGAGGACUUCAUGGCUCCGUUGGUGGUCCAAAGUCAAUCUAGCGUUGUAUAUCUUCCAUUCGAGCAACAGAAUUUCUAGCUGAAAACAAAUGUGAUUCAACUAUUUUAGAAUGGGCAUCAAUACCACGAGAUGGCUAGUGAAAAUUCGCAUACACACAUAUCCCGAUUUCUGGAUAUAUGCCAACACUUCAGGUACCAGGGUAUCUCGGACGAUGCUAUAAGAUUGCGGUUAUUUCCACACACCUUACAGGAUAAAGCACUUGAAUGGCUAGAUUCACUUCCCGUCACAAGUAUCACCACUUAGAACGAGCUAGCCCACAAAUUUUGCACCAAGUUCUUCUCGCCAGCAAAGGUAGCCAAAAUGCGGCAUGAUAUCUCUAUUUUCAACCAAGGUGAGUCCGAAUCAUUUGAAGAGGCAUGGAAUCGUUUCAAGAAUAUGUUGAGGAAGUUCUCGCAACAUGGCUUUGACAAGAAGACACAGAUCCUAUUUUUCUACACUGGACUACUUCCAUCCUUCAAGAGCAUGAUGGAUUCCUCAUCUGAUGGGUCUAUCUCUACGAGAACAAUUGAUGGAGCAUGGGAGCUAUUUGAGAAAAUGAUAAUAACUUUAGCCAUGUGGUUCAGAAGAGAUCGCCAGAGGUUUAUGAAGUAGAUACUUAUUUCGAUCUGCAAAGAUAGACUCUUUGUUCCAUAAGAUUGAGAGUAUUUCACAGACCGCCACUGCUAAACAAGUUAAGAAGUCGAGUUGUGAAAAAUGUGGAGCAGACCACAAUAUUGUUAAUUGUCUAAUUCUCGCACAAGGGGUCGAACAUGCAGAUUUUGUGCAAUGGGGUCAACGCCAACAGAACAACACACAUUUGGAAACCUUCAAUCAGGGCUGGAGAAAACACCCAAACUUCUGGUGGAGCAAUUAGAAUCAAAACAGACCACAAGGUCAAUAUCAACAGCAGGAUAAAAAGCCACCAUUGGAAGAGAUGUUUGAAAAGUUCAUGGUAACAACCAAUCAGUAUAUGGAAGCCAACAAUCAGUUUAUGCGAAAGACAGAUGCAACUCUUCAAGACCAAAGUGCAACAAUCAAAAAUUUGGAGACACAAAUGGGACAGAUGGCAAUCUCCAUGACGGGUAGAGCACCAGAAAAUCUGCCAAGCAACAUUGAAAUCAACCCUAAGGAGCACGCAAAGGCUAUAACAACCAGAACUGGAGUACAACUACAGGAGAUACAUGUCAAAAGAUCGGUACCUAGCAAGGAAUCAGCACCAACCUCGGAUGACGAAAUUGUGGAAUAAACUGAACAAACAACAGGGAAUAUGGUCAAGGAGAAUUCCAAUACAUCAUGGGAUGCCAUUCCUAUCAACCCUCAUGAGCCUCCUAUUCCAUUUCCGCAGAGAUUGAAAAACCACAAAUUGGAUCAGCAAUAUAGUAAAUUUCUUGAAGUCUUCAAGAAACUACACAUCAACAUCCCAUUUGCUGAAGCACUUGUUCAGAUGCCAAGUUAUGCAAAAUUCUUGAAGGAUAUCCUCUCCAACAAGAGAAAGAUAGAAGAACACGAAACAGUGAUGCUAACUGAGGAGUGCAGUGCCAGAAUCCAGAGAAAGUUGCCUCCGAAACUAAAGGAUCCAGGAAGUUUUACUGUACCUUGCACUAUUGGGAAUGGUCAUUUUGAUAAAGCAUUGUGUGAUUUAGGUACAAGUAUUAAUUUAAUGCCUCUCUCUGUUUUCAGGAAACUCGGCUUGGGUGAAGGUAAAGCCACAAUAAUUACAUUACAGUUAGCAUAUCGAUCCCUUACACAUCUAAGAAGGAUCAUUGAAGACGUAUUGGUAAAAGUGGAGAAGUUCAUAUUUCCAACCGAUUUUCUUAUCUUGGAUAUGGAGGAAGAUAAGGAUGUUCCACUUAUAUUGGGGCGACCUUUCCUAGCUACUGGAAGAGCGAUUGUUGAUGUUCAGAAAGGGCAGCUUAUAUUGAGGCUUGGCGAAGAGCAAAUCUCGUUCAACGUGUUCAAGGCAAUGAAAUUCCCGACUGAGUCAGACAGCUAUUUUCAGAUCGAUGUAAUUGACAGAAUAAUUCAAGAUACGUUUUGGCUACAUCAUCUUUCUGAUGCUUAUGAGGUGUGCAUUGCACAUUCUCAAUCCACUCACACUGAUUCAAGUGAGAUUGAAACAUGUGCACGAUUUUUGAAAACUAAUCCGCCAUACAUGCGCAGACAUUACUUCGAAGAGUUAGGAACUAAGACUACACAAUCAGUGCCAUCUAUUCAGCAACCUCCCAAAUUGGAACUCAAGCAACUACCACCACACCUGAGAUAUGCUUACCUGGGGAAUCUUCUACACUUUCGGUUAUUAUUUCGAGUACUGUCAGUGAGGUGGAGGAAGAGAAACUACUUCGGGUGCUAAGGGAGAAUAAAAUAGCCAUUGGAUGGUCGAUUACAGAUAUCAAGAGGAUCAGCCCGUCGCUAUGCAUGCACAAAAUACUCAUGGAGGAAAAAUUCAAACCAAGCAUUGAUGGUCAGUGGAGAUUGAAUCCACACAUGAAGGAAGUGGUUAGGGCUGAGGUAUUGAAGUUGCUCGACGCAGGCAUCAUCUAUCCAAUAUCAGAUAGUGCUUGGAUCAGUGCAGUACAAGUUGUUCCCAAGAAAGGGGGUAUCACAGUGAUAAAAAAAUGAGAAAAAUGAGUUGAUUCCUACACGGACUGUGACUGGAUGGAGAGUUUGCAUCGAUUACUGUAAACUAAAUGCUGCUGCUCGAAAGGAUCACUUCCCACUACCAUUCAUUGAUCAGAUGCUAGAGAGACUAGUGGGGCAUUCGCAUUACUAUUUUCUAGAUGGAUAUUUCGGGUAUAAUCAGAUUCCAGUAGCACCUGACGAUCAGGAGAAGACAACUUUCACUUACCCCUAAGGUACCUUUGCAUAUCGUAGGAUGCCGUUUGGUUUAUGCAACGCUCCUGCAACUUUUCAAUGCUACAUGAUAGCUAUCUUCUCAAAUAUGAUUGAGAAAUUCAUCGAGAUAUUCAUGGAUGAUUGCUCAGUGUUCGGGUCUUCGUUUGAUGAGUGCUUGGAGCAUUUGAGUCUUGUGCUAUAGCGGUGUACGGAGACUAACUUGGUAUUGAAUUGGGAGAAAUGCCACUUUAUGGUACAGGAAGGCAUCGUGCUAGGACACAGAAUCUCAGCAAAGGGUAUUGAAGUGGACAGAGCAAAGAUUCAGGUGAUCGAGAAAUUACCGCCACCUACAUCCGUGAAAGGUGUUCGUAGUUUCCUCGGGCAUGCCGAUUUCUACAGAAGGUUCAUCAAGGAUUUCUCAAAGAUUACUAAAUCGUUGUGCUGUCUAUUGAUGAAGGAAUCCACAUUUGAGUUCACAGAUGAGUGUCUGCUCGCUUUUAACACCUUGAAGGAGAAGUUGAUUUCAGCACCCGUGAUCAUCACAUCAGAUUGGAAUAUGCCAUUUGAAUUAAUCUGCGAUGCCAAUGAUUAUGCUAUUGGGGCUAUUUUGGGAUAACGAAGAAAUAAGAUAUUUCACGUGAUUUACUAUGCAAGUAAGACCUUGAACGAUGCUCAACUCAAUUAUGCCACUACAAAAAAAGAGCUCUUUGCCGUAGUCUACGCCUUUGACAAAUUUCGAUCAUAUCUCAUGGGAUCAAAGGUCAUCGUUUACAUAGAUCACGCUGCUAUCAAGUACUUAAUGGAAAAGAAGGAUGCAAAGCCCCAUCUCAUUCAUUGGAUACUGUUGCUUCAAUAGUUUGACUUGGAAAUCAGGGAUAAGAAAGGUAGUGAAAAUGUAGUGGCAGACCACUUAUCUCGACUCGAGGCCACAGAACAGACAGAAACAGUGGAAAUCAACAAAGUCUUCCCAGAUGAACAGAUUUUUAGUUUAGGGGAGGCACCCUGGUAUGCGGAUAUAGUUAACUACUUAGCCAGGUCUAUCAUGCCGCUUGAUUACUCCAGUCACCAGAAGAAGAAAUUUUUCUCUGAAUUGAAAUAUUAUUUUUGGGAGGAUCCCAUUCUAUACAGGUGGGGGGCUGAUCAAAUUAUUCGUCGCUACGUACCUGAGGAAGAAGUGUCUUUGAUAUUAGAACAUUGUCAUUCAUCUACAUAUGCGAGGCAUUUUGGUGCUUCAAAAAUAGCAGCGAAGAUCCUUCAAUUAGGUUUUUAUUGGCCUACACUAUUUAAAGAUGCUUUUGAAUUCGUGAAAAUGUGUGACCGAUGCCAACGCACCGAAAAUAUAUCUAGGAGAAAUGAAAUACCUUUGAAUAGUAUCCUGGAGGUGGAACUAUUCGACGUCUGGAGGAUCGACUUCAUCGGGUCAUUUCCCCCAUCCUUCUCUAAUCGGUACAUAUUAGUGGCAGUGGAUUACGUAUUGAAGUGGGUAGAGGCCGUGGCAUUGCCUACCAAUGAUGGGAAGGUGGUGAUUGAGUUUCUAAAAAAACAUAUUUUUUACCCGCUUUGGAACACCAAGGGCUAUAAUCAGUGACGGGGGCAAACAUUUCUGCAAUCGUAAGUUAGAACAAUUGUUGGCUAAAUAUGGCAUUAAAUAUCAUGUAGCCACUACAUAUCAUCCCUAAACCAACAGACAGGUCGAAGUGUCCAAUAGACAAUUGAAGCGAAUACUCGAAGUCACAGUAAGUUUGUCACGAAAGGAUUGGUCUAAGAAAUUGGACGACGCCUUGUGGGCCUUUAGGAAUGCAUUCAAGACCCCUAUAGGAAUGUCACCAUAUCGACUGAUUUUCGGGAAAGCAUGCCACUUACCUCUUGAGAUAGAACAUCAUACUUACUGGGCAAUGAAAAAAUUGAAUUUGGACUUGAAGGCUGUGGGUGAAAAACGUCUCCUACAACUUAAUGAGCUGGAGGAGCUCAGAAUGAAAGCCUAUGAGAAUUCAAGAAUCUACAAAGAGCGCACCAAGAAAUGGCAUGACAUGCACAUUCAAAGGCGUGAAUUUACGGUGGGGCAGAAAGUGCUACUCUACAACUCUAGGCUUAAGCUAUUUCCAGGAAAACUGCGAUCGAGGUGGUCUGGUCCGUAUACUAUUACACAGGUUUUUCCACAUGGGGCAUUGAGAUCACUCAUGACAGCAAGGGGACAUUCAAGGUCAAUGGACAGCGUCUGAAGCACUAUUGGGGCGGCGAUUUUUCAAAGGAAAAGUCUACCGUUCAUCUUAGACCACCAGAAUGAAGCAACACGGUAAAGUCGAGCUAUCGACUAUAAUCUAGCGCUAGGUGGGAGGCAAUCCACUGUAUCCUUUUAUUAGCUUACUUUUCACAUUAUUUUUAGAAUUAUUUCAUUUUUGCAUUUGCAUUUUUCUAGGUCAUCGGUGAGUUUGAAAUGAUGCUUAGCCCCUUACCGAAAACAAAAGGGGGUUUUUUAUAUCUACUAUGUGACCGAUUCCUCCCUAAUUUCCUCCCACACCAUACACACCACUCUCCAACACACAUCAACACGUCGAACUUCACUCGACUCCCUACCCCAUUUACUCCAUAAAUAAACAUUCCACGCAUCCCAUGCGAAGUCUAGGUAUGUUCCUCUUUCCUUCUUCUAUGCAUUUGUCUUCUCUAAUUUGGUUCGCCAUGAGAAUAAGCUAUUUAAGCCUGAUUAUGGAGGAUGGGCAAUACUUUUUGUUGGUUUUUGUGUAUGUUACUCUUGGCUUGCGUUGUGGAUUGGUGGAACAUUAUCAAUUUGGUAUUGUGUAGGUUUUUUCAAUCUUGCAUGCUACGUGUUCAAUGAAUUGCCUAUGUGACAAUUGUAGUACAUUUUGAGCAAUUUCGCAUUAGACAUUUUGAGUAUACGCAUUCCCAUAUACGUGAUGCCCAAAUGCCAUCGAAAUUGAGCUCGAAACACUCACCUUCUAACCCCACACCUUUCAGCUCAAGUUGAUGCGAACCCCAUAGCAACGUUGACUACGAAACCCACAACGAGAUUGACGAACCCAAGAAAGCCAAAUUAAUCCAAAGUUUAGGAUUAACCCAAAAGAAAGUCGAACUAAAAAAUCCAACAAGAACGACGCUUAAAAGACCCCUUGAUCACGUAAUCCAAGAAUUAUAUCCGGUUAUUUGAACGCCACAAGUUAACACUUGAUAAGUUCGAAAUUGUUCAAUGAAGAACGAUGAAGAAAAGACAAAACGUCUCACUUUUAAUUCAAUAUCAAUAAUGUCAAAGGUUUUUAACAAUUGAAUGGAAACUCCUACUAAACCUAAAAACUAGGUAAAAAUCGUGCAGAAGUCGAGUAUAAUCUCCAAAAUAUGGAAAAGAAUCAAAAUCUAACAAAAUAUGGAAAAUUGCCAAAAUUGGAAAAUUUGCCAAUUUUUUUGCCUGUGCGGCCACAUGGUGUAAAUCCAUGCGGUCGCAUGGUUCAACUGAAAUUGCACUUUUGGUUUUCGGUAUGCAUGUGUGCGGCCGCAUGUGGUUUUGCCUGUGCGGCCGCAUGGUGUUGUCUUCAGCCUCCGCUUUCGUUGCGUGAUAACAAAUUGAUCCAAGUUGAUUCGGCCUUCGACCCGACAUGAAAGUUGCUCCAUUUUGAGUCCCGAAUAUGGUUCCAUCAAUGGUUUCUUGAAUGAGCAAUCCCAUCGAUUGUUUCACUUGCUUUGCCCUUGAUCGCGUCAUUGGUCCGCCAUCGACUAUCAACGGGUCUCGUCUCGCACUUGCCUUCAUCGGGCUCAACUCCUGGAUCAUAUCAUCCCCUUCCUCUUCAAAAGGAUUCGUCCUCGAAUCUGAACCUGCAUCAAAUAGAGAGAGAUCAGAUACAUUAAAAGUAGCCGAAACAUUGUACUCACCUGGAAGGUCCAACUUGUAAGCAUUGUCGUUUAUCUUUUCAAUCACUUGAAAUGGACCAUCGCCCCUCGGUUGCAACUUGGACUUUCUUUACUCCAAAAACCGCUCUUUCCUAAGGUGCACCCAAACCCAAUCUCCUGGCUCGAAUGUCACACGCUUCCUACCUUUGUUCGCCUGCGACGCAACCAACUUACUUUUGUUUUCAAUUCACACUUUUACCUUUUCAUGGAGUGACUUAACCAAUACCGCCUUCUUUUUGCCAUCGAAACUACCACAUUCAUUCACAGGUAAAGGAAUCAAAUCCAAAGGAGUUAGUGGAUUAAAACAUAUACAAUUUCAAAUGGAGAAUAUGACUGUAUGCAAAUUCAACAAACGGUAGACACUCCUCCCAACUCUUCAAAUUUUUACUGAUUACUGUGCAUAACAAUUGUGUCAUAGUCCUAUUCACUACCUCAGUUUGCCCAUCUAUUUGUGGGUGACAAGUUGUGGAAAAUAGUAACUUAGUGCCUAACGUACCCCCACAAAACUCUCCAAAAGUGGCUCAAAAAUUUGACAUCCUGAUCCGACACUAUACUUCUAGGAACCCCAUGUAAACGCACAAUCAUCUUUAAAGAAUAAGUCAGCAAUGUUCGUGGCAUCGUCAGUUUUGUGACAUGGUAUAAAAUGUGCCAUUUUGCUGAACCUAUCUACAACCACAAAAAUAGAAUCCCGACCUCUCUUAGUCCUAGGUAAACCCAAAACAAAGUCCAUCGAGAUAUCAACCCAAGGCUCACUAGGUGUAGGUAAAGGUGUGUACAAACCUUGUGGUAAAAUCUUAGAUUUAGCCUUUUUACAACCUAUACAUCGACUGCAAAUUCGCUCAACAUCACUUUUCAUCUUAGGCCAAUAAAAAUGCUCUUUCAAUACAUCUAAAGUCUUUUGAACCCCAAAGUGUCCCAUUCAAUCGACCACUAUGUGCCUCCCUUACUAACAAUUCUCGAAUAGAACAAUUUGGAACACAUAACCUAUUUUCCCAAAAUAAAUACCCCUCAUGUCUAAAGAACCUAUCAACCGCUCCCUUAAUGUAUGACAAAUAAAUAUCCGAAAAAUCAACAUCUUUUCCAUAUAAUUCCUUAAUAUGUUCAAACCCAAGUAACUUAGAAUCAAGAGUACUUAGCAAGACGUACCUUCGAGACAACGCAUCCGCCACCACAUUUUCCUUACCUUGUUUAUACCGAAUGACGUAUGGAAAGGUCUCAAUGAAUUCCAUCCACCGUGCAUGCCUCUUGUUCAAUUUACCUUGUCCCUACAAGUGCUUUAGUGACUCAUGAUCGGUGUGUAUUACGAACUCUUUCGGCCAUAGAUAAUGUUGCCAAGUCUCCAAAACUCGAACAAAUGCAUAAAUUUCUUUGUCAUAUGUAGGAUAAUUUAAAGCAGCUCCACUCAAUUUCUCGCUAAAGUAUGCAAUAGGCCUCCGAUCCUGCAUUAAAACUGCUCCAAUCCCUAUUCCUGAUGCAUCACACUCAAUCUCGAAUGUUUUAUCAAAGUUAGGUAAUGCCAAAACAGGUGCUUCACACAAUCUACCUUUAAUAGUAUUAAAUGCAAGUUCCUGUUCAUCACCCCAAUGAAAACCUACACUCUUUUUAACUACUUCCGUGAGUGGUGCAGUGAUAGUACUAAAAUCCUUCACAAAUCGCCUAUAAAAACUAGCCAAACCAUGAAAACUCCUAACUUCCGUUAUGCUUUUAGGUGUCGGCCAUUCUCUAAUAGCUUUUAUCUUUUCAUCGUCUACUUCUAUCCCAUUAGCACUAACCACAAAACCAAGAAAAAUAACUCUAUCCAUACAAAACGUGCAUUUCUUAAGAUUAGCAUAGAGUUGUUCUUUCCUUAAAAUAAUUAGCACAAAUUUUAAAUGUUCCAAAUGCUCUCCUAGGUUUUUGCUAUAGGUUAAGAUAUCGUCAAAAUAAACCACAACAAAUUUUCCUAUAAAAGCACAUAAAACAUGAUUCAUUAAACGCAUAAAAGUGCUAGGUGCAUUUGUGAGUCCAAAAGACAUAACCAACCAUUCAUAUAAACCAUAUUUAGUUUUAAAAGCCAUUUUCCAUUCAUCACCCUCCCGCAUACGAAUUUGAUGAUACCCGCUUUUUAAAUCAAUUUUAGAAAAUAUGCAAGAGCCAUAUAAUUUAUCAAGUAUGUCAUCUAACCUAGGUAUAGGGUGACGAUACUUUACCGUUAUGUUGUUGAUAGCCCUACAAUCCACGCACAUUCGCCAUGUUCCAUCCUUUUUUGGUACAAGAAAAAUCGGUACCGCACAAGGACUCAUUCUUUCCCUCACGUAUCCUUUGCUCAUCAACUCCUCCACUUACCUUUGAAGCUCCUUAGUCUCCUCGGGAUUACUUCGAUAAGCCGGUCGAUUUGGAAUGAUAACUCCGAGUAUGAAGUCAAUUUGAUGUUCAAUGCCUCGAAUAGGCGGCAAUCCACUUGGUGCAUCCUCCGAAAAUAUAUCGUCGAAUUCCUGCAACAAAGACUUAGCCAAACUAGGGAGGGGUGGGUUAGUUUCCUCAAAAUUGAGGAGUGAUUCCUUAUAAACGAACAAGAUCAUCUCUUUCCUCUCAACUACCGCCCUCCUCAAAUCACUCUCUUUUGCAAAGAAAUUCGCUCGUGUUUUCUCUCUUCUCUCGGGGCACUCUCUUUCUUUUCUCUCUUGUGAUUGCUUUCUCUUUUCCUCUCUAAUGGCUAUCUCAACAUUUUCUCUCUUUUUCUCCAACUCACUAUUUGCUCUCAUUUUUUCUAACUCUUUUGCUCUUCUCUCUUCCUCACUUCUCAAUUUUAAUUGGUCCUCAUAGACUUGUGUCGGUGUUAAUGGCACAAGAGUAAUGGUCCUUCCAUCCUUAAUGAAACUAUAUCGAUUUUUGUACCCAUCAUGCAUAGCUUUCCUAUUGUAUUGCCAUGGUCGCCCCAAUAAAAUAUGUCCCGCUUGCAUUGGCACCACAUCACACACUAACUUGUCCUUAUAACUCCCAAUUGACAAAUUAAGUAACACCCUUCGAUUCACCCUCACCUCGCCACUCUCAUUCAACCAUUGCAAUUUAUAAGGUCUUGGGUGUCUCAACAAUGUUAAACCCAAUUUUUCUACAAGAGAUACGCUAGCUACAUUAGUACAACUACCACCAUCAAUUAUAACACUACAUACCGUAUUGUUGACGUGGCAUCGAGUGUGGAAAAUGUUCUCCUGUUGCAACUCCAAGUCAUCCGCUUUGACGUUAGUAAUGAGAGCUCGCCUUGUGACUAAUAGAUCCCCAACCGGCCCUUCAACUUUUUCUUCUUCACUAACACCCUCUAACGCCGGCAUGUCAUCAAACUCGCCAUCACUAUCGCUCACAAUCUCUCCAUUAUCCCGCAACACCAUCGCCCGUUUGUUUGGGCAUUGAGAAGCAAUAUGCCCCUUUCCCAAACACCUAAAACAUUUGAUGUCCCAAUUGCGCUACAGUUGUGCCUCCGAUUUGAUAUUGGUUUGCAAGCAUUUUCAUCCUUGCCCCUUUGCCAAUCAUUUUUACCUCUAGGUGCAGCCCCGUUUUUGUUGUUGUCAUCCCACUUCGAUUUCCAUGUUGGAUUAGGAGCUGAAGUACCUAACGGUUGCCUAGAUGUCCCCUUCCUCUUCAAUUGCCUCUCGACCUUCACUGCCAUAUGUAACAUGUCCUCGAUUUCCACAUAGUGUUGCAACUCUACAACAUUUGCAAUAUCCCGAUUUAACCCAUUCAAGAACCGUGCCAUGGUAGCUUCCCAAUCUUCCUCCACAUUAGCCCAAAUCAUAAGAAUUUCCAUCUCCUUGUGAUAAUCCUCUACGCUUUUCGAUCCUUGGUACAAACCUUGCAAUUUUUGAUGGAUUUCCCUAUAAUAGUGACUUGGAACAAACCUCCUCCUCAUCAACAUCUUCAACUCAUCCCAAGUGCUAAUUGGCCUUUCCCGACCGUUACGCCGUGAUGUCAGUACUUGAUCCCACCAAGAUAUCGCAUAAUCCACAAAUUCAAGCACCGCCAAUUUUACCUUUUUCUCCUCUGAAUAAUUAUAGCACUCGAAAAUCAUCUCAACCUUCCUUUCCCAAUCUAAAUAUGCUUCCGGAUCGCUUCUCCCCUUAAAUUGUAGAAUAGUCAUUUUAAUACUUCCCAAAUUUUCAUCUACUUCAUCUCCCAAGUUAUUUCUACCCCGUCUUUCCAUCCUAUCGCCCCUAUGCCUCGCUCGACCCAUAUCAAUGUCAUUUUCAUCAAAAUCAUCCUCAUCACUACAAUACUCAUCUCGCCUUCCUCUCCUAGAUUCACGCCUACCCGGCCCCCUAACAUUAGACAUCUCCACUUGUCCCCGGCUAAGAUUAGCAAUUGUAGUACCCAUUUGUGCCAUCCAUUCCCCUUGCCUAUCCACCUUCUCCCUAACAUCACCAAGUACCCUUUCAAACCUCCUUAUCAUGUCCUCCGAUGCAUUGUUGUCAUUACCAUUUCGGCUUGGAUUAGAACCUUCUCUUUCCGACAUCAUAUCACACAAUUUUUUUAUGCCUCACAAAGAUUUCACUCGGAAAACACUCACUAUGGCUUUUUCCCUCUAUCAAACUCUCCACUCGGACUUUUACCACUCAAAGUCUCCCUCCAAGCACUUCAAAGAACCAAGUGAACUAAAUCAAUUGUUUUACCAGCAAUUCAAACAAACCAAAUAUUAAUCAAAGACCACGAGACUCAAAGGAUUUGAAUAAGUGGAAUAGAUGAAUGUUUUGACACGAAUAUGUGAAUAGACUCAAAAGAAGAAUGACAGACUCGAACCCAAUUAAAUAUCCCAAAAAUCAAACACAAUGUAGGAAUUGUUGUUGGUAGAAAAAAACACAAAAUCAAACAAUGAUAUCAAAAAAAUAAAAAAUUAUAUAUAUAUAUAUUUUUUUUUGUUUUUUGUGAAUAAUACUUCGAGAUGAACAGUACCUCGAAUGUACAGUAACCCCUUUUUUUUCAUUUUUUUACUUUUUUUUUUUACUCCUUGAUGAAAGAAGGUGAGUAAACUACCAACAACUCAACAAAACGAUGAAAAGAAAACAAGAACGAAGAAAAACUAAGAAAGAAAAAUUAACGACCUAAACAAAUAAAGAAAAGAUAUAACCUUCAAUUAAUUUGGAACCAAAGCUCUGAUACCAACUGAUGCGAACCCCGUAGCAACGUUGACUACGAAACCCACAACGAGAUUGACGAACCCAAGAAAGCCAAAUUAAUCCAAAGUUUAGGAUUAACCCAAAAGAAAGUCGAACCAAAAAAUCCAACAAGAACGACGCUUGAAAGACCUCUUGAUCACGCAAUCCAAGAAUUAUAUCCGGUUAUUUGAACGCCACAAGUUAACACUUGAUAAGUUCAAAAUUGUUCAAUGAAGAACGAUGAAGAAAAGACAAAACGUCUCACUUUUAAUUCAAUAUCAAUAGUGUCAAAGGUUUUUAACAAUUGAAUGGAAACUCCUAUUUAUACUAAACCUAAAAACUAGGUAAAAAUCUUGCAAAAGUCGAGUAUAAUCUCCAAAAUAUGGAAAAGAAUCAAAAUCUAACAAAAUAUGGAAAAUUGCCAAAAUUGGAAAAUUCGCCAAAUUUUUGGCCUGUGCGGCCGCAUGGUGUAAAUCCAUGCGGUUGCAUGGUUCAACUGAAAUUGCACUUUUGGUUUUCGGUAUGCAUGUGUGCGGCCGCAUGUGGUUUUGCCUGUGCAGCCGCAUGGUGUUGUCUUCAGCCUCUGCUUUCGUCGCUUGAUAACAAAUUGAUCCAAGUUGAUUCGGCCUUCGACCCGAACAUGAAAGUUGCUCCAUUUUGAGUCUCGAACAUGGUUCCAUCAAUGGUUUCUUGGACGAGCAAUCCCAUCACUUGUUUCACUUACUUUGCCCUUGAUCGCGUCAUUGGUCCGCCAUCGACUAUCAACGGGUCUCGUCUCGCACUUGCCUUCAUCGGGCUCGACUCCUGGAUCAUAUCAUCAAGUGUUAGGUUCACAUCACCUCAUUGCGCACACUUCGUCCCUUGCGUUAAUUACUCGUAUGACGUCCAAUGAGCUAGAAAAUUGAAUAUGUGUCACAACUACAUACUCUCAUAUGCUCGGAGCUUGCCCGGGGAAAUUUCGAUAUUUUUCGACGAUGUCCGGGGCCGAACAUGCGCACUCGGUCAUGGAUCUAAUUUUUUUUUAAAUGUGCUUGUUUUGGCCUAACUUUCCAAUUUUUCACCUUGGCAUUCUCUUUACACUUUCCUCUUUGUCAUAUUUUGAUAAGUGCACACCAUGGUGUUCUAUAUGCAUGUUGAAGCAAGUUUGGGGGAUUUGUGAACUAUUUGUCUUGCUUAUCUCAUUCCCCCUAUCGUUUUUUUUAAUACUGCAGUUUAUUGACUAUUUUUUUCCUUUGCAGGAUGCCCCCAAAGCAUACAUCAAAGGGAAAGGAGAAAGUUGGUUCCACAUCUGGCACAGCUCGGACUAGGAAACCCGAAGGAGGAGUCCGACGUUUUCUUUCUUCCGACCAAGCAGCCCACUAUGCCAAUGUUGUCCGAGAAUGGGCGCUCAUCUCCGAAAGACCAGUUAAGUUGGAUGAUUUCCUGGGUUUUGAAUUGGUUUAUCUAGUCCACAACUGCGGGUGGGAGAAGGUGAUUGAAAGACCACACCCCAUCUAUGAAAAUUUGGUGCGGGAAUUCUAUGCAAAUUUCAAUGCUGAAAUAGACACACCGAGAUCCGACCAUCUGCAUCAGACUUGGGUUCGGGGCAAAUGGAUCAUGUUUUCACCUGAGGUAAUACAUGAUUACUAUCAGCUCACCUAGACAUAUGUAGUCCCAAUCCCGCAUGAUUUCAACUGGGUUGAAGUUGCAGAAGUUUUAUAGGGAUGGGAAAAUGCUUGGUCGCUCCCUACUGCUGAUUGGUAUCAGAUUUACCUCACUCGAUCUAUAGUCAUCCUAUGGUUGUUCAUCUGCCACAACAUCGAGCCAAUCUCCCAUAGGACGACAUUCACAGAUCAGAAGGCGGGUUUCAUCUACCACUUAGUUCGGGGGAACAAGAUUGACUUAGCCACUUACAUUUACAAUCAGAUGCACGUUAUAGGCACAUGGGGUGACAGGCACACAUCACUGAUUUUCUCGAGCUUGCUAAGUGAAAUUUGUAGAGCUGCCGGCAUACAAGUUCAGCCAGGAGAGGCAUCGGAGAAACCAAGUCCUUUUAUCAAAUGCCUCACACUCGAGGCCCAGGACCGCGCCAGGAUUAAACAUCAACAAAAAUUGGAAAACGAGCGCCGACGCCAGCAACAAGUUGCAGAGGGGCAAGCAGCUGCGGACUUUGACAUGCUACAGGCUCCACCACCACUGGCUGAUGUGGACACCCAGUUAUUACGACAGAUGUUUGCUACUAUGACUGGACACAGCCGAGACAUGCAGCAACUUCAGCAAUCCUUUGGGGCAAUGACUACCACCAUCCAACAAGUGCAAACGGAUAUAGCAUUUGUACGAAACUUCGUGUCCACUGCCAACAUUGAAUCCAUUGCAGCACGCUGACAGAUAGUAGCUUUGACGGGCGUCUAGGCAUGUACGUUGCCUGGAUGGACGGUAUACAGUGGCGGAUGAACGAGUCUUGGGACCGUCUAGGGAGUUAGGAGAUGAGGGUUUAGGCCAUGCAGAUGGAGCGGACCCAGUAGUCUGCCAUGUUGAGAGAGAUCUUGUCCCGCCUUCCCUCCCCUUCUGGCAAUGAUGAUGUCAGGCCCAGCUUUCCAUCGCAGCCACCAUUGUGAUCAGGGGAGUACUGUUUUCCCAUUUUGAUUUUUCAUUUUCAUUUUGUCCUUCAAAUUAUGUCUUUAAUCUUUUCUUAAUCUUACAUUGAGGACAAUGUAUUAACUAAGUUUGGGGGGUUGACAUAAUUUUAAGUCUCUAUCUGUGUUCAUCAUUAUCUAUUUUCCACUACUUUCCAUUACUGCAUAAUGUGUGCAUGAUGCAUGUUAAAAAUAAAAAAAAAUAAAAAACUUUGGAUCUAGUGCUAAUUAGACUACCUGAUACUUGUUGCUGCAACACUUGACUUUAUCUAUGCACGCUAUUCAUGCUCGACAUAUUAGGAGAAUGACUGGAUUUUGGGCAUAACAUAGGAAACGAAUGAUAACCCCCUAUUGAAUUAGUCCAUGAACUACCUUAAGACAGUUUGGUGAUAGUUGAGCUAUUAUAGGAAAGUAUUGAGAUGAGCGGAGGCUCCGUGAAUGAAAUUUAUUGUGUGGAUUGCCUAGACCAGUGGGAUGAAGAGUAGGUGAAAAUCUUAAAUUUGGGGUUGGUUUUGGAAUCUGGUGCCCUAAAGCCAACUGGUUUGGGAGUCACCAGCCCAAAACUCGAUACAUGGGUCAUAUAGAAAGAAAGAGGGAAAGAAGUUUAUAAAAAGUCGUCCUAUUGAGCUUUUAUAACUCGAGUGAAUAAGCCUGCAAGGGUUUAAAACCUGCUGCCUUAAAGCAAACUGGUUUGGAAAUCACCGGUCUAAAGCUCAUUAUAGGGGUUAUAUAGAAAGCAAAUGAGAAGAUGACAAUCAAUCAGAAACUAAAGAAAGGUGAGAAAAACAAAAGAGAGACAAAACAUGACGAAAAGCCCUUAGAUAUUUGGUUAAAGAAACUGUACUUCUGAGGUGAGACAAGUAAUCUAGUUUGAUAUUGAGUGUCAAAGCAAUCAAUUUUGGGAGAGCCUUCACUUUUUGAAAUGUAGACUUGUGAUAGUGAUGCUAAAUCCAAACUACGAGAGGGUGAGAACUACAGCUAUAUAAAUUCCUAAUCUUAAAACACAACCCUGGGAUAAUUGAGUGAAAAGAAUAAGUUUGGGGGUUGUGUAUCUUUCGAGCGAGUAAGGAUAUAUUUGACCACUUGGGGUUGGGACUCAAAUUCAUCAUAAAUCUGAUAUGUUGGCAUAAAUUCACACACGCACGUCAAUUUGCAUUAAACAAGUAAAGGUUGAUGUCAUGUUUGUACAGAUAAAUUUUUAAAUAUUCAAUCCAAUCCUGAGCCGCAACAGGGUAUUAAGCCAUGUUUAUUCAGAAUUAGUCACUACCUUGUUUGAGGACAAACAAUAGUUCAAGUUUGGGGGGUUUGAUAAGUGUGUUUUUGCACACUUUUUUAGGUCACGAACAUGACUUAAUAACGAGCAAAAUGAUUGAAUUGUGACUUAACCUCAUACAUUUGUGAAUUAUAGGGAACAACGAUGAUCAUGGUGAAAUUCAGGAGAAAAGACGCGAAAAAGGACUAAAGUGAUGAAAAGUGAAAGUUCAGGGACCAAAAGUGCAAAUAUCCAAAAGUUGAUCCGAUGAACAAAUCGAGAAAUCGAUUAGGCCAAUUACCAAUUGACGAUAUCGUGGGGUGAUGAAAUGAAAAGAAUGAAGAGAAGAUGCUAAGAAGUGAAGGAUGCAAGUGGGAGGACAAAAACACAUUUCUACCAUAGUUGAUAGUACUAUGCGACCGCAUAGUACUAUCCUCUGUGCGGUCGCAUAGCACCAUACCGAAACCAAAGGAGCUUCAAAAGUUUAUUCUAUGCGACCACAUAGAGUUGCUCUAUGCGGUCGCAUAGAGCAAAUAUCGAGGGUCCUUUAAAUACAAAAACUCGACCAGAACGUAUGGGACACCAUUUUUACAUAUUUUUGGGAGAUUUUGAAGGAUAAACGAGGGAUAGAACAAGAGAACAACAUCGCGUCAAGUGAAGAUCGGAUUGAAAAUUGAUUCGAGUGAUGUCGUUUCUUCAAAUAUUUUUAUGUUUUGUUCUUUUUAGCAUGUUAGGCUAGAUUUAUCACUACUAGGUGAUCGAUGAACCUUGUAAUACUACGUUUAAUUGUUGUUUUGAAUUUUUGACGUAUUUGAACACUAAUUCUGGAAUUGAUUGAUUUAUUUCAUUUUUAUUUUCAUAUAAUUAUUUUGCACGUAAUUAUAUGAUUGUGGUGACCUGUUUUAUGCAUUCGAAAGAAGGAAAAUAGGUUCGAUAUAGCAUAAAUCAUCAUAGGGUCCGAUAGAGGAUAGAAAUAUACCUCUAUGCCUUGUGUGAAUUAUUGGAUAUUCGUGAAUUUAUAAUGCAUGUCGGUAUAUUAGUAUUCGUCAUAGAAAUAUAGUCGAAUCAUAUAUUGGGAUAGGUUUGGCAUUGUUGGAGAGAGAUUGCUAAAUUAAAAUAGGAAUAUCGAUUCAUCUUUUGUGGAAUUGUGUGUCAAAUUUGCAUAAUUGACUACUGAACGGGGAUUGCUUGGGGAUUCAUGAUCCUAGUGUGUUAGAACAUCCAUUAAUUCUAUAAAAUUCUAGUUAAAUUGCAUCCAAGUUAUUUUGAACUUAGUAUAGUUCUUCAUCCAUAAUUGCAUCAACGAUUACAUUUUGUUAGUUAAAGUACAUAAUCACAAUUUGGUUGUCGUGUUUCGGUUAAGGUCAUAUUAGAUUAAUUCGAACUAAUUCAAUCCUCGUGGGAUCGAUACUUGGACUCAUAGUCCAUUUUACUACUUGUUAACGAACUGUACACUUGCGGUGGAUUUAAAAUCGGAAUAAACAAUUUUGCGAACAGUUGUAGCAGGGGCAGCAGAGUGGGACGAACUAUGUGGUGGUUGCAGUGAUAGUGGCGGUGCAAUAUUGGGUUGGGUUGCAUUGGUAGUGUUAUAGGUGGUGGAGCAAGCAUUAGUUUCGUUUUGGUAUGUUGGAGUAGCAUUGGUGGCAGUGUUUGUUGGUGGUGGCGGUGAUUUUUUUGGUGGUUGGGCGACAUUGCAACAGUUCUAUUGACGUUUGGGGACUAUUGUAGUUUUGCGAGAUCUAGUGGGAGUAAUGGUGAUAGUGAUGGUGGUGGUUGUGGCGACGGUGGUGGAUGGGAUAAGAUCGAGUUGGAUGCUUGUGACCAAUUAUUUGAUUGAUCAUGACUAGUAAUUGAUAAAUUUGUAAUAUGUGACAUAAAAAUUGUGACUGUAACUUACAAUUGAUUAAGUUGUGACUGAAAAAUUAAUUGUGGCCAAUGAAUCUAAUAAUUUUGCAAUGAAUAAAUGAGCUAUGAUCUAUAAAAGUUUUGAUUUUAUGACCUAUGAAUAAUCUGUAACUUAUAAGAAAAUUUAUUUGUACCGAUAAAUAAUCUUUGACCAAUAAAUUUUUUUAUUAGUGAUCAAAAAAUAAAUUGUGACCGAAAAUUAAUUUGUAACCAGUUACUUCAUAAAUUGUGACCAGAUUGCAUAAAAUUGUGACCUUAACAUAUCUAAUUAAUAAAAUAUAUGUUUAAUAAAUUAGUCUAUAAAUAAAAUUUUACUUUUGAAAUUUGAAACUUUACUUUUAGUUUUAAAAUAGAUGAUACUUAACUUCUUGGCAGUGAAAUUUUCCCCAAAAUAAAUCACUUAGAGGAUUAAAUGGGCUACACCUACUUGCUCCAUGAUUUAUUCUAGAAGGGCUUGCUUAGUGCAACCUAAUUGCCAUUAUUUAAUGGACUCAUCCCUUUGUCUUUGCAUACAGUACACACGACUCCGGGGUACUUUUAAGUUUAAUCCAGUCAAAGGACCUAAAUUUCACUUUGACUUUCAAAAUCAUGAAUAUUAUGACAUUGGCCUCUUGUAUGGUAAAAGACAAAGAUGCCCUUAAAUGUUUUGUAUAAUUACAGAACAAUUUAUUGUUGAAAGGACUAUACUAUCCUUUUAGUUAAUAAUUGAAAACCAAACACUUCCCCACUUAUAAAAACUUCAAAACGAGCUUCCAAUACAAGAAAAACUCUCAUCUUUUCAUCUGCUUGAACCUCAAAAUCUAGAAAGACUUUGAAACGUUGAAGCCGAAAUUUUUUUUCAUAUCAAUUACUUAAAAUCGGUAAGUACAUUUACGCAUGUUUAAUUUCGUUUUCAGUAAAUUAGUAUACGUUUGAAUAGAAAAAUUUUAUGUCGACAUGGUAGUUAGCAUAAAUUUUUUUUAACAGAUCUUACCUAUCAAAAAAAUUGAACAGAUGUAUAACAUUUUUUUUUAGAAUCGUAUUCUCCUGCACAAAAACAACCAAACUGGCUAUUUUGGUUGUUAAUAGCCGAGCAGUCGGACUGUUUCUGACUAUUUGGUCGGCUGUUUAAACAGUCGAACAUUUAACAGUCGAACAUUUAACAGUCGGCUGUUAAACAGCCAAUUAACCGACUCUGCACUGAUUUUUGUUGGCACUGAUUUUUUCUUAAUUAAUAAAUGAAGUUGAUUAAAACCAUUUCCUCAUGCAGAUAUGAUAAUCCCCGUCUAUUAUUUCGGUGAUUUUGAAUUGAAUGAAAAUAAUCGGUGGGAAUGGAGAUGGAUGAGUGACAUACGUGGUUGUAUUGCAAUUCCUAUAACAGAGAGUACACCAUACUUAGAAAUGUACCAUGAUUUGCAAAAUAAGCUGAAUUUCGAUCAAUCUCAAUACGAUAUGCAAUUGAGAUAUCUAUUCAACGGUUAUGGAGAUUCAUCCAUUCCGAUGCCACCGGUAUUCGUUACUAAUGAUGCUGAAUUGAAUUAUCUAUUAGAAUUGAAUAAAAUGCAUCGGACUCCGACUGUUCUUGGUGUGACUUCAAUUACGAAGGAUGUUAUCGAAGGUGAACGCGAAGAUUCAGAUAGGGCGGAUAACAAUGAUCGAGGUUUUUGGGAGACAGUGGAGAUAGUUCCUGCGGAUGAUGUGGGUAUUCCUGAGACAAUUGCUUCUGAUCGUGAUGUCGUUGUUAUGCGCAGAAUUCUGUCGACAGUUGAAGACAAUGAGAAUAUAAACGAGUUUACAAAUGAGAAUUUGAUUGCUUUAUCCCGACAGAGACACGAGCCGGAUGGGAGCUCACAGGUUAGAACAAGUGGAUCGUCCUCCAAUUCUUCCCGUGUGGCUCCCGAUGAUGAGGACUUGCAGGUCGAGCAAUUGUUUGAAACCAAGAAAGAUUUACAGGAAGCUGUGCACCGGCUGGCAUUAAAAUAUAACUUUGAGUUCAAGGUAAAAAAAUUAAACAAGUCAUUGUUGACAGUUGCUUGCGUUGAAGACAGUUGCAAUUAGCGCUUGAGAGCAACUAAGAUGGACACGAAUGAGUGCUUUGUAAUUCCCAAGUAUUCACGGGAACAUACUUGCAAAGUGGGAAUUCUUCGAAAUGAUCACAGGCAAGCUCGAGCAUGGUUUAUUGGUCGACAGAUAAUGCACAAGUAUCAAGAUCCACAGAUGAUCUACAGACCUUCGGACAUCAUUAACGACGUCCGUCGAGAGUACGGAGUGGUCAUGAGCUACCAGAAAGUGUGGAAGGCCAAAGAAUGUGCGUUGGAGGAUUUAAUGGGAUCGGUUGAAGAGCGCUAUGCUAGAUUGGCUAGGUAUUGCCAUAACAUGGGGGCAACUAAUCCUGGCACGACAUUUUUUAUUGAGACGGGGGACGAUAAUUGUUUUAAGUAUUUCUUCAUGGCUCUCGGACAAUGUAUUUGGGGUUUUCGAAAUGCAAUGGUUCCCAUAAUUCUAGUUGAUGGUACAACUCUGAAAGCUAAAUAUCAAGGCAAAUUAAUUAUUGCUACAUGUCAAGAUGCCAACAUCCAAAUUUACCCUAUUGCAUUCGGCAUAGUCGACAACGAGAAUGAUCUGUCCAUGCGUUGGUUCUUUUCUAAACUGCGGGAAGUGAUCGGGGAAGUCGAAGACCUUACCUUUGUAACCGAUCGGGGACAGUCUAUAAUAAAUGGUAUCGCUAAAGUUUUUCUCGGGGCACAUCACGGGUAUUGCAUGUACCAUAUACAAGGUAAUUUGAAGACUAGGUAUCGAGGCACAGGCAUCGUUUCAUUGUUCAGGAGAGCAGCCGAAGCUUACAGUACUGAAGAGUGUAAUAAGUUCAUGCUCGAGAUAGGAAGUAAAUCAUUACCGGCGUUGGAGUAUCUGACGAAGAUGGGGAUCGAACAUUGGGCAUGAUCAUACUUUCCAGGACGUCGAUACAACAUGAUGACGUCGAAUAACGCGGAGUCUCUCAAUGCAUUGUUUAAGAAGGAUCGAGAGUUACCAAUUCUCGCAAUGAUUGAGAACAUUCGUAACAAGCUACAACAGCGGUUUCAUGACCGACGUGCAGCAUCACAGAGUUGCACUAGCGUGUUGGCCCCAGCUCAAGAGGAGAAAUUGUUUAAGGCGGCAGAGGUUGCGAGGAAGUUGAAUGUGGAAGCACUAGAUGAAUUUCGCUUCUCCGUGCAAUGUGCACGUAAUACGGCAUAUAUGGUGGACUUGACUGAUAACACAUGCACUUAUACGAGAUUUCAGUUGGAGAGUUUUCCAUGUGAGCAUGCAGUUGUGGUGGCCAUGUAUCGAGGCUUUGCUGUGAGAACGUUAUGCUCUUUGUAUUAUACGACUGAGUCUUGGAGAACAGCAUAUGUCGAGACUAUAUUUCCUCUGCCGAAUGAAGCCGAGUGGGAAGUUCCCGAGCACAUUCUCCCAUUUCAUAAUUUGUUACCACCAGCAGUUGAACCGCGUGGUUCUAGACAUCCAAGUACAUCUAGAAUACUAUCUACCGGAGAGUUUCCUCGACCACGUAGGUGUGACCGGUGCAGAGCUGUAGGGCAUACUCGGCAAUUUUGUAUCAGUCAAAUUUCCCUAAAUGAUGACUAGACAGGUACGUGAAAUGAAUAAUAUUUCCUUUUACUUUACACUGUUCAAUAAUUGUUCUUUAUAAAUCUUCUAUAUUCAAUAUUUAUUCUUGAUAAAUGGUAUUUAUAAUGAUUUAUAUGAAAAAAAUAGUUUCAUACUCGGCAUACGUGUAAAAUAACAAAAAAUAAUUAAAUUUCCAAUUUGAAUGUUAUAUACAUUGAACACAAAUUUACAAUUAUUUCAUAAUUACAAAAGUAAUUAAAUUUACAAUUGUAAUGUUACAUAUAUAUAAAUGAAAUUUACGGGUCAGCAUUAAAUUCGAACAAAUCACAUGCUAGCUUCUUUCUCCAGUUCUGUAUCCACGACUGGUUGAUUUCAUCAACCUUAUGUCCUAUACUUAAAAAUUCAACGUACUUAAUGGCAAAUAUGCCACAGUCGCCGCUGCAAUUGAACAAGAAUGAAUCAGUNNNNNNNNNNNNNNNNNNNNNNNNNNNNNNNNNNNNNNNNNNNNNNNNNNNNNNNNNNNNNNNNNNNNNNNNNNNNNNNNNNNNNNNNNNNNNNNNNNNNNNNNNNNNNNNNNNNNNNNNNNNNNNNNNNNNNNNNNNNNNNNNNNNNNNNNNNNNNNNNNNNNNNNNNNNNNNNNNNNNNNNNNNNNNNNNNNNNNNNNNNNNNNNNNNNNNNNNNNNNNNNNNNNNNNNNNNNNNNNNNNNNNNNNNNNNNNNNNNNNNNNNNNNNNNNNNNNNNNNNNNNNNNNNNNNNNNNNNNNNNNNNNNNNNNNNNNNNNNNNNNNNNNNNNNNNNNNNNNNNNNNNNNNNNNNNNNNNNNNNNNNNNNNNNNNNNNNNNNNNNNNNNNNNNNNNNNNNNNNNNNNNNNNNNNNNNNNNNNNNNNNNNNNNNNNNNNNNNNNNNNNNNNNNNNNNNNNNNNNNNNNNNNNNNNNNNNNNNNNNNNNNNNNNNNNNNNNNNNNNNNNNNNNNNNNNNNNNNNNNNNNNNNNNNNNNNNNNNNNNNNNNNNNNNNNNNNNNNNNNNNNNNNNNNNNNNNNNNNNNNNNNNNNNNNNNNNNNNNNNNNNNNNNNNNNNNNNNNNNNNNNNNNNNNNNNNNNNNNNNNNNNNNNNNNNNNNNNNNNNNNNNNNNNNNNNNNNNNNNNNNNNNNNNNNNNNNNNNNNNNNNNNNNNNNNNNNNNNNNNNNNNNNNNNNNNNNNNNNNNNNNNNNNNNNNNNNNNNNNNNNNNNNNNNNNNNNNNNNNNNNNNNNNNNNNNNNNNNNNNNNNNNNNNNNNNNNNNNNNNNNNNNNNNNNNNNNNNNNNNNNNNNNNNNNNNUCCCCCUCCAUCGCCACCACCUCCGCCCCUCCCGUCGGGGCCUCUCCCUCCGUCGCCACCUCCUUCGCCCCUUUCGUCGGUGCCACCCCCUCUGUAGUCCCCUCUCCCAUCCCCAUCGAGGCCACCCCCUCCAUAGACAACCACAAUAACUCCAAUGUCUCAUCACGCCAAAAAUGUGGGUGACCCCCCUCUCCAUCACCAUCUCUGCCACCUUCUCGAUCAUGAUCUCUAUCAUCCCCUCUGUCCCCCCAUUGUCUGCCGGCUAAAUCUCCUCUAAGCGCCGCUACUGUAUCCUGAAGGUCGACAACGGAAGACUGUAGUAUUCCAACAUCACGGGAUAGAUCGUCAACCCUCCCUGUCAACUCUCGUCCCAUAUCGUCGACCCUCCCUGUCAGAUAGUCGACCUUCCCUGCCAGAUCGUCGACCCUCCCUGUCAACUCUCGUCCCAUAUCGUCGACCCUCCCUGUCAGAUAGUCGACCUUCCCUGCCAGAUCGUCGACCCUCCCUGUCAACUCUCGUCCCAGAUCGUCGACCCUCUCCGUCAAAUCUCGUCGUAGCGCGCCGACCUCCUCCACUAUAAAUCCAGUCAAAUGGGCAUACAAAUCAUCACUGUGCCCCGAAGACACACGGGGGAGGUGUCUGGAUAGAGGUGAUGCCAGUGGUGGCGGCGAUGGCCCCGGCGGAGGUGAUGCCACUAGCGAUGGUGAUGCCCUCGACGGAGGUGAUGCCAAUGGCGGGGACGAUACUCUCAGCAGAGGUGAUGCCAAUGGUGGCGGCGAUACCCUCGGCGGAGGUGAUCGUCAAUCAACUGGACCGCCCUCCUACAUAAAUAAAAUAAAAAAUUAUUCAAUAAAUUUAUACGUUGACGAUAUUCAAUAAAUUAUAUUUCAUUCACAUACUCAAUCUCGGUCCAAGCUCGGAUCAGACAUCUCCUCGUCUGGGGUGUGCGGAACGCCUAAAUCCGGCACAAGACCCCGAGCCUCCUCUUCCAUCGACGGCGUCAACUCAGGUAUGACUUCAAGCUGACAUAUUGACAUUUCAACUACUUAACGAUCAUGUAAACAAAAUUUUAAACUACGUAUAAUAUAAAUCACAAAUGCAUAAUACUUACCUAAGGAUCGUCGAGGAGGGUCGAUAACUGCUUCCCAGUGGGACAUCCCUCCACUCGCGAUGAUCUCCAAUGAUGCAUCCGAGGGCAGCGUGUCUCUCCUCGCUACGUAAAGCGGGCACCCAGUACAGGAACUAUCUCAUACACCCAAAUCUGUAACACAUACACUUAUUAGGCAUCAAUAUAAUACACUAAAACUUUAACUUUGAUUAUAUUAAACAUUUACCUGCAUCGCUAAGGGCAAUUCAUAUGUAUCGUAUUUACGCAUCGACCCCCCGGGCCUCGAGUGCGAUCUGGUGAACACAUGUACGGUGUCUUCGUAGCAUCUCCGGCCCCAUGGAUAGUUGUUGAACGCAUCAAUGUCGUCAACAACUUGCAAAUGAAAAAUGUCGAUGACAGUCUUCUUGUGAUGACACCUCAUCACACUCUCGAGGAUGUAGACCAGCCCAAGCUUCAAUCUAUCUAACAUAUGGUCGCACCCCCUGAUCGCGACCAUCAAGUCGGGUAGAAGCACCGACCCAUGUCCCUGGAAGUACGUCUCGUACAGCCUAUUGCUUCUCUCCAUGGCUGCAUCGUCGCUCGUAAUCCUCAGUCCAGUGAUCAAUGUAAACUCAAACAUCGAGAAACUGACAACCUUGCCCCCGAGGUCGAAUUGGAGGGAAUCGCGGUCGAUUAGCCUCAGAAGCCGACAUAAAAGUGCAUCAAUGAUCUGUCCUAAGUAUUGCACCUCCAGCAACUGGUACAGUGGCCACAAGAAGGACUGUUGUAGCAUAUAUCCGUGCUGAUCAUCGAGCAGCUCCAACACAAAACUACUGUUCCAAGUAGCUUUCCCCGCCAUCCGUCUCAACUCUGCAUCUAAAUGAUACUCCAUCCUGCAAAAAUUCAAAUGUUAUAAUAUUGAACAAGAGAUAACAAAAGAAAGCAUAAUCUCACAAAAUCAAGGGAACUGAACUCUAACUACCAUACAAUCACAAAUAUUACAUUUGAAAAAUAUAUUUACAAAAAACAACAAAUCAAAUUAAAUGUAUUGUCAAAAAAAUUAAAGAAUAUAAAUAUUAUUUAAAUAAAUUGAAAAAAAAUCAAAGAUUUUCAUAAAAGAACAAUAAAAGGAACAAAACAAAUUGCCAAAUUAACAAUAUUAUGUAUUCAAUUAUUAAAUUAUAUAAAAAAAAGGCAAUUAUAAAAAUUAAAUAAUUAAAUAAAAUAAUUAUUAUUUGGAAAAUAUAUUUACAAACAAAAAAUUUCAAAUUAAAUACAUUUUCGAAAAAUGUAAAGACUAUUUAUAUUAUUUAAAAAAAUUUGAAAAAAUAAAUUAAAGAUUAUUUCAUAAAAAAAAAAAAGGAACAACACAAAAUUGUUAAUUUUAGAAUAUUUCAAUUAUUAAAUUAUAUAAAAGACAAAUAUAAAAAUUAAAUAAAUAAUUACUUUACAUUUUCAAAAAAUGAAAAGACUAUUUAUAUUAUUUAAAUAAAUUCGAAAAAAUAAAUUAAAGAUUAUUUCAUAAAAAAAAAAGGAACAACACAAAAUUGUUAAUUUUAGAAUAUUUCAAUUAUUAAAUUAUAUAAAAGACAAAUAUAAAAAUUAAAUAAAUAAUUACUUUACAUUUUCAAAAAAUGAAAAGACUAUUUAUAUUAUUUAAAUAAAUUCGAAAAAAUAAAUUAAAGAUUAUUUCAUAAAAACAAAAAAAAAUAAGGAACAACACAAAAUUGUUAAUUUUAGAAUAUUUCAAUUAUUAAAUUAUAUAAAAGACAAAUAUAAAAAUUAAAUAAAUAAUUACUUUACCUUUUUUUAAAAUGUAUAGACUAUUCAUAUUAUUUAUAAAUUUGAAAAAAUUAAUUAAAGAUAAUUCCAUAAAAAAAUGGAACAGCACAAAAUUGUUAAUUUUAGAAUAUUUCAAUUAUUAAAUUAUAUAAAAGACAAUUAUAAAAAUUAAUGAAUAAUUAAUUUACAUUUUCAAAAAAUGACACUAUUUAUAUUAUUUAAAUAAAUUUGAAAAAAAAUUAAAGAUUAUUUCAUAAAAAAAAAAAGGAUCAACAUUGUUAAUUUUACAAUAUUUCAAUUAUUAUAUUAUAUUGACAAUGAUAAAAAUUAAAUAAAUAAAUAACAUAAUUACUAUUUAAUCAAAUAAAAAAUUUAAUUAAUUACAAAAAUUAUAAAAAACAAAUAAAAAUUAAAUAUAUAUUUUUUUUACAAGAUAAAACAGACUGUUAAACGAUCGACUCAGACAAGUCAUAGGUCGACUGUUUACAGUCGGCCCGACUGUUAAUAGUCUGGGCCGACUGUUAACAGUCUGUUAAGCCAGAAAUCGCCAUUACUGGCGACAGAGCUCCAAAAAUUGCAAAAAAAUCACAUUUUUCACACUCCCAGCAUGCCCACAAUCUUUACUCAUGCCCAUGGAUCUAAUUAAAUCGAAUAAUGUAAGGAAAAUGCUAAAUUUACUUAUUCAAUAAUUAUUUUACUGAAACAAAAAGUCAUCUAGAAAACUAACCGGUUAUUUUAUUUUCGGUGUAGAUGAAGGUCGUUGACUGCGACGUCGGUGUAGUUGCCGGUGGUUGAUCGGUCAAAUUUCUGGCGAUUGUGCGUCGGUUUCUUUUUUGUCGGUCGGUUAGACAGAAUUUUUCAAACAGUCUGAAGGGUAAAAUCGUCUUUUACUGUGAAGUUUUUUUUUUAACUUAAUUUGUUUUUUCUUUAAUUCAUUUAAUGGGUAAAGGCCAAUGUCAAAUUUUGCUACAGCGAAAGAACCAUUUUUGUGUAUUUCCUCCAUGACUCCUCUCCAUUAAAAAGAGAACCCACGGCUGCUCCUUUGCUUUGAGCUUGAACCCGUGCAUUUGCUUUUUAUAUUCAGCCAUGUUCUUCCUUCUUCGGAAAGCUUUCAUCCAUUCCCCUCAUGGAACCCCUAGUAGGCUGUUUGGAUUUGGUCUUUGGGUCCAAUUUAUGAUGUUGCCUUUUGUCGAUAUUGGCUUAUGAUCUGAGCCCUUAAUUUACACCAUCAUAGCCUUUCAUAUUAGAGAUUUCAUUUGUCAGUUUGGGUUCCUCAGUUUCCUAUCAAUUACUUUCUAUUUCUGGUUUUAACUUUGUACUCUCUUGGUGAUUUUGCGAGGUUAAUGGACUACAACUUGGUAUAAGAGCCUUGCGUGUGCAAAAACAGGGAGGAAAAAACUGAUAGUGAAGGAAGCUGUGUAAAAUCUGUCGAAAAUCAACCAACCCACACUUGCAAUUGAGUUUUGGACCAAACCAGAUGCCUGUAGAGCAAAUAAAGAUAACCUUUCGGCUCCAGAUGAUGAGGCAAAGCUCCGUGGUCAGCUCGCGUGGUACGUGGAGUAGCAAGUGCGAUGGCACGUGAAGCCCUCACAUAGUGACGGUGGUGUUACAUGCGGACACGAGCGGUGGAGUCUCGCAGGGAUGCUUGAAGAUUGAUUAUACCUGGCAGGUUUGCAGACUACUAAGGCCAUCUCCAACUCUACACCAAAUUUUGCACCAUUUUACAUCAAAUUUUGCAUCAAAUCUUGCACCAAACUAAAAUUCAUCUCCAACCAUUACACCAAAAAUUACACCAAAUGAACAGUAUUUAACCAUUUUCUUCCCUUUUUUAUUCUUUAUAAUCUACUUAUUUGAAAUAUUAUUUAUUUAAUUAUUUCAUAAAUACAUAGAUUACGAAAUAAAUAAUUACAUUAAAUUACGGAAAAGAUUAAAUUCAUUAUUAAAUAUAAAAAAAACAUAGAACAAUUAAUAAACAUAGAACAUAAAUUGCUAUUUAAUAUAUUUCGAGUUAACUUUAAUAAAUAAUCAUGUUUGAUGUAUUUUAAAUUGUUUUCGUCUUUUAAUUAAUUAAUUAAUUAUUAUGUCUUACAUUUAAAAUUUAUUUUAAACACAAAUAAUAUUAGUAUUAAUAAAAAAUAAUAAUAAUUUAUUGUAUUAAAAAAUAUAUAGCACAAAUUACGUAAAUACCCUCAACAAAUUUAUUUGAGGAAUGUUAAAUAAGGGCAAAAUGGACAUUUUACACUUUGCACCAUUUUGGUGAAAAAUGUGGUGCAAUGCUAUUCACUUUGCAACAUUUUGCACCAAAAUGGUGCAAAGUUUGGUGUUGGGUUGCAGAAAUUUUGCACCAAAAAAUGGUGCAAAAUGGUGUAAUGGUGUUGUGGUUGGAGAUGCCCUAAGCGUGUGUUUUUUGGAACCAUGGUGAAGGUUUGUUCAGUUUUGAUCCCAAACGAACCAUAGGGCCUUCGAUCAUUAAGUGGUGGGAUAUUAUACUUCAUAGGCUUUUAUAGCCAAAGAGUGAAGAUUUAAAUAAAUACCUCAUCUCCACAAUUUGGUAGCUCAAUUGUAAAGAUAGACUAAAAACCAUUAAUAAAUCACUUGGAAGAUUAAACAGGCUUGACCCAGUUGCCGUGUGGUUCAUACUAGACAACCCACUUGUUAGUGUAACCUAAUUGCCAUUAUUUAUAGGAUCCAUCUGUGUCUUUUGCAUACAGUACACAAGGCUCCUCUAUGUUGAAAAGAGUACAAAUGGCUGCUCCUUUGUUUUGUGCUUGAACCUAUGCCUCUGCUUCCUAUUUUCGGCCCUAUUUUUCCUCAUUCGUGAAACGUUCGUCCAUCUCCUUCUUGGAACCUUAGUGGGCUGUUUGGAUUUGGUCUUUGGGUCCAAUUUGUGGUGUUGCCUUUCUUGGAGAUUGGCUUAUGAUUUGAGCCCCCAAUUUACAGCACCAUAGCCACGCAUACUGUAGAUUUCAUUUAUCAAUUUGGAUUUUACAAUUUCCUGUAUUUGUGAUUUUGCAAGGUUAAAUUGCUAAAGAUCAACUCGGAUUGUGAAGAACUAAGGAAGCAUGCAGCAUUUGCCUUAGGAUUGGCAGAUUGUGAUGUCCCUUUGCCUUGCAUGGUAGAUAGUAUGUGCUGAAUUUGUAAAAUAGGGAGCCCACUCGUCACUGAUUGAAUUUCUUGCUGUUGUUGUGCUUCUUGACUGGACCUGGUUGGCGCAUGUUUCGGGUGUCCUGGUGGAUAUCUGUUAGACAUGAUGUUGUCAAACGACCUCCCGGGCGAUGAUGAAAACCAAUUUUAUCAAUCUACAUGAAUGACUGAACGAUAAUUCAACAUCGAAUAAUGGAUGAACCGACCAAACGUCGCUUUACCUAUUGGACGGCUAAUACUCUUUGUGGCUUGUUGUUUCUUUCCAUUGGAAAUUAACCCUAGUCGAGCCUACUUACCAUAUCUUGACUUACCUUAUGUUGGCCACUUAACAUAUAUAUAUAUUGGUGUUUUUUCUUUGACUCCUCAUCCCGUCCAUAUAGAACCCGAGAGCAAAGAGAGACUGCCGUUCUUCUCUUGUGCCUUCUUCUUCGUGAUUUAUCUUCCAUGCCAAUUGCUUGAGCCUUUGUGACUCUUAUUCUUAUGCCUUCUUCUUCGUGAUUUGUCUUCUAUGCCAAUUGCUUGAGCCUUUGUGACUCUUACCUGUGUGGUAUCCACCCUAAAUAUGUGGAUUGAAUCAACAAGCAAAAGAGGAAAGCAACCAUAGGAGAGUUGAAGCCGGCGGGUUGGUCAUCUUGGUUUUGGUGUUGAAUUCGAUGUUUAAUGGUUAACUGAGCCUGGAAAUCACUUUGAGUAGCUUAAGGAAGAUCCUAACAUCUGGUAUUAGAGCUUGGGUAGCAAAAAUUGGCUCAAAAUCGGUUGAUUUUCGAACUUGAACCUUAGAACCCGAAUCUGAAAAUUUGCAAUUACUCACAAUCCAAAACUCGGUUGGACAAACGGAGGCCAUACCCAUCACCAACAGGUCAAGGCGCUCUCGGAGAGGCGACGCGUGGGCGGCGGCGCGUGGAUCGGCUACGGCGGCACGUGGGCGGCUGUCUGGCGACGCUAUCUUCAGGUAACUUGCUUGUUUCGAUCUCCUGAAUGCGCUGAUAUACUUUGUUUUGUGUUUCAGGUUACACAGAAAAAGUUGGAUGAUUUUGCCCUUUGGUACGACGCCGACUGAAAUUCAACAGCAAGCUCGUUUUUCUCCACUCUACGGACUCAGAUAGGUCCGGUCUGGUAAAUUGGCUUAAUCCAUUUAAAUUCAGCAAUAGCAAGAUUAUCGUGUGGGGUGAUCGUUAGGUUUUGGGUUUACCGUGAAGGGGUAACCAUUGCUUGUGCUAGAACUAGGAUUAUUUGCGUUAAUUGAGUGUUUGUUCUUUUGAUUUAAAGUGCUUGAUAUUUCUUGGUGGACAUAGCGUUUAGGUUCAUUGUUACUUUUGCUAAGAAUUAACAAGAUAUUACCUUAUCACGCUUCCAAUACUACUUCGUGUGGUUUAAUUAGUGUGUUAACCAAUGACAACACAUAAUUUUGAUUUGGGAAUUUUUAACGGUAAAGAGGACUUCUCUAUCUGGCAACAAAAGAUAAGAGGCAUACUAGUCCAACAAAAGGUGUCAAAAGCCAUCGAAGGUAAUUUUACACCUGAUAUCUCAAAAGAACAAAAAGAGGAAGCCGAUAAGCUUGCCUAUACCUCAAUAAUAUUACACUUGUCUGACGCUGUCUUAAGAAAAGUGGGAAAACUAAAAACCACCAAAGAACUUUGGAAAAGACUAGAAGACUUAUACUUGCUUAAAUCUACACCGAAUAAACUCUACCUACUCGAACGAUUCUUCAGCUUUAAAAUGGAUCCUUCAAAGGAUCUCGACGACAAUUUAGAUGUAUUUAAUAAAUUGGUGCAAGAUAUUGUCAAUUGUGACGAAGCCGUGUCUGAAACCUAUAAGGCCAUUAUCUUGCUCAAUUCAAUCCCGGACUCUUAUAAAGAAGUUAAAAAUGCUAUUAAGUAUGGUAGGGACACGCUAACACCUGAAAUUGUCGUAGAUUCUCUUAGAAGUAAAGAGAUGGAAAUGAAGGCUGAAAAACAGGAUAGAAGGAGUGGAGAGUUGCAUAUGAUGCUGGGUAGAACACAAUUUAGGCAAGCCAGUCAUGAUGGAUACCAAAGUAGUGGCGAAUCAAGUAGUAAUAGUUGGAAAAAGAAGGGGAAUGGUAGACCUAGAUCAAAGUCUAGAACUAAGGGUAGAAAAUGCUAUGGCUGUGGAGGCACAGGGCAUUUUAAAAAAGACUGUCAUAAAGAAAAAGGAAAACAGAAGGUUAAGGAAAGAGAUGAGGUAAAUGUGUUAUCCUCUACCUCCGAUACAGAAAACGGUGAAAUCUAUGUGAUUACUAGUCCAGUCGCAUACACUACUGAAUUAAAUCUAACUACUAAUUCUCACAUGCAUGAAUGGAUAUUAGAUUCUGGUGCGUCUUUUCAUGUGACAUCUAAAAAGAACUGGUUUGAAAACUUGCAAGAAUCUAAUGAUGGGCAAGUAGUUCUAUGUGAUAACUUCGCCUAUACAAUUGCUGGAAUUGGAGAUAUAAAGAUAAAAUUUAACACAGGCUUUGUGUACGUGUUAAAGGAAGUUAGAUACAUUCCGAAAUUAUCUAGGAAUUUGAUUUCAGUAGGAAGACUUGAGAAAGACAACUUCACCGGUAAAAUUGAAAACGGUAUGUUUAAAAUGAUGAAGGGUGCGUUAAUCUCUAUUAAGGAAAUCAAGAAAAACGACAUUUAUAUCACUACUGGGGAAGUGAUUAGACGAUUAAACUCCUCUAUUUCUUCCGUCAAAAUCGAUCACACACACACGUGGCAUAGUAGGCUUGCACAUGUAAGUAUUAAAGGACUUAAGCUACUUAAUGAAAAAGGUGCAUUUGGUAAUGACUGUGUGUCUGACCUAUCGUUCUGUGAUCACUGUGUGCUUGGAAAACACCAUAGAGUGUCGUUUUUCACCAGUACGCAUAAGGCUAAAAGCAUGCUUGAAUAUGUGCAUUCUGAUCUGUAGGGUCCUGCUAGUAAUCCCACAUCGGGUGGGAAUAGGUAUUUCCUAUCUAUCAUAGAUGACUACACCAGGAAAGUGUGGGUCUAUCUAUUGAAAGACAAAACUGAAACCUUCCAUAACUUUAACAAUUGGAAGAAACAAAUGGAAAACCAAACUAGCAAGAUGAUCAAAUUUUUAAGGACAGAUAACGGCCUAGAAUUCUGUAAUGCUGAAUUUGAUAGGAUGUGUAAAGAAAGUGGAAUAACAAGGCACAAAACGGUUCCUUAUACUCCCCAGCAAAACGGGGUAGCACAAAGAAUGAAUAGGACCAUACUAGACAAAGUGCGCUGCAUGAUGUUAAGUUCUGGGGUUCCUAAGUCAUUUUGGGGUGAAGCCGUUGUCACUGCCUGUUAUCUAAUAAAUUUGACUCCAUCGGCUGCAUUAAAUGGUGAUACUCCACAUGAGAAAUGGUCUGGAAAAUUUGGUGACUACUCAAUGCUUAAAGCGUUUGGCUGUGCUGCCUUUUCUCAUCAAAGUGAGAGAAAGUUAGAACCUAGAGCCAGGAAGUGUGUCUUUCUAGGAUAUCCCGAAGGGGUUAAGGGCUAUAGGCUAUGGGAUAGAAGCUAAAAAGGAGUUAAGAUCAUCGUGAGUAGGGAUGUCACAUUUAAUGAGAAUGAGAUGCCUUGUCUAAAGAACGAAACCAAACCAGUAAGUGAAACUGAAUGAAGUGAAGAAAGAAAUCGGUUUAAGGUGGAGUUAGGAAAAUUUAACACAUCAGUACCUAGUACUUCGAGUGAGGUGGAGAUUCAGGUCCAAGAACCUGAAGAGGAAAAUGAAGUAGUGAUAGAAGAGCAUCCUGAGGAAGAAAAUCCAUUAGCUAACUAUAACUUAGUUAGAGAUAGAGAAAGAAGGCAAACGAGAGAACCUAGGAGGUUCGGGUAUGAAUCUAAAUUGGAUUUUGCAUACGCUAGUUACGAAGAACUAGUUGAUAGGGAGCCAGAAACUUUUGAAGAGGCUAUAAAUAGUAGUCAAUCUAAGGAGUGGCUUGAGGCUAUGAAAGAAGAGAUGAGUUCUCUAGAAAAGAAUCAAACUUGGGAGUUAGUACCGAGACCUAAGAAUAAAUCAAUCGUUGAUUGCAAGUGGGUCUUUAAGGUUAAGGAAGGUACUAGUAGUUCAGAACCCUUAAGAUUUAAGGCUAGGUUAGUAGCAAAGGGUUACACACAGAAAGAAGGUGUUGAUUAUAACGAGAUUUUCUCACCAGUUGUCAAGUACACUACUAUUAGGGUCAUGCUCGCAUUGGUUGCGUUCUUUGACUAGGAACUUGAACAAUUCGAUGUAAAAAUCGCUUUUUUAUAUGGAGAGCUUGAUGAACAAAACUUUAUGAAUCAACCAAAAGGUUUUAUAGACAAAUUAAAACCUGAUUAUGUGUGUUUUCUGAAAAGAUCCCUAUAUGGUCUAAAGCAAUCACCUAGACAGUGGUACAAGAGGUUUGAUUCCUUUGUACUCACUAUAGGAUUUCAAAGAAGUAAAUUCGGUCACUGCCUAUACUUUCAACACAACGAGACUGAUAACAAUUAUUUGUUCUUGUUGCUCUAUGUGGACGACAUGCUUUUAGUUGGAUCAUCUCCUAAGUGGAUAAACAAUAUAAAAGCAUAUCUUAGUGGAGAAUUUGACAUGAAAGACCUAGGAAAGGCUAAAAGGAUUCUAGGCAUGGAAAUAGAACGAAAUAGGUCAAAUUCCAUCGUAUUCUUGCAUCAGUCUCCAUACAUAUCAAAGGUGUUGAAAAAGUUUAAUAUGAGUGACUGCAAACUUGUCACGUUGCCUCUUGCAAAUCACUUUGUUCUAUCUAAGGAACAAGCUCCCUGCAAUGAACGUGAAGUGGAAUACAUGAGUAAAAUUCCAUACUCAAAUGUGAUUGGUUCCAUAAUGUAUUUGAUGGUUUGCACUAGACCGGACUUAGGAUUCGCUAUUAGUACUCUCAGUAGGUACAUGUCUAAUCCAGGUCCUGAACAUUGGGAAGCAUUAAAGUGGCUUUUAAAAUAUUUGAAGGGUACAAGUGACGUAGGUCUAAAAUUUAGUGCUAAUAAAGAAGGCGUGAAAUUAAAGGGUUUUGUAGAUGCUGACUAUGCAAGAGAUAGGGAUGGUAGAAAAUCAACUUCCUCUUAUGUAUUCACCUUAUCAAAUUCAUGUGUUAGUUGGAAAUCACAGUUACAACACAUAGUUGCACUAUCCACUACAGAGUCAAAAUAUAUUGCCACCACUGAAGCAAUUAAAGAGGCUCUAUGGCUUAGAGGUCUACUUCAUGAACUGAGUGUCUUGAAUGAGUAUGUGGUUGUGAAUUCUGAUAGUCAGUCAUCCAUACAUCUGUGUAAGAAUCCUGUUUUUCAUGAACGCACUAAACAUAUCGAUGUUAGGUUACACUUCAUUAGGGAUAUAAUAUCACAAGAAGUAGUAAGACUUGAAAAAAUUCACACACAGUAUAAUCCUUCAGAUAUGGGCACGAAAGUGCUGCCACUGGUAAAGUUUAGAAGUUGCAAAGAGCUUCUAAACAUCGGUACAGGUAAAUGAUUUCAAUUUUAUCGGUUUUUCUGUUAGAGGUGUCACUAAUGGAAAAACGAUUUUCUUUGCAGGUCCUUUGACACCAAGGUAGAGGUUGUUAGACAUGAUGUUGUCAAACAACCUCCCGGGCGAUGAUGAAAACCAAUUUUAUCAGUCGACAUGAAUGACUGAACGAUAAUUCAACAUCGAAUAAUGGAUGAACCGACCAAACGUUGCUUUACCUAUUGGACGGCUAAUACUCUUCGUGGCUUGUUGUUUCUUUCCAUUGGAAAUUAACCCUAGUCGAGCCUACUUACCAUAUCGACUUACCUUAUGUUGGCCACUUAACAUUUAUAUAUAUUGGUGGUUUUCUUUGACUCUUCACCCCCGUCCAUAUAGAACCCGAGAGCAAAGAGAGACUGCCGUUCUUCUUCUUGUGCCUUCUUCUUCGUGAUUUGUCUUCUAUGCCAAUUGCUUGAGCCUUUGUGACUCUUACCUGUGUGGUAUCCAUCCUAAGUGUGUGGAUUGAAUCAACAAGCAAAAGAGGAAAGCAACCAUAGGAGAGUUGAAGCCGGCGGGUUGGUCAUCUUGGGUUUGGUGUUGAAUUCGAUGUUUAAUGGUUAACUGAGCCCGGAAAUCACUUUGAGUAGCUUAAGGAAGAUCCUAACAAUAUCCAUUCAUCUUCAAACACAUGUCCUGGACUCAAAAUUCAUUUUAUUAGUUGUUAACGAACUGUGCAUUUGUGGUGGUUUUGAAUUAAAAGAUAUUUUCGUGAGAGUUUUGUUACAAAAACACGGAAUGGGGGUCUAGAUUAAAUCUAUGUGCCACGUGUCAAUAUUUGGUUGGUCAUUUUUUUUUUAUUUUUUUACAUUUUAAAAGAGUACCUACUCAGGUGUUGUCACGGAGCACAUAAAUUUAAACCAUGUUUACAUUUCGAGUCAGAGUAGCUUUAUUCUUUUUGUGAACAAUGAAAAAGUAAACUUGUGCAACAACAGAACAAAUUCUUCAAUAGGAUCUAUCAUCAUAUAGCAUUAUAGGGCUGAGUCCCAUGAGAAAUUGCAUCAAUCUGUAUCUAUUAUUGUUUGUGCCACAAAAGCAAAUAGUGUCGUUACAGUAGCCCAGGUCAUCCUACAGUUUUUAAGUCUUUUAUAGGGGUGUUUGAGCCAUAUUAUUUUGGUAAUAAUGCAUUUUUGAAUAGUGUAUUGAUGAAAAAUGUGUGGUUAAAAAAUAAGAAAAUUUUUUUGAUUUGCGUGUAAUAUUAUUUUAUUGAAGAAUGUGUGGUUGAAAUGAUGUCAAAUCACUGUUUAAGAAUGUAUUUUUUUGAAAUAAUGUGACUCGAACAGGCCCUAAUAUGCCACAACAGUAACGUAACCUUGAGAAAGACAAGUAAUGUCCCUCUCAAUCUGAAAAAGAUGCAGGGCAUUUCUUUGAGAAAAAUGACUAUGAAUGUCUUUCCAAAUCUCUUUGGCAUGGUUGAAAAAAUUACACUAUCUGCAAUAUUGGUGUGAGCAAAUUGAGAAUCCAUGAUCGAACGAUGUCACUGCAUCUUUUCCAUGAUGCAUAGUCUUCUAGGUUGGUUGUGGCAGAUGGCCCUGUGGUGGUCUCAUCUAUGAAGCCCAAUUUGGAUUUGGCAUUCGAAGAGAUGACCAUUGUUCUGAUGCCAUAUAGGAGGGCGGAAAGCUAGAUUAUAGAGCCCUGCUAUGAUACCAUAAAAAGUAGACGAAAAUAUUGCUUUGAAUAACAUUCAUUAAAUCCGACGAUAUAUACACACACACACAAGUACUUUCCUAUAAUUGUGCUAGUCUAUUUGUCCAAUGAAUAUUGGGAUAUUAUUGACUUUUGUAGCAGGUUGGGUGAUGGCUAAUACUGAUGGAGCAGCCCAUGGAAACCCUGAUCAAGCUGGAUGUGCUGAUUUGUUUUACAACUACAGGGGGCUCGUGAAAGGUUUCUUUGCAGUCCCUCUCGAUAAUUUUGUGGACUUUCGAAGCUGAACUGGAUGUGAUACAUGCGGUUCAAAUAGCAUGGAAAAUAAUUGGCAUUAAUUAUGGCUGAUUCGAUCACUGUGGCUCAUCUCAUGACAAUACCUUUAUGAGAUGACGCUCCGCUGUACAAAUAGCAUUUUUCAUUUAGUUAUCAUUUAACAUAGAUUUUGUUCAUUAUUUCUCCCGCACGUCGAGAAUAUUUUUUAUACGGCUUAUUGUUUCUUUUAUUAUUAAGACUUGGGAGAGUAAAUAAUGAGAGUGCUACGAAGAUGCAAACUUAGUUGGGAUGUUCCUGUACACUUUCUCAGCCCUAUAACAGACAAAUUUAUUGAGGAAAAAAAUGUUUAAAAAAAUUCAACAGCUACAAAAAAAAAUUAAAAUUAAAUUAAAUUGAUUAACGUUUUCAGAAUUGUACAAUGCUCUAUAAAGUUAAAAAAAUUUUGGAAUUGUAUAGAAGUCAUCAUCAAAAAUGCAUUGGAAAAUUUAAGUUGAAAUUAUUAAAGAAUCUGAUUUCAAACGCGCCCACCUCUAAUGAUAAGAUAAAAUACUAGAGUUUAUUAUUUCUUAUAUGUAGUUGAUUAAGUUAUUUCUUGACACAAAUUAAGGUUUUGGAUAAUUUCAAAAGUAAGAAAAUAUUUUUGGUUUUUUAUUUGACUUAAAAAAUUUGAAAUUGUAGAUGAUAGUUGUUUUGAGUGUUGAUGUGAUAAGCUUGGAAAAAAAGAAAAAAGAACUUAAGCAUGACAAGGAUUUUGAUAUUGAUGAUCUAAGUUAUUUCCUGAGCUGUAAAUUAUUAGAAAUUAUUUGUGAAAAGACACAAAAAAAGGUGAAUGAAGUUUUAAAUUAUAUAAAAAUGAUUGACUAUUUUUAAAAUGUUUUGAUAGGUUGUAAAUAUUACUCACUGUAUCAUUUACACUUGCAUUCACCUAUACACUUGCGUCCAUCGAGAGGAGCUUAUCAAUGUUGAAGUUGAUAUAGUUCUAGUUUUGAUCAAAAGACUGAUCAUUUGUCUAUUGAAAAAGAAAUUCUAAAAAGAUUGAUUGUAAUAGUAUAAUUAUUGGUUUUCAAUCAAAAAUUCUAAAUGAAUAAAUUCAAUCUUGACAUUUGAAAUUUUUAUAUUAUUAUUUUUGUAAUUUUGAAUAUUUUUUAUUAAUAAAAGCUAGUAUUUUUAUUAUUUUAUAUAUUUUUACAUAUGUUUAGGUGCCCCUUAUUUCAAGUUAACUUUAAAGCACCCAAAUCUCAAAGUCAACCCUAACUGUAUGGAACAUUCAACAAAUGUAUGUCCAUGAAAGAGCGUUUAAGGCGUGGUGCGAUAUCCAAGCGGCUAGUUUUGGACCUCUACUCGUAUAUUUUGAAGAGGAGAGCGACUACAAAAGUAAUCAUAAGGUAAGAAAAUAUUUUUGCAUGAUGGCUAAGAAGCAUGAUGAUUUCACGGUAACUAUAAAGUAGAAAUUCUCUUUUUGAUCGACUUCUAAUCGAUUUAGACUAGUUAAAAUUUACAUUUAUCUCUUUAAUGGAUUAGAGGACGGGGUUCUAUGCCCUUUCCAAAGUUUCAUAUUUUCUUCUUCAUUUUUGCGAGCGUUUUAUAAAUAAUCUACAAAUGCUGUGGUUCACUAAAAAAUAAAAAUAAGGUUUUCAUUUAUUAAAUAUAAAAGGUAGAAAGUUGCCAUUUGAAAGGCCCAAACAAAAGGAAGAUAAAAAAAAAUUGAUAACACUAAUUUUACGCUUCACUGCUUCUUAGCCUUCUUCGCAGCAUUCAACAUAACAGUUCAAAUGAAAUACGACCACACUAAUUUUACGCUUCACUGCUUCUUAGCCUUCUUCGCAGAGCCAUGCUCUUCUUCAUCUUCUGGAGCUUG
rnacentral:lncRNA from 1 species